ACCCUAUGAACGGUUCUAAUGGUCCUAAAUGAGCUCUAAGAACUUGGACAAGCUCUCUUUUGCUUGUUUUAUAGAUCGAAAUCGGAGUAUUGAGCAUAUGUCAUAUUAGGGCAUCCCAAAGAGGGGUUUUGCUCAUAUGGGGUUUUGAUCUAUUUUGACCGCUUGGAAACCUAAUUGGGGACCUAACGAACGCGUUGAAACGCUCGGUUCGACAAUCCGACGAGUGUACGCGAAGUUAUUGACGAAACGGUCGGUUUUGGUACAGAUAGCCGCAGCACGCGGAAUAAGUGUCUAAAAAUCGUGAGAUCGGAACCGGAGCAUCUUGGAGUCAAGGAAUAAGCACCGGAAAAGACGGAUCGCGAUUCGGAGGUCGUUCGUUAAGUCGCGCAAGAGUUCGGGCCCAAACGGGUGCCGAGUGCCGCGGGAGGCCGAUUGCAAGUGUCGACAAGCAAUCGGAACGCGAAUCAAGGUGGGUUGUGCUUACCGAAGCGACUAGGUCGCCCUUUAUGUCUUAGCAAUGUAAUCUCAUGUUGAUGCAUGUGCAUGUAGACAAGACUAAAUGGUGCAUUAAUAAAUAUGCAUAGAGUAAAUGCAAGUAAAGUAAAGAAUGCAUGAUGAGCAUGAUAAAUAAAUAAUGCAAGCAAGUAAUUGGAAUGCAUGAUGAUAAUAAUGCAUAGUGUAAAUGCAUGUUAAAUAAUGAUGCAUAGAGCCAUGCUAGUAAAUGUUAAGUAGAGAGCAUGAUUAAUAUAAGAUGCAAAUGCUAAAUGGAAAGCAUGCUAAGUAAUUAAUGCUAGUUGAUGUAAAGAAUGCAUGUACUAAUUAUGCAUAGAUGGAAAUGCUAAGUAGAGAGCAUAAUGAGCAUAGCAUGUAUAUAAUGCUAGUUAAAGUAGAGAAUGCAAAGUAGCAUCAUGAGAGCUAAGUAAGUGACAUGAUAACUCUAGUGUAAAUAGAGUUGAUUGGACAACUAGGUUGUCAGAUAGAUCGAGUGGCAUCUAACCUAGUGUUAAAGAACAUAGGUUGAUUAGUAAACCUAGAGUCGAACAAUCUAGGUGUGUGGCAUUUGACCUAGUGUUAGUAAACCUAGGUUGAACUAGUAAACCUAGAAGUGGACAUCUAGGCGAAGAUGACAAGAACCUAGCAAGUGUAUCUAGGUUAAGUGAUGUGGACAUAGAACCUAGAGUAUUGGAACCUAGGUUGAUGAGUAUAGUGGUAUAGCCACUAGGAUGAGCUAGGUCGACAGUAUAGGGUUGGCUAUGAACCCUCGACCUGUGGUAAGUGGAUUCCGGAAUCCCAGGACUUAUGAUGUCCCUGGUACAGGCUAGGGCGUUCGUGCGACGAUUUCGCCGCCGAGCUUGGUACCGUGGGUAGAUUGGGGGCGAUCACAUGGAGAUCACCGCCCGGGGCUUGAACCAUUGUGCUGGCGUUUGUGCGACGAUUUCGCCGCCAGAGUGGUUAAGCCAUUUGAGGAUCAGACCGCCAGAGUAGACUGAAUCCAUGCUGGGUAAGUACGAUGCGGGUGCCUCCAGGUGACUGAGUCUGACAUGAUCGUUGUUGGGUGUGGUGCGACCCGUUCGCCGCCAGACGGUAUGUCAUGUCUCGAGCUCACGCUGGGUAUGUGCAACGCGAUCGCCACCGAUGGUCAAGUCUUGUGACUCGAGCCGUGUUCAGCGUGUGCGACGAUUUCGCCGCUAGGAGGCUGAGUCAGAGAGAGUGCGGUAGGCUGUUGAGCAGCCAGUGCGCGGACUAUCCGCAGAUGAUUGACUCGAAGCCGAGUCGGGUGGUUAGCUAUGAUAGGGUAGAGGAACCCUUAUGAGCUAGAGAUAGAGGCUUGAGCUAAGGUAAUAGAAACCUUAGAAGCUAGUGGUUAGUGUUGUGGUCCUAAGGUAAUGGAAACCUUAGAGUAAAGUUAUGGGCUAAAGUAAAAGUAGAAUUCAAAUGAUCUACUAGCUGUUGCAUGAUUUUCAUAUCGCAUAUUAUGAGGCAUGGCAUGUAUUUUAAUUGAAUAUAUAUAUCUAUUGUAUAUUGUUGAACUAACAUGUUGCAGUGCCUCCUCGGACCUAUCGGUCGAGCUUUUCCCUUGGGUGGCCGUACCCACUGGGAACCAUGGAGUUGGUUCUCACCCCACGUGGUUUUGGGGUGUUUUCAGGUCGUUCGUGUGCGGCGCGACGGCGCGAGGCGAGGGCGUAGCUCAGUAGAUAGCGCCCCACCACAGAGACCGAGGUAGCAGUACCCUGAGACAGUCUAGCUUAGGGGUCUAGAAGAUAAGAAGAGAAAAUGUAUCAAACUUGUAAACUCUGAUGUAAUAAUAAUAUUGUAAUUUGGAAGCAAAAAUGUAAACUGAAACUGUGAUGUAAAGAGUGGUUGUAAAAUAAAUGCUUGUAAUAGCAAGUAGAUUAUGUAUUUGAUACUUCCUUAUGCAAUCUGGAUUGAUAUCCGUUCCUUGUUGGAACAUUCGUUGAUUGUUUGGAUUGCGACGCCUUGGACGUACUGGGGAGACUCUGUCCGCGUACAAGGGAAUUUUCGGUCCGUUCGGCGGUCUGUCGUCGGCGCCGCGACCCGGUCCAAAUAGGCGGUUGGUCGCGGGGCGUGACAACAUGUGCAAGUAGAUUUAGUAACACUAGGCUCGAAUUCAGAUUUUUGUAAAAGAAACACCAAAUCCAUGAAUCGAGCAAAUAGAAUAUGCAAAAACAACUACAACGACACAUGCCGACUAUCUCUAUAUACUUAGAAGACAAACCGACGAUUAACCCACCUGAAAAACCGGCACGACGUCGAGAACGGCGAAAAUGCACCCUCGCCCGGCCUCCCCGCAGCUCUACGAUGACGAAAACACGCUCGAACGGCACCGCGGCGCGACGUCGACGACACCCGAACUUCACCCGAGCUCCUCCACCACGCACGGUCAAGCACAAGGGGAAGAGAGAGAGAGCGCACUAAUCCUCUCCUCUCUGAUCUCUCUAUCCUAUAUAGGGAGGGAGAAGGGGUGGUAAUACAAUCAAGGCAAGAGAAUUACCAAAAAGCCCCUUGCCUACCCUGGUGUACCGGUACACGGGCAUUUGUACCGGUACAAAUGGCAACCCGAGAGCAGUCUGCGCGGGGACAUGCGCUGUGUACUGGUACACCUCUGAUGUUGUACCGGUACAGCAAGAUGUACCGGUAUGCCUUGAUGGUUGUACCUGUACAGCAAGCAGAAAAUCUGCAUUUUGCAGAUUCCAGCGCUAACUCAUGCCCUCGCAUCUCCACUGAGUCCGUUCGGCCUCCAUAUCGCGCUAACGCGACUCGGACUUGUCCCGACACUCUCCCGACGUGUCGACAAACCUCACCUGCUGUACUCCAGGGAUAACACAGAUUAAUUGGGCCAUAUUUAUGGAAAUACUAACAAUCUCCCACAUGUCUCAAAUUAAUCAUACUCCAUGAACGGAUUUUCUACACUCCAAAUUUUAUUGCGCAUUAUUGAAAACUUUAUGGUCAAAUAUCUUAGAACUCACUUUGGCACACCCCGAGACCCGCCUAUUUGGUUGGAUUCGGGCCCGCCGACAGAUUGCCGAACGGACAGAGUUUUUCCUAUACGUCCUAGGCGUCACAAUUCAUAUAAUACACGAGGUUCUGACCAGGAACAGUAUUCAAGCACAGAUUGCAUAAGGAAGUAUCAAAAACAUAAAACAACUAAGUUAUUACAAGCAUUCACAUCAUAUGCUUUAUAUUACAUUCUCUUUUACAUUUGACUUCCAAAUACAAUCAACAAUCACAAGGUUAUUACAAGUUGUUUCCUUCAUCUCUACACCCCUAAGCUAGACCACCUUGGGGUAUCGCUAUCUCUGGUCAGAAUGGUAAGGCUCUAUCUACGGAGCUACGCCAUUUCCUCACGCCACCACGCGGCUCGCGUGUGAACCUGAAACCCCCAAAAUAACGUGGGGUGAGAACUAUUGUCCAUAGUUCUCAAUGGGUAUGGCCAUUCAAGGGAAGAGCUUGACUUACCAGGUCCAAGGAGGCACUGCAACAUGUUAGUCGAACAGAUAUCCACAGAUAUAUAUAUAUAUAUAUAUAAUUGAGCUCCUAUGCUUUUAAAAGUACCAAGUUAUUGGUGCUUGUAGAUUUUUAGCCAUUGGAUUAAAAUAUAUGCGGUUAAGACGAUGCGGGCCCCCUAGGGUUUAGUGGGUGGUUGGUUGAAUAGUAUAAUCUAAUGGUUGAAAAUGAUCCGAGGAGUAGAUCUAACAGUAAAAAAUUUACAAGCACCAAGUGCUUGGUGCUUUUACAAGCACCAUAGCUGGACUCUAUAUAUAUAUAUAUAUAUAUAUAUAUAUAUAGAGUGCGGCUAGGAUGCUUAUGGAAGCACGGAGGGCUCCGUGCUUCUACUUUGUUUUCGAUGUUCGGACUUUCGAAUCGACGAUCGGCUUCGUUAGACUUGAUCUAGAAUAUUUGAAGUAUAUAGAAAAUAAAUUUAGCGAUUUUNAUAUAUAUAUAUAUAUAUAUAUAUAUAUAUAUAUAUAUAUAUAUAUAUAUAUAUAUAUAUAUAUAUAUAUAUAUAUAUAUAUAUAUAUAUAUAUAUAUAUAUAUAUAUAUAUAUAUAUAUAUAUAUAUAUAUAUAUAUAUAUAUAUAUAUAUAUAUAUAUAUAUAUAUAUAUAUAUAUAUAUAUAUAUAUAUAUAUAGUAGUACAAGUAUAGAGCGUUAUACGUUAUACUUUAAAUACGUUGAUACGUUGGUUGAUCAUCUAGUUAACUAUGAUGUAAGUUAAGACGAUAGGUAUCGAGUAUAGUAGAUCGGAGAUUCCAAAGAUGAUGGAAUCAAGGUACGGUAUAUGGUGAACGAGAAUUCCAAAGUAGAUGGAAUUGGUUCGAUAGGUGGGCUGAGCCGGAGCUCAGUUAGUAGACGUCUUAUGGCGAGUAUCGAUCCGAGCUCCACUUCCUGCAGAGUGUUUGCGGAGUCGGUAUUCAGAUGAGUUGACAUAUAGUUGGUGUCGGUGUAGCGUGCUGCCCAGCGUUUUUUGACGCGUGUGGGCGCCAGUCCCUAGAGGACCACCCUCUCCUUGUGCGGCGUAUGUGAGCGUCGGCUCUAGGGGUUAUCCCUCUCCUUGUACGGUGUAUGUGGGAUCUCAAACUUCUAAGAAGGCCACCCUCUCCUUGUACAGCGUAUGUGGGCGCCGGUUCUUAGAAGGCGUAGUGUUAGGAGCUUCAAGAAGGCCACCCUCUCCUUGUACAAUGUAUGUGGGCGCCGGUUCUUGAUAACUCAUGAUGUUCAGAACCCUAAGGCCUUAGAUGAAAAGUUCAGAAUUUCCAGGCGAACGUUAGGAUAUUACAGCUGGAUAGAUCCAAGCUGGAUACGUAUAGGAUCACCGAUGGUGGUGAUAUUAGGUGAUUGGAUCCAAGUUGGUGCGAUCUAAGUACAGUAGAUGUGGAUCUAGAGUUGAAGAUCCAAUUGAACAAGUUGGAUACAAGAUGCUGUAAUCCAAGUACAGGUUGGAUACAAGUCCUGUGAUCCAAGUUACGGUGAGCUAGAUGAACUGUAGGAUGAACAGGUGUAGCUGAUAGGUAUUUAAAGUAUAAGAACAAAAGGUUACAGCUCAAGAGAUUAGUUGGAUCUCAAUAGCUGGUAUAUAUAUAUAUAUAUAUAUAUAUAUAUAUAUAUAUAUAUAUAUAUAUAUAUAUAUAUCAUCAUGUUCAUAUCUCGCAAUAUGCAAUAUGAAAUUUAUGCAACUAUGCAACCAACUAGUAGAUCAAUUGAUACUACAUUCAAUUCUGCUAUCCAUAGCUCAUAUCAUCUAGCCUCUAAGGUUUCUACUACCUUAGUUCCAUGCCAUAUACCACUUGCUCUUAAGGUUUCAUCUACCUUAACCAAGCUAUCCACCCGACUCGGCCUCGAGUCAAUCAUCUGCAGAAUACCGCUCAUAGCUAGGCUCGAGGUGAAGGACGUCUCACAAACGCCUCAGCCAUAAGUCUACUCAACUGUAUAUCAACCACAGCCACAUCGCACGACGGGUCGCAAAAAACUGCGCACACCCGCGGUCAGGGAUCUCCUGGUGGGAGAGGAACACGCCGCAUACACUCGCAGCCGAGAUCCCCAAUAGGGAGAGGAACAUGCCACAUACACCCUAGAGUUUGAAGAUUCUUCCGGUGGGAGAGGAACAUGUCGCAUACACCCGCGGCCAAGAAUCUUCCGCAUCACAAUCCUCGAAGUUCUUCCGGUGGGAGAGGAACAUGUUACAUACACCCGCGGCCAAGAACUAUUGAGUACUACAAGUCUUGGGAUUCCGGAAUCUACUUUUCAAGUCUUAAAGGUCCGCUUGCAAUCCUAUAAUGUCGACCUAUCUAGGUUCGACCUAUGCAUAUCCUAGUGGCUACCACCACUAUAAUCCACUAACCUAGGUUCAACCACGCUAGAUUCAUGUCAUCUACACCUAGAUCUCAACUUCUAGGUUAACUUGUUCAACCUAUGUUCUACGACAUUAGGUUCAUGUCCAACCUAUGUUCAGGACACUAGGUUCAAUGCCACUCGAUCUACUUGACAUCCUACUUGUCCACAUCGACUAUCCAUAAAUUUCAUAUUCUUGUUUUCCAAUGUCGAGUUCUCUAAUCAACCUAGAGUUAUCGACCCAAAUUCACGUCUUCAUGAAUCUAGCACAUUCUACAACCUGUCAACAUGUAUAUAUAGUCUAGUAUGAUCCACAACAUGUCAACAUGCAUUUCAUCUAACAUUUCUACAAUAUGUCAUUAUGCAUAGCAUCUAGCAUAUUCUAUAAUAUGUAAACAUGUAUAUCUCAAUGGUAGAUAACAUCAACUAACAUAAUAUGAUUCCUGUAUUCAUAUUAUAAUCCACAACCUACCACUAUACAUAUAUGCAUCAACAUUUACCAUAAAUCAUCAUUAUCAUCCAAUGGUAGUUCAACCUAUGUAACACACUGGACCUUUGCAAAUUGCAAGGUUCAAGUGUUUGGUUGGGUUUCGAGCUUUUCCACACUUGGUGGAGGGUCGUAGAUGGUAUUUCGACCUAAAAGUUCGAUUUCUGAAUUUUGGUUAAGUCCUGAGAAUUUUCACUCUCAGGGACCAGUCCCUGGUGGGAGAGAUCGGUCCCCCCCAGAAAAGUGCUGCGGUAGACUUGAGGCAACCGGUCCCUGGCGGGUAAGACCGGUCCCCGAGUAGGAUUUCGGGGGAGAGACCGGUCCCAUGCGGGGAGAGACCGGUUCCCGAACGUUGAUUUUGCGGGACGAACCGAGAGACCGGUCCCAAGCAGGGAGAGACCAGUCCCUUUCGACGAAAACUGCCCAGAACCGGGCAGUGUGCAGAUUGGAUUGUUGAGGGGCUUAUCAGGAUUUUGUUACAUUAAAAGGCUUUUAGAGCCUUUCUCUUCUCUCUUUCCCUCAUUUCUCUCCCUCACACUCUCUCUACACUCUCUAGAAAGAGAAGAAGAAGGAGAAGAAGAAGGAGGAGUAAAAGGAGAGCUAGCUUGGAGGCCUUGGAGCAUCUUCCUCAACAUCAUUUCUCACCUUUGGAGGCUUAGAGCUUGUGGUUGGAGCUUUGAGGAGAAUCAAUCUUCAACCCUUGAGGAUUUUGAGCUUGGUUGGGAGCAUCCUAGAGGUAAGUGGCUAGUUUUCUUCCUCUAGAUCCUAGUUUUGAAGUUUUAAACUAGAUGAAACCCUAGAUUUUGCGAUUUAGGGUUUAUUUUGAGAAAUUUCGAUUUGAGGGCUUUGAAACCUAAUUGAUGGGUUUAGAACCUUUAUUUAGGUUAGAUUUAAAGAACUCUAACUCCCAUUUGGAGCUUGAGAGAGGAUUUCUUCACUUGAGGUGAGUUUCUCCACCUUAGCCUAUGUUGCUUAUUGAUUGAGCUUAGAGUUGAUCGUAAGAUUCGUUUAACUCUUGUUCCUACAUCUUUAGGGUGCUAGGAGACUAGUGGACACCUUCAUUGGAGCAAACGAAGGAGCGCAAGAGUUGUGUCGGUUUGGCUUCAUGGAAACGGGGCGAAAUGGCCCCCAUACUUUCUAUACUCGUCGUAACGUUAUUUUAAAUGCAAAUCUAUGCUAAAUGAAAUUUAUGUGAAUUUUAAAACACUUAAAAUACAUGUGUUAUGUGUAAGAUAAUUUUCACUCUAUAUAGUAGAGCAUUCUGGGUAUUGUUACAUGCAUUUGAGUAGUGUUCGCACUAGCCGUUUGGAAACAUGCCUUAUAUGUUUAAAGUGGCUCAACUAUGCAUUUAUGAACAUUUGGUUUAAGUUUGGACUUAGUAAAUGAAAGUGUCAUAAAGGGGCACUUGGACUAGCAAAAUAUGAGACUAUUAUUUGAGACUUAGUGAUAGGCCUUGGACAUCUACGACAUUUCAUGUUUUAGACAUGAUUACAUAGAGAUAGGCCUACGAGAGAGUUGUGACGUAUUCCAUAUUGUUAGACAUGAGAACUUGGUACUUGAGACGGAUCUUUUGGUUACUUGCCAUUGUGCUCAUUCGCACUUGCUUGUGAGGGUCGCUCCCUACAAGCCGGCACUCCGGAGAUGGCCAUCGCGAUACAUAAUCGCCGUGCGGGAUUGGGCGCCGACGUGGAUUGCCAUGGGAAAGGCUCAUUCCUAGAGUGGGGAUGUUCACUACCACGGGGCCAUUAGGCUCGGCACCGGCCAGACAGUCUACGGGUAGGUCUCAGGGCCAGACAGCCUUCGGGCAGGUCUCUUCAGAUUUGAUUUUGAGCAUUAAUCAUGCCAUGUGGACAUUGAUUAGAAUAGUAAACAAUGAUAUCUUUGCUAUUUGACUUAUGGACAUCAUACUAGCGAUGUUUGGGUACAUUCAUACGAGAAUAGCUUUUCUUACUUAUGUUAAAUCAUGCUAAGUAGAGAUAUCAUGUGGUAGCAAAUAUUCAUGCUUAAUUACUUGUCGUACAUAUCGCUUUUGCUUAUAUCUGCUUACUGACCCCUUUUUAGUUUGGGCCUAGUGGUGCAUUUCACUGAAGCCAGUAAUUACCCACUGGGAAUUAUUAUUCAAUAGUUUCUCACGCCCCCUGUUUCAUGGUUUUAUUUCAGAGCCUUCGACAUCGGCGGAGGCACGGGAUCGCGGCAAGGGAGUCGCAUAGCUAGUUAGUGGGGAGCUACUUUUGAGCGUAGGUGGUUUACUCUUCCUUUUAUUGUAUUAGAGAGAGAGAGAUUUUGCACCAUGUAUAGAGAGACCACCUAUGUACCUUUCUAGCACUUAUUUUGGGACUCAGUUGUACUACUUUAUGCUUUUUUCUAGUGGACUUUCGGCUUUAUGUUCAUUUCUUUAUUGUAGCUCAUAGAUACAUUUUGCUCUGAUACAGCUAGAUGUUUUUCUCUCUUCUUGCCUUAUUUAUCGUUUUUUUUAGACGCCUUAUAUGUUUUAGACAUAUGGUGGGUCUGGGCACGCGCCGGGCAGGCUUCCUCUGGGUCCCAGGACGUGACAGAUUAGUUUAGUAUCAGAACCUAGGGUUGAGUCUUAGUGGACCUAGCAAAUCUUAGACCGGUUGGACUAUAGGAAAUAGGCUCGUGAGAGACGAGAUCUAUUUGACUUGUGAGCGAAAGUAUCGUGAUUGGGUAUUUUGGAUAACUCUAGAAAGUGGAGUUAAAUCGAAGUGUAUAGCUCCUAACUUCGCGGAGGGUUACGUUGGCGGCCGACAACGUAACAUCGGGAGUUAGUAAUGAAGCACACUUCAUUACUUUCGCAUGAUUUGGGUCAUUACCUUCUUGAGUGGGGAUUCGAUAGCGUGGGUUACUUACUUACGCUUUUAUGAUGUUGUAGUGUGAUGCCGAUUACGCACUCCCAAUCUGCCGGAGCGGAUAACGCGGCAAAUCUGGAAGAGGUCGAGACCUCCGCUACCUCCGGAUCCGGCGAGGUCCGAGGGUUGAGGGGCCAGCUUGCGGCCCUCACUGAUAUGGUGACACAACAGACGGAGGCAGCGCGCCAACAGGAGGCGCGGAUGAAGCGCUUGGAGGACCUCCUACUUCAGCAGGCUACUGCUCGAGAGACUCAGGCCCUUACACCACCAGCACCAGUUGUGGACGUGGCAUCGAGGGCACCGUCACCCGCGCUCGGUUCUUCGCGGGCAGCACCCGUGGUUGUACCCCGGGAGAAGGACAUAGUGGCACCACCAGCUCAGGCGUCACCGACGGGGGCAGUUUUUCCUGUGACGAUUUCUGCAGAGGAAAGGGAAAGGCUGAUGGAGUGCCUCAACGAGUUCAGGAGGUGCAGUCCCCGAAUCUUUGACGGAGAGAAAGUCGACCACUGGAUCGUGGAGAAGUGGUUGAUGCAUAUGGAGAAGCUCUUCCGCGAUACCUUCGUGGAGGAGAGAGAUCGAGUUUGGCUCGCCACACACCACUUGGACGGCGAGGCCUACCGCUGGUGGUUAGAUCUUCAGGAGAACCCCAGCACUGACUUGGUAGCUAUAUCUUGGAAGAGGUUCAAGGAGCUUCUAUUGGCGCACUACUUCCCGACCAGCGUCAAGAGGAAGAUGGAGCAGGACCUGCGCAACUUGCGCCAAGGAGACCGGAGUGUAGCCGAGUACGAGCGGGAGUUUUCUCGGCUUCUUCACUGCGUGCCUUUCGUCGUGCGGGACGACGAGGACAAGGCUCGCAUUUUCAAGCGAGGGUUGCGACCGUCGAUUUUCCGGUUCGUGCAAUCCUCUAACCUCCAAACCUACCGGGAGGUGGUGGAUCGCGCGCUCAUUGUAGAGAGCGGUGCGGCGCAUGUCCAGGAGCGGCGAGAGGCCAUGGACAAGGGUAAGGCUAAGAGGCCUGUGGUUGAGGGUGCGAGCCAGAUGCACUCUAGGAGACCGCCGAAGCAUCCUAGGAGCCAGCAGCGUGGACGCGGCUCAGCAGCGCAGCGAGAAAGUUUUGACCGUCGCCGGCCUUCCCCGUGUGUGAUCUGCGGUGGUCCUCAUUACCCACCGCACUGUCCACAGCGGGCGGGCAGGUGUUUCCAGUGUGGCCAAGAGGGCCACGUUCGGACUGAGUGUCCAAAAGGUUCGUCACCGGCACCGUCGACUGCAUCGACACUGGCUCUACCAGCCCCUAGUCAUGGGACUCCGUCGACACAGUACCAGCCUGGGCGUGCACCCGUCCAGCGCCAGAGCGAGGGAUCUCGACAGGCCCCGAGUGGGCGCUUGUACGCCGCUCAGACCGAGGAGGUGGCAGCAGCCGAGGAUGUGGUUCUAGGUAUCAUUUUACUUGAUGGCAAUAGAGUUCGUACUUUAUUUGAUACUGGUGCAUCGCAUUCAUUUAUAGAUCGGCUGUUGCUGAGUUGCAUGGUAGCCCUUUGGUUUCUUUGUUACAUCCGGGACAUGUUGUAGUACCCGACCACACUCUGGAUAUUAGAGAGUAUUGCCCUAGUUGCCCUGUUCGGAUAGGAGAUUGGAUCAUGCCCGUGGAUUUGCUUGCUUUGCCCAAGCUAGGGGAUUUCGAUGUGGUCUUGGGUAUGGAUUGGCUAACUAAGUACUAUGCCAUGAUUGAUUGCAAGAAUCGCACGGUUACUUUUAGAGAACCGGGGCAGAAUGAGGUUGUGUUUAGAGGAUGCCGGAGUUCACCUUUUGCGAUGUCGAUCAGCUCGUCUCAAGCUAGGCAGCUAAUCAGCCGAGGAUGUGUAGCCUACUUGGCUAGUGUUGUGUUGAGGGGCGUGGAUGACACCCCUAGGAUGGAGGAUAUCCUGGUGGUACGGGAGUUUCAAGAUGUGUUUCCAGCUGAGCUACCGGGUAUGCCACCCGAUAGGGAGAUCGAGUUUGUGGUAGACCUCGUCCCUGGGACUACUCCAAUCUCGAAGCCACCCUAUAGGAUGGCACCGAUGGAGCUAAAGGAGCUGAGGGCACAGCUACAGGAUUUGUUGGACAAGGGCUUCAUUCGACCGAGCGUCUCGCCGUGGGGAGCUCCAGUUUUGUUCGUCAAGAAAAAUGACGGAUCACUUCGCCUAUGUGUGGACUAUCAUGAACUUAAUAAAGUCACGAUCAAGAAUAAGUAUCCGUUGCCAAGGAUCGACGACUUGUUUAAUCAGCUUCAAGGAUCGUGUGUGUAUUCCAAGAUUGACUUGCAUUCGGGAUACCACCAGAUAAAGAUCAAACCCGAGGAUGUAUCGAAGACGGCUUUUAGAAUACGGUAUGGACACUAUGAGUUCACAGUUAUGUCGUUCGGGCUUACUAAUGUCCCGGCAGCUUUUAUGGAUCUGAUGAACCGUGUUUUAAGCCUUACCUGGACAGGUUCGUCAUGGUGUUUAUCGACGACAUUUUGGUUUAUUCCCGAAGUGAUACAGAUCACGAGGAGCAUUUGAGGCUUGUACUUCAAACACUUCGGGAAAAGUAGCUUUAUGCCAAGCUGAGAAAGUGUGAAUUUUGGCUUCGAGAGGUAGCCUUCCUUAGCAUUUAAUAUCGCGAUCGGGUAUAGCCAUGGAUCCUAAGAAAAUCGAGGCAAUCAAGGAUUGGCCAAGACCGACGAGCGUCACGGAGAUUCGGAGUUUCCUUUGGACUGGCCAGUUACUACCGGAGAUUUGUUGAGGGGUUUGCUAAGCUAUCUACUCCCCUCACGAGGCUCACGCAUAAAGGUGUUAAGUUCAUCUGGAAUGAUGCGUGCGAGAGAAGCUUCCAAGAGUUGAAGCACCGAUUGACGACCGCCCCGAUCCUAACCCUGCCGAUGGCUAGAGCAAGGUAUGUGGUUUAUUGUUAUGCAUCACUUAACAGAUUGGGCUGUGUUUUGAUGCAGGACGGUAAGGUGAUCGCGUAUACUUCUCGCCAGCUGAAGGAAUAUGAAAAGAACUACCCUACGCAUGAUUUGCAAUUGGCGGCCGUAGUCUUCGCAUUGAAGUUAUGGCGCCACUACUUAUAUGGCGAGCGGUGUAAAGUGUACACGGAUCACAAGAGCUUGAAAUACAUGUUCACUCAGAAGGAGUUAAACUUGAGACAGCGCAGAUGAUUGGAGCUGCUCAAGGAUUAUGAUCUGACGAUCCUAUACCACCCGGGCAAGGCUAACGUGGUGGCGGAUGCGCUAAGUAGGAAAUCAAAGAAAAACUUAGCAAUGCAUGUUGUUACUCAACCACAGUUGAUCGAGUAGAUGAAGCGGUUGGAGUUGGAGGUGGUGACUCCUGACACGCCUUUGAGAUUGAUGACAUUGGUAGUGCAACCUACACUUGUGGAUAGAAUUAAAGAAAAGCAAGCUUCCGAUGUGGAGUUGCAAAAGAUUAGAGAUAUAAUGGUUGAUGGUUGCACCGGCAAUUUCCUUGUGGAUGACCAAGAAUUGAUCCGUUUUCGUGGACAGAUUUGUGUACCGGCGGAUUUCGGAAUUAAAGAGGAUAUUCUUCAGGAAGCACACCGAGCGCCCUAUGCUAUACAUCUGGGAGGCACCAAGAUGUACAAGAAUUUAAAGUUGCUCUAUUGGUGGCCCGGGAUGAAAAAGGAUGUUGGCGAGUUCGUAGCUCGAUGUCUAACUUGCCAACAGGUGAAGGCUGAACACCGAUUACCCGCGGGGAAACUUCAGAGUUUACCGAUUUUCGUGUGGAAGUGGGAGAAGAUCACCAUGGAUUUUGUGACAGGUUUGCCCCGGUCUCAGGCCGGGCAUGACGCUAUUUGGGUGAUCGUGGAUAGGUUGACGAAGUCGGCGCACUUCAUACCUAUUCAUACUACUUGGACCGGAGAGAAGCUCGCACAAGUGUACCUCGAUGAGAUUGUGCGACUUCAUGGAGUGCCUACAUCGAUAGUAUCGGAUCGAGACACUUAGUUUGUGUCCCACUUUUAGAGGAGUCUACAGGACGCCCUAGGCACUCGAUUGGACUUUAGUACUGCUUUCCACUCUCAGAGUGAUGGGCAGUCGGAGCGCACCAUACAGACUUUAGAGGAUAUGCUCCGAGCAUGAGUGAUAGACUUCCAGGGAGGAUGGUCGCAGCAUCUACCUAUGGCAGAGUUUGCUUAUAACAACAGUUAUCAAGCAAGCAUCAAGAUGGCACCGUUUGAAGCAUUCUAUGGACGGAAGUGUAGAUCGCCACUUCAUUGGAGCGAAGUUGGCGAGAGAUUAGUUUUAGGCCCUGAUGUGCUCCAGGAAGCUGAGGACAAGGUUCGAAUUGCUCGAGAGUGACUUUUGACGGCACAGAGUAGACAGAGGAGCUACACCGAUCGACGAUGGUGAGACUUGGAGUUCCAAGUUGGAGACCAUGUUUUCUUGAAGGUCUCGCCGACUAGAGGGAUCAAGAGAUUCAGGAUUCGGGGUAAGUUGAGCCCCCGUUUCAUUGGACCGUAUGAGAUUUUGGAACGUGUGGGUCCGGUAGCGUAUCGACUUGCUCUACGAUCGAACCUAUCGGGCGUGCACAACAUCUUUCAUGUAUCGGUCCUCCGGAAGUAUGUCUUCGACCCAACUCAUGUGUUGGAUGCUACACCGUUGGAGUUGCGGGACGACUUGAGCUUCGAGAGCAACCCAUAAAGAUCUUGGCUCGCGAGGUGAAGAAACUACGGAAUCAGGACAUUCCGUAUGUAAAGAUUUUUUGGAGCAACCGCAGGGAGCGGCAGGCCAUGUGGGAGCUAGAGAGCGCGCUGUAGGAGUGCUAUCCCCAUCUUUUUCAGAUAGAGUCUUGAGGUAUGUUGUUGCUUUAUGUUUCACGGACGAAACUCCUUUUAAGGAGGGGUGAAUGUAACACACUGGACCUUUGCAAAUUGCAUGGUUCGAGUGUUUGGUUGGGUUUCGAGCUUUUCCACACUUGGUGGAGGGUCGUAGAUAGUAUUCCGACCUAAAAGUUCGAUUUUUGGAUUUUGGCUAAGUCCUGAGAGUUUUCACUCUCGGAGACCGGUCCCUGGUGGGAGAGACUGGUCCCCCCCGUAACAGUGUUGCGGUAGGACUUGAGGCAACCGGUCCCUCGCGGGUGAGACCGGUCCCCGAGUAUGUUUUCGCGGAGAGAGACCGAUCCCAUGCGGGGAGAGACCGGUUCCCGAACGUUGGUUUUGCGGGACGAACCGAGAAAUCGGUCCCAGGCAGGGAGAGACCGGUCCCUCUCGACGAAAACUGCCCAGACCGGGGCAGUGUCCAGAUUGGAUUGUUGAGGGGCUUAUGAGGAUUUUGUUACAUUAGAAGGCUUUUAGAGCCUUUCUCUUCUCUCUUUCCCUCAUUUCUCUCCCUCACACUCUCUCUACAUUCUCUAGAAAGAGAAGAAGAAGGAGAAGAAGAAGGAGGAGUAGAAGGAGAGCUAGCUUGGAGGCUUUGGAGCAUCUUCCUCAACCUCAUUUCUCACCUUUGGAGGCUUAGAGCUUGUGGCUGGAGCUUUGAGGAGGAUCAAUUUUCAACCCUUGAGGAUUUUGAGCUUGGUUGGGAGCAUCCUAGAGGUAAGUGGCUAGUUUUCUUCCUCUAGAUCCUAGUUUUGAAGCUUUAAACUAGAUGAAACCCUAGAUUUUGAGAUUUAGGGUUUAUUUUGGGGAUUUUCGAUUUGAGGGCUUUGAAGCCUAAUUGAUGGGUUUAAAACCUUUAUUUAGGUUGGAUUUGAAGAACUCUAAUUCCCAUUUGGAGCUUGAGAGAGGAUUUCUUCACUUGAGGUGAGUUUCUCCACAUUACCCUAUGUUGCUUAUUGAUUAAACUUAGGGUUGAUUGUAAGGUUCGUUUAACUCUUGUUCCUACAUCUUUAGGGUGCUAGGAGACUAGUGGACACCUUCAUUGGAGCAAAUGAAGGAGCGCAAGAGUUGUAUGGGUUUGGCUUCAUGGAAACGGGGCGAAAUGGCCCCCAUGCUUUCUAUACUUAUCGUAACGUCAUUUUAAAUGCAAAUCUAUGUUAAAUGGAAUUUAUAUGAAUUUUAGAACACUUAAAAUGCAUGUGUUAUGUGUAAGAUAAUUUUCACUCUAUAUAGUAGAGCAUUCUGGAUAUUGUUACAUGCAUUUGAGUAGUGUUCGCGCUAGUCGUUUGGAAACAUGUCUCAUAUGUUUAAAGUGGCUCAACUAUGUAUUUAUGAACAUUUGGUUUAAGCUUGGACUUAGUAAAUGAAAGUGUCAUAAAGGGGCACUUGGACUAGCAAACUAUGAGACUAUUGUAUUGAGACUUAGUGAUAGGCCUUGGACAUCUACUACUUUCCAUGUUUUAGACAUGAUGACAUAGAGAUAGGCCUAUGAGAGAGUUGUGACGUAUUCCAUGUUGUUAGACAUGAGGACUUGGUACUUGAGACGGAUCUUUUGGUUACUUGCCAUUGUGCUCAUUCGCACUUGCUUGUGAGGGUCGCUCCCUACAAGCCGGCACUCCGGAGAUGGCCAUCGCGAUACAUAAUCGUCGUGCGGGAUUGGGCGCCGAAGUGGAUUGCCGUGGGAAAGGCUCAUUCCUAGAGUAGGGAUGUUGACUACCACGGGGCCAUUAGGCUCGGCACCGGCCAGACAGCCUACGGGUGGGUCUCAGGGCCAGACAGCCUUCGGGCGGAUCUCUUCAGAUUUGAUUUUGAGCAUUAAUCAUGCCAUGUGGAUAUUGAUUAGAAUAGUAAACAAUAAUAUCUUUGCUAUUUGACUUAUGGACAUCAUACUAGCGAUGCUUGGGUACAUUCAUACGAGAAUAGCUUUUUUUACUUAUGUUAAAUCAUGCUAAGUAGAGAUAUCAUGUGGUAGCAAAUAUUCAUACUUAAUUACUUGUCGUACAUAUCGCUUUUGCUUAUAUCUACUUACUGACCCCUUUUUAGUUUGGGCCUAGUGGUGCAUUUCACUGAAGCCAGUGAUUGCCCACUGGGAACUAGUUCUCACGCCCCAUGUUUUAUGGUUUUAUUUCAGAGCCUUCGGCAUCGGCGGAUGCACGGGAUCGCGGCAAGAGAGUCGCAUACCUAGUUAGUGGGGAGCUACUUUUGAGCGUAGGUGGUUUACUCUUCCUUUUAUUGUAUUAGAGAGAGAGAGAUUUUGCACCAUGUAUAGAGAGACCACCUAUGUACCUUUCUAGCACUUAUUUUGGGACUCGGUUGUACUACUUUAUGCUUUUAUUUAGUGGACUUUCGGCUUUAUGUUCAUUUCUUUAUUGUAGCUCAUAGAUACAUUUUGCUCUGAUACAGCUAGAUGUUUUUCUCUCUUCUUGCCUUAUUUAUCGUUUUGUAUAGACGCCUUAUAUGUUUUAGAUAUAUGGCGGGUCUGGGCACGCGCCGGGCAGGCUUCCGCUGGGCCCCGGGGCGUGACAACCUAGCAUUCAUCUUAUGCAUUCAUAUGUUUGCAACUAACUACCAUGUAUGCAUCAAUGAUAAAUAACACCUCACUUCGACAUGGAAGUGAGCUAAUAUCCUCGGUGAGCACAACCCACCUCGUAUCGCUCUACGAUUGCUUGUCGACACUUGCAAUAGGCCUUCCGCGGCACUCGUUAUCCAGUUCGGUUCAAACUUGCAAACGAUCACCAACCACACGUCAAUCCGCGUCCUAGGGUUGUCAGGGACCCUUCUUUAACCUCCAAUCAGAGAAACAUUGGGUUUAAUUAGAUUAAAACCCACCAAAUCCCAAAACUCUCAGCUGUAACUCUAGCAUGAUAUAAUCUCCAAUGAACCCGAAAUCUCAUGGGGAAAACAUGCUAGAAUUACUUUAGAGACUACUAGAAUACCAAGCAUAAAGGAUUUAACCAAAUCCUAAACACUUACCAAAAUGAGAACGCCGAGUCGGAAGCAUGCCGCUCCACCGGGUGCACGAAGACUCGAUCCGUCGCCCCACACGUGUUCCCAAGCACGCUCUCCGCCAACUCUCCGAAUUUGGGAGUGAGAUCUAGAGAGAGAAGGGAGAUAUCUAGAGAGAGGAGAGAGCUUCUCUCUUUAGGUUGUGUGUGUGUGUGGGUUAAAAUGGCUGAGGGAGGGAGGAAGGAGAUGAUCCCCCCUUUUUAAGUCAACCCCCACCACUCAAUUACAAGUAUGCCACUGUUACUGUGCAUUUUUCCAGCUCGGGGUCGGGACCUUGGACCUUGGCUAGAGGGUCCGGACCCCGUAGGUCCAGAAAUUCUGCAAAUUUCAGAGUUAGCCAAAAUUUCAGCCUUUUGCCAAUAUUGGUCCGUUUUCGCUCGUUUUCGCUCCGUGGGUCUCCGAUUCAAUUCUAAUCAUACCGAGACCCCCAAAACACAUUUUCGAGCGUGUCUAAAUUAUCUUUUCAUCCACGCCUUGCCGGAUUUUGGUCAAGGUCCAAUCUAGCUAUUCGAGUUCCGUUUUCACGCCCGACGCAUACCGAAAACACUCGAAUGCUCCCGAACUUCACCGGAACCGUUCCAAUAGCUUUCCAAACUAACAUACCCCGUAACGUCAUAAAUAUAGAAGUUCGGUAUGCUACACACUUGAUUUUUAGCUCAAACUAAAAGACUAUAAUAAUAGGAAACAUGGUGGUCCACCUCUACAUAUUAAAAAUUUCCUUCCAUAAUUAUCAUAUCAUAUUCAUCUCCUAGCCGAGUACUUUAUAUGGUACAACUUUAUGAAUGAACUUAAAACUGUAUGUCUAUUCAUUAAUAGACAAAAUUUUAUACCUAUUAAAUGGUCCAAUACAGCUGUAUUAAAUUUUAACUUUAUUGAAAAGAUAGAAUGUUAUAAUCUUAUACAUCAAAAGAACUAAUCAAACUCAUAUUUCUAACAUGAUCUGUAUAUGACCCAAAUGCCAGCCCUUUGGUCAUUGGGUCUGCAAUGAUACACUUGAUACUGAUGUAUUCAAUUGUAACAUAACCUUCCUCUAUCUUCUCUCUCAUGACAAGAUAUUUGGUGUCCAAGUGUUUACACCGUGCUCUCCACGUCGACCGCCGCCGCCUCCCGCAGCCGACCGGUGCGAGCCCUGGCCUCCCCACGUCGACCUCCCCUGUCGAACGCCGGCGCACCCGCCACUGAGUCGCUGCCGGCCAUGCCCUAGCUCCCACUGCCGAUAAGCCUUUGCAGUGCUUUCUUUUGGUUGUUGUUUUGGUUUGUACACACUUUUCCGGCGAUCCGAGGCUGUCCCGAUGCCUCUGGAGGUGAGCUGUGAGGACUGAGAUUUUGGUUAUGUAGCUAAACUCCUUGUUGAUGAUGUUUUUGUGUGUAAUUUAAUUACAUAAACACUCGUCAAGUUUCAGGAGAAAACGAGUUAGGAUAGAAAAGUUACACGACCUUUACUAAUCACUUAAAGUGAAGAGUAACUCCGGUUUUCCAGAGAAGCCAAUGAGUAGAUAUGGUUUCUGGUGCAUAUUGAACUCCGUUUAUAGUGAUCCAAUAGCUCGUUUUCGACAGUUCUACUAUCCUGGACCCAAUGGCACUGACAGAUUUGGGUUUUGAUGCACAAUUUUCCAGAAAAAUGGGUUUUAUCGAAAAGAGGGUUUUCGUUCUUUGCUGUUCUUGCAUUAUAAAACUCCUCAUGCUUUGUGCAUGUGACCUGGAGUAGGGUGAAGGAUGUUUCAGGUACCUACUAGUGGUAGGGAAUUCAAAUUCGAAUUUGAAUUUAAAGUUUAUUGGAUUUACAAAUAUGUCUAUGUGUGGUGUUUGGAAAAUUGGAGAGGGGAUAGGUUUCGUCGCAAAUCGCUGAUCAAAUCGGAUAAAACAAAAUAGUAGAUUUGAUGCCCCAGUCGUGCUGAACGCGCUGGCACAAUCCGAUCGAAAAUCUGACGGACGGAUCUCCGGUAAUCGCAUAAAGUUCGCUGAGGGGUCGAAAUUGGCAAAAAUGGAAAAUCUACGAAAAUCCCAAUAUUUUAUGUACCAUUUUGCACAAUUUUGAACGUCGAGGUGCGUAUGCGUGAAAUACACGCGCCGUGAAGGACUGGGCUAAAAAUAAGGAGCUUAGAAGGGCUAUGUUGCAUAAUGACCAACCUAUAGAUAUUGCGCAACAUUAGGAUUCAUGCAAGGAAACCCUAACCCUAAUCUUCCAGCCCUCAUGUUGAGCCCUAGCAUCACUAGCAACCCUCUGCCCCAGCCGCGACGCACCUGGGCUGCCGAUGAACGACUACGAUCGCCGGAAAAGCCAUUUGUUUUACCUCUCCUCUCCCAUCAUCUCCCGUGCGCGUUGUAGGCGUUGCCUAUGCGACUGCGGCCAACCCCGGUCAACUGGGGCCGAGCUCAGCAUAGCUCGUGGGCCCCCCGCCACCGUUGCCCUAGACCUGCUGCGCCGCCUUCCUGGACCUCCGGUGACCUCCCGCAUGCCACCCCCGUCGCCCCGGAGCGCCGCCGGCCGCCGCCCUGGCUUCCUGCGGCCGCCCAGCCUCAAAUCCGGUUGAGCUUGGGCCCGCACUGCCUCUGCGCACUGCCGUCGCCCUCAGUCGGCUGCGCCGCCCUCCCUCGACCUCUAGCGACCCAUCGCCGUCCCCCCGGAGCUCCCCCGGCCGCCGCCCGACCGCAACUACACCCUGAGCCCGAGCUUCGCCUGUGCGGUCUUGGCUUGCUCCACUGCCGCUGCCAACGCCUUCCGCCAUCGGCCGGCGUAAGCACCGACUCUGCCUGGCCGGCCGCACUCAUCCGACGCCGGCUCCCCACAGCCGGAGCUUCCUGUCGGCCGGACUUGGGCCGUGCUCUCCUCGGCUUGGUGCGGCUAGGGCAUCAUUGCCCGCUGCAGCCGCCGCCUUCCGUCGCCGGCUUACGCUCGUCCCGGCCUCCCUCCGUCGCUCGCACCUGCCUGCAGCCGGCAUUCCCGCCUCCCGGCCGCCGCCGGCCGUGCCCGAGCUCCCCAUGGUUCGGUGAGUUCUAUUUCACUGUUUUGUGCAUAUUCUCGGGUUCAGAUCGCUGUUCCGGCAAUCCGAGGACACCCCGACACUCCUGAAAGUGAGCACGAUGAUCCUUGAUCCGUGCUGAACAUCGUGCUCACCUCCGUUAGGAUCAACGAUGCCCCAGUUUGCGUGUUAGACGCGAUUUAGGUGCUGUGCGUGCUGUUUUGUUGUACUUCGCGUCGCUCGCACGCUCGCCACAGUGGCCGGCUGUGCUCCAAAGUGUGAGCAUGCCCUCCGGCACAUCGGGACCUGUCAGCGGGUGUCUCUGCCAGGCUUGAGGGCCCUCGAUUUGCACUGUCGGGUUAUAAAACCCCGAAAAUCACAUGAAAUGAUGUGAUUUUAUGUAGUCGCAGCGGUUUUUAUGCAAGUUUACGCUAUGUGGUUGCUGUUGGAAGCGUGUACGGGCAGUGGGUGACCUCUAGACUGGUUGUCCAAGGCCCCAGGCCUUUUCGGAAAUCAAAUGUUGAUUUUCGGUGCAUUUUUCGGCGAAAUCCACCGACAGAACUCGAUUUCGGUUCGGAUAUCUUCCGAUGGUGCCUCACGGUAAAUUGUAUAGUCGCUGAGCCUUGUUGGCCAGUCACUCGGGUCAUUUCGAGGGUUCUGAAACGACGGGUGAGUGACGGUGGGUUCCGGUGUCGAAUUAGACACUUCCGGAAACCCGGAUCGGAACAAUUAUCUGACGAUAAUCGUUUCGAUGUGAGGAAGGUGUGUUUGCUGCCAAGUCACAUGAAUAGUUGUGUUUAGUGGCAGCGGGUGACUCGUAGCACGAGUCGGUGAGUUUCGAGACAGUUUCUGGGUCCCGGCGGAGUCCCGAUGAGAUUUUCGGGACUUCCGGCGUGUUACGGCAGUUGGUUUGGGAAACCGAUUCCCAUGGGUUUACAUGUGGGGAUGGUGAGUUAGUGGUUCGUGUUGGAUUCUAACCCGGUGGACCCUUCGUAGGUCCGGUUGAUACUUCCUCUGCAGUCGGAAGACCAGUACCAUAUACGUACUAUUGGGAACUUCGACCCGAAGUCGGUAUAGUGGUGCACGUUCGGUGACAUUCCCUUCACUCUUUCCUUGUUGUUUAUCUUGCAUAUUAUAUGUUGAGCCUAGCACCUAUUCCCUUCUUCUUUAUUGCUCUACUUAGUUGUUUUGCAUACCCAGUAUCAUGUUUUAAAAGUAGAGCAGUUUCGUGAUUAUUGGUGAGAUCUAUGACCUAGUCGGUCAGUGUGUUGUAUCUGGUAUUAUGACCUAAUUGGUCGGUCUUGUAUCUCGUAUCUGCGACCUAUUCGGUCGGCUUACUGCAUUGUUAUCGUGGCCUAUUUAGUCGGUUAGACUAUUUGAUGACCUUUACGGUCAGUAUACCCUGAGGGAUAGGAUUGUCGGCUAGUGGCCGACGGCUAGUUCUGGAUUAUACCGAUGCAUGACGUGACAUCCCUGUGACCUAUUGUCGGUCCUUGUGCAUAUUUGUUAGUUGGCAGUCAGUGGUCGAUACUUGCAUACCUUUGGACGGAUGUUGAGUUGUUCCAUCCUAGUUGACCUGAGUGGUCGGUACUUGUGUUCCUUACGGUUUGAUGACCUAUUGGUCGGUGCGCCCCGAGGGGCAGUGAUUGUCGGCUAGUUGCCGACGGUUGGCUAUUGAGUAUAUUAGCAUUGAUCGCCCGAUACUCGUAUGCAUUUUACGAACGCCAGCGGUCUGAUCCACCGCAAGUGAGUGUUCUUUUCCGAAAAAGUGGUUGGAGGUACCAACCAGUGAGCCCAUACACCUUGGGUUAUUUGCAGGUAGAGUGACAGCUUGAGGUCUGCGGUGCGGACCAACAGGGCAUAGCUUGAGGUCUGCGGUGCGGACUAACAGAGCACAGAUUUCAGAUUGGGUAUUUUUGGACUUAUCGUCCGGUUGAUGCAUACAUACAGUAGCGGUAGUUAUGCAUUUAUAUAUCUCGCUCGUUUAUUUAUCAUUGCUACUGUAGUACCAUACAGGCCUGAGGUGUGCGGACCAAUAUGGCAGUUUCAGAUUGGGUAUUUUGGACUUGUCGUCCGGUUGCAUUCAUACAAUAGUGGUAGUUAUUCAUUUAUACCUCUCAUUCAUAUAUUUAUUGUUGCUACUGUAUUACACUUAUCCAUACCUUUGUUUGUUCUCCUUGACUGGUAAGUACCCCUCGCCCUCUUCGGCUUACGGUACCCACUGGGAGGGAAGACAUAUGUAUAUGUUCUCACCCCCACCCCUCUUUCAGGUGACGUCGCAGGUCCGAGUCGGGACGAUUCGUGAAGUGCGCAGUUUAGCAUUCGAUAGAUCCAUCAGCUCGUCGCUUUGGUUAAAUUCUCAAACUCGUCCUUUAAUAAUUGAUUCAGUAUUUAUGGUUCAGUGGUUUGCUUAAAUUGGACAAAAAUGAUUUUGUGGUUGUAAUAAAGGAUUUAUGGCUUUCUUGCAAAAAUGAAAAUGGUUUUCUACCCCUCGUGGUAGCGAAUUUUAAAAGGAAAAAGGUUUUCGUGUGGAAAACGGUUUUAAAAAGGAUUUUCUGGUUUUCCUGAUUAUUAGUAUUUCAAAACGAGUUUCCGGGUAGGAAACAUUUUAAACUGGUAGAUGUGAAUUUAUGAAUAUUGGUGAUGAAAUAAAUGUGGUUGUGAAUGGUAUAUGGAUAUAUAUAUAUAUGUUCAUAUAUGAUGGUUGUAUCUUGAAUUGUAUAUCUUGUACUUGUGCGACGCCAUACAAAUACAGGGGACUCUGUCCGGGUGAACAGUGGACUCCCUAUACUUAUGGCGGAUCUGGCAUACCUUCGGGGUCAGAAUUUUCAAAAAAAAAAAAAUUGGGCACUUCUGCAAUGACUUUUAAACCAAAAAGGGACCCCAGGGCGUGACAUGAGCCCGGUGAUCGUUGGUCAGUGCCGAUCACAGUACUCACCUCAUUUUAGAUCAGCUGCUUUCGAAGUUGCGUUUUCGGCGCAGUUUUACCCGAGUGCGCUGUUCGCAGAAUUUUCGGGUCACUCCCGCGCCUUCCACAGUGAGUCGUUGUGCUCCGAAUCGUGAGCACGUCCUCCGGCGUGUCGAGUCCUAUCAGUACAUGUCACGGCAGACCUCGAAAGCCUUCAAGUUUCGUUAACGAGCCACAAUGUCGCCUUAUUUAUCUAAAAUAGUGGGAUUUUAUGUAAAUAGAGGGACUUUUAUGCAAUUUUACAUCUUGUGGUUUCUAUGGGCAGUACGUACGUGUGGUAAGUGACCUCUGGAUUGAUCGUCCAAGGUCCGAUAGCCUUCGCGGAAAUCGAACGUCGAUUUCGAUGCGUUUUUCGGUGAAAUUCGCCGGUGGAAUGUGGUUUCGAUUCGGAUUUCUUCCGACGUUGUUUGUUUGCCCUGAGAGUUGUCGCUGAGCUUUAUUGGCUGGUCACCAUCAUCAUAUCAUGGGUUCGGAGAUGACGGGUGAGCGACGGUGGGUUCCGGUGUCGAAAUUGACACUUCCGGGAAUCCGGAUCCGAACAAUUAUCAGGAUUAUUUAGUUGUGAACUCUUGUGUUUGCUGCCAAGACAUCAAAAUCGAUGUGUUUUGUGGUACUGGGUGACUCGUGGCACGAGUCGAUGAGUUUCAGAAUACUUAGUGGGUCCCGACGGAGUCCCGGUGUGAUUUUUGGGACUUCCGACGAGUUACGGUGAUCUGAUUUAGGAAACCAAUCACAGGGAUUUGUGUGCGGUUUGUGAGUCGUGUAUUCUAGUUGUGUGGGUUGGAUACUGACUCGGUGGACCUUCAUAGGUCCGGUUGACUAUAGUGUACUUUGGAGAUAGACGCGACAUUAGUGCAGGUGGGUGCUUCGAGCUCGUACUCGGUGAGAUUGUUUUACCUUCUUCUAUUCUUCUAUUUCAGCAUUGUAGUCUCUACAUGUCGGUUGCUUUGUUAUUGUUUGUUUAUCUAUACCUUAUUGAUUGCAUGAUGAUUAUUGUUGAUAGACAUGUAGAGCAAGCUUGUAUAUAUAUUGUAUCUCUGUGGGCCUUUGGUCCAGGCAACACUUCGAUUCCUUUGUCGUGUGUUUCGAUCUGGUUGAUCGUGGUUCGGCGUUGUACGCCCUUGUAUCUCACUUCGGCCAAGGCACCAGUUUCAGUCGGCUUUCGUAUUGAGCAUAUCAGCAUAACUUAGUCACAGCACUUGGGUGUAUUCAUGACACCAGGUCGGUUUGGCUACCGACCGGAUGUGUACUUAUCCGGAUGGGUCGUCCAGUGGACGGAUGAAUCAGGUCGGUGCAAGUAGUGUGACAGGCAACGCUUGAGGUCUGCGAACCUAUAUAGUAGGCACCAGAUUGGGUACAGUUUUGGUUUGAUUACCUUGAGGCAUACUCAGCAUUGUAUUCUUUACAGUAGCAAUUUUUAUUACUUGCUUCUUAUCAUAUCUAUUAUAGCUACUGUAGUUCACUUUUUUAUCACAGCAUCAGCACUUGUUUACUUUACCUCCUUUGGUUUCCGAUGCUUACGACUUGCCUUCGUGACUCUGUCGUACCCACUGAAAAACCUUGAUUGUGGUUUCUCACCCCCCAUUUCCCUAGGUGGUUCGAGUAAGGAGUUGGCUUUUGGGCUCGACGGGAGGACGCACUAGCUAGACGGCAGUAGCGACCGUCACCCUGAUUAUCUUUUAUUUCCACAUUUAGUAGUUUAAUAAUUAAAUGGUUUAGUUAGAUGAUCACUAUUACUGUUGAGUAUUUGUGAAACUGUUUGACUUGAUGUUUUCAUAUGAUGCUAGCAAUUGGAUUUGUGGUUUUGAUUUUAUGGAUAAUUGGUUCUCGGACUUUUGUGCUUACGCAUUGUGGUUUUCUGCCCCUCGAGAUAGUCGAUUUUCAAAAGUGAAGUUUCCGAGUGGGAAACAGUUUUAAAAAGGUUUUCGAUUGGUUUUUAUGAAUGAUUAAAUAGAGUUUAAAAUCAAAGCUUCCGAGUGGGGAGCACUUUUAAAUAGGAUGCUUGUUGUACUGUACAUUGCAUCAUCCAGCGCCUAGGAGUGUUUAGAGGCAUGCAUCAUCUCUAAGGAUCGCUAGCUGUAUGUAAAUACAUGGCAUGAGUUAAUUGUUGAUUGGUGAAUGUAGGUUGUAGUUGAAAUCCUGAUGUAUUGUUGGUACGCCGUGCAAAUACAAAGGAGACUCUAUCCGAGUGGAUAGAGGAACUUUGUAUUUGUAGCGGGUCUGUACGUCACGUGGACCAUGUUGAAUAAAAAAAAAAUUGGCCGUUUUUUUCGCAACUCUGAUUUUAAAAAUUGUAUCCAUUACAAAAAGGCUUUUAAAAUCGGCCCCAAGGCGUGACAGUUUGCCAGUAAAUAAAAGCUUUGAAUGGUGUACCUGCUGACAGAUUGCAAAAUCUUCCAACUCCUGAAUAGAAAUGGGAUGGAAUCACUAUGGAUUUUGUAAUUGGUUUAUCAAGAUAACAAGGUGGACAUGAUGUGAUUUGGGUAAUCUUAAGCAGAUACACUAAAUUUACUCACUUCCUACCAAUACAAGUGACAUUGUCUAGGGAGAAACUUGCUCAGAUAUAUCUGGAUGAGAUCGUAAGAUUGCAUGGAAUUCCUACCUCUAUAGUGUCGGAUCGAGACCCGAGGUUUAUAGUACACUUUUGGAAAGUUUUAUAGAUAGCUUUGGGGACUCAGUUAUAGUUCAGUACUGGUUUUCACCUGCAGACUGAUGGACAAUCCGAGAGGACGAUUCAGAUAUUAGAGGAUGUGUUGAGAGCUUGUGUCCUCAAGUAUGAUGGUGGCUGGUAUCGACAUUUGGCAAUGGCUGAGUUUGCAUAUAAUAAUAGUUAUUGAGCAAGUAUAAAAAUGGCUCCAUUUGAGGCAUUGUAUGGAAGAAAAUGUCGAUCACCAUUACAUUGGAGUGAAGUAGGUGAGAGAAUAACUCUUAGUCCAGAUAUUUUAGUAGAAACAGAAGAAAAUGUUAGAAUUACUCGAUAACAUUUGCAGACCGUCCAGAGUCAACUGAAAAGCUACGCUGACACACGGCGUCAAGACUUAGAGUUUCAGGUUGGAGAUCAUGUAUUUUUUCAAAGUCUCACCAUCUAAGGGGAUAAAGAGGUUUGGAAAUAUGUGGAAAGUUUAGUCCACGAUUCAUUGGACCUUUUGAGAUACUCGAGCUAGUUGGACCUGUUGCAUAUCAGUCAGUUUUACUACCGAGUUUAGCAAGUGUACAGGAUGUGUUUCAUGUCUCAACCUUAAGGAAGUAUAUCUUUGAUCCAUCACAUGUUAUAGAUUAUGUUCCAUUGGAGGUGACUGAUGAGAUGAGCUAUACUGAGCGUCCGGUUUGAAUUUUUGCACGAAAGGUAAAAAAAUAGCGAAAUCGAAUUAUUCCUUCUAUGAAGGUAUUAUGGAGUUACCAAGAAGAGUGAGAGGCGACAUGGGAGCCUGAGGAUGCGAUGCGAGAAUUUUAUCCCUAUUAAUUUGAGCAGUAGACUUGAGGUACAUUUCAAGUUUUGAAAACGAAACUUUUUUAAGGAAGGGAGAAUGUGAUAUACUGGACCUUAGCAAAUAGGCAAGAUUGCAGUAUAAAUUUUUAGUCAGUAUUUUGUUCUACAAUGCUUGACUGAAUUAGAGACGUUUUGGCGCGAAAUAGACGCUAAAACGGACUUUGACACUCUAGAUUUGACUAUAGAGGACUAAAAUUGAAAUAUCUAAAUUUUGAGGGACCUAUUAGCAUUUUUUCACUUUAAUUAGUGAAGCCCACGUGGGCCUUAGGUUUUCUCCAUGCUUAUCCAUUUCUUUUCUCCAUCAAGAAGCUUUAAGGUAGAGAGAGAGAGAGAGAGAGAGAGAUUGAGCACAAAAAAAAGAAGAAGCUUGGUUCCUUUGUAGCGAGUGAGCGAGUCGAGAGCGCACGCACGUGGAUUUUUCAUUGUUUCGACGUCACGGUUAGUAUCACAAUAUUGUUAUUUAUUCCGUUUAGACUCCUUUGAUGAAUUUCUUAUAGGAAUUAAGUGUUAGAAACUGAUUUUUAUAUAUUUUAGGAGCAGAUUUCGUGGCUGCCAUUCAGGCUAGGAGAGCCGUAGCGGAUCAUUUCCUUAUCCCAACUAUCGUUCCUUUCUUUGGAUUUACGAUAUAGGUGGCUUCCGUGUUGUCAAAACUGGCGGACUAAUUUUUAUGUCCAUGUCAUAUUAUUUAGCCGAUAAGAUGAACUGUUGAUAUAGUUGAGAUAACAGUAAUAUUUUAACACCUAUCAGUAGAGUAAACUGAAACAUAUAUAUAUGUGAUAUUUUUCUAAAAGUCAAUAAACGACUACAGAUAGUGUGAGACUAUAAUUGUAUUUUGGGCACUAUGAUGGUAUUAACAUGAUAUGUUUGAUCAUCGCAUUUUACCACAGUCUGUAUGCUAUGUUGAGUUUGACAGUGAUACUAUACUCGGUUGGGGUAGCGUUCCGCGAGUGCCACUCCGAAGGUUGGGAUAUGAGAUAUUAUUAUGGCAUGAUAGUAGUCUGCGUGGUAGCGGACCACUAUAAGUGGGUGCUGGACAUGAGGCGGCACAGGUUAGACUGACUGUUGAGUCGAUCACUAUGAUUGGAUUUUAUUACAAUAUUUUAUUUAGUACUAAUUGAUACAUGAUAUUUAUGAUUUGUCGAUUUCAGUUAUAUUGUAGAGAUAUGAUAGUAGUAGUUACUCUCAACAAUUAUUCAUAUUAGUACUUGUUUAUUUACACUGCUCAGUCAUUUACUAUUUUUGCCUCUUAUGGACCAAGUGGUGUAGAUUGUCAGCAUUGAUGACCUUACUCACUGGAAACUAUUAAUAAUAGUUCUCAUACCCUCUUCAUUAAUAUUUUAUUUCAGAACCUUCAGCACUAGCGACUGAUCGAAACAAGGGGAUCAUAGAUAGUUAGUAUCUUCUACCUUCUUUGUGUGUGUAGCUAGACCAUCUAUCAGUAUAUAUAGCAGCAUGUAUAGCGGUUUGAGGUUUAGGAUAGUCAGAGUAGUUAUAGCAUUUCGAGGAUUGUUGUGCUGACAAUUAUAUAUCUUUACCUUGUUGUUAUGAUAUAUAGUUUUUAUUUUACUCUAAUACUUAUUGUUGUUAGAUUUUUGUUAAUUUUGUUGGUCAAAGUUUUUUGUCGCUUCGUAUGUAUAACAUGUAUCCUUGCGCAUGCGAUGAGUCUGUUGAUGUAAUCCGAGCUUCCAUUGUAAUCCAAGGCGUGACACAAACUUGUGAGGGUCGCUCCCUACAAAUCAGUACUCAGGAGUUAGCUUUUGCGACAACAUGCUCACCCGUGCAGGAUUGGACGAGGCUCAUUUCUAAAGGGAGAAUGUUGACUAUACCACAGGGCCAUUAGGCAUGGCACAAGUCGAAACGUUACUUUAUGUAAGUCCCGGUUGAUUAGAUAAAAGUUAAUUAAACUUGACAUUGUACGUCACAAUUAGUUGAUAUAUACAUAGUAUAUGGACAUUUUUGUUGGGCACUACACAUUUGUAUAUUUGAUAGUAGUAGAGCUACAUACAUGUUGAUUGACAUAGUCAUUUAGUGAUAUUGUGGUAUUUGAACUUUUACUUCAAUUAUUACAUCCAUGCUUUAUCCUUAGCUACAUAUUAUCUUUGCCUCAAUUGACCUAGUGAUGUAAUACGUUUUUCUCGACGGUUUACCCACUGGAAACUAUUAUUUAAUAAUUUUCAUCUUUAUUGGUUGUUUGUUUUGUUUCAAGACCUUACACUAGAAGAGAGCCUAGGAAUCGCGGUAAGAGAUUAGCGACUAGUUAGAGUCUUUUUGGUGUUGCUAUAAGUGGACCCAAAACACUUUUCUUUUGUUUUUAUUGUGAAAGAUGUACUAACUCAUUUUGUAUAAAGACAAUCUUCUUUUCAUGAAAUAUACCCUUUUCUAUGUACUCUUUUUGUAUAAAAUUAUUAUAUAUCUUGUGAAAGGUUUAUAUUAAUCGUAGUAAAUUGGUUGAAUUAUUUCAUAAUAGUACACAUACUCUUAUUACCUUGUACUGCGCAUGGAGAAUUUGUGCACGUACCGGAUAGACUUUUGCUGAAAUUCGAACGAGACUUUUGUAUUCAAAUUCAAAUUUAAAUUCAUUUUUUUUUUAAAAAAAGGCUAAUCAUCAUCUAUAUAAAGCAACAACAUUAAACAGCCACCACCAUCAUCAUCAUCAUCAUCAUCAUCAUCAUCAUCAUCAUCAUCAUCGCCGCCAACAUCAUCACCACCACCCCCGCUGCAUUGCCGCAUCUCGGCCGGCACCACCACCACCACCACGGCCGGAUCGCCCUCACAGCUCCAUGAUUGAUGAAGCUCCCCUCUGCCUUCGUCGUUAUUCAAGAACUAACUAAUUUCGAACCAUAUAAGAUCAUAAUAGACAGAGAGGAUGCAACUCGAUCGCGCGAGCAGCAGAGUAAAAUCAAAACGGUGCACUUAAUUAAUUAAGGGAACUAUAUAUAUUCGUUCGCUCGUUCGUGAUGGGUAACUAAUUAACGAGUAACUAAAGGUCGUGCAUCUAUCUACUGAUGUUCUCUCUCUCUCUCUCGAUCGAUCGAUCGAUCGAUGGGCCCGGUCGAGCGGCAGAAACUAGCUAGCUAGCUAGGAGCUAAAUAGCUAGCUCGUGGUUCUUAUACAAGUAAAAUAAAUAAAUAAAUGUUUUACUGGUCGAGGGCGUUGGGGCCGGAGCAGUAGUUGAGGAUGGGGUUCCAGAUCCACUGGACCAAGAACCUCCGGCCCCCGACCCCGUUGGCGUUGUAGGCGGCGCCGGUGCGGCGGUCGAGGAGCAGCUGUCCGGUGUAGGCUCCGCCGCCGCCGGUGCCGUAGAUGCCCUCGCAGAGGUCGGCGAUCUCGGUGGGGAAGCAGGGGUCGGCGCCGGCGUACCAGGCGUUGACGAGCGGGUUGGACGCCAUCUCCGCCAGCUCGUGCGCCACCACGCUCACCAUGCCGUCCACCCCGACGUCCCCGUUCGGGGCCCGCUCCGCCCGCGCCCCGGGCACGUAGCUGGGCACCGCGAACGGGUAGGCGCACACCUCCGGGCAGCGCCCCGCCGAGUUGCCCGCCCACGCGUACGGCAGCGCGUAGCCCACGAUGGACGGGAAGGUGAAGUAGUGGAACCCGCACACCUGCCCGCAGAAGUCCUCCACGGCGACGUCGGGGGAGGUGAGCACGAGGUAGAGGCCCCCCCUCGCGUUCACGGGGAGGGGCCGGGUCUUCGCCGUCACGGCGUCGCGGAUGACCCCCUGGAUGUCCAGCCGGGACAGGGAGGCGCCGCGCGACAGCCGCCGGUCGCUCUUCUCCGCGCCCAGCGCCACGGCGGCCGAGAUGUUGGCCCCCGUCUGGUCGGUGUACAGCCGGACCGUGCGCCACCACGCCGCCACGGAGGGCCGCCGGGGGGGGACGCCCGAGGACGAGGGGGAGAUGGAGCGGAGGAAGGACCGGAUGAUGCGCUUCUGCGCCCGGGACCACUGCCGCCCGUACCAGAUCGGGUGGACGGUGAUGUUGGCCGUCAGCACCGGGCCCAUGUGGUAGCGCAGCUGCACGAACUCCGACGAUCCCUCGAACUUCUUGCUCGCGCCCAAGUCCAAGUCCGAGUCCGUCGCUCUCGCUCCGAAUCCCAAGCCACCGACGGUCGCGCUGGUGGUGUUGAGAUACAGGUGAGGCCACGGCCGCCACGCUGCGACUGCCGGAGCAUGCUGCGUGACAUUCAGGACGAUGACGACGACGACGCGUGCUACUAGCAGUAAAAUUUUAGCGAGCACAUUCGGCACACGAGCGGCGGUAGAAUCGCCGGCACGUGCGACGGAGCCCAUCGUGCUUGCAGGAGAUCGGGGGAGAGUGCCGACUGCCGAGUGAAGAAGGAAGAUUUAUUAGUCUGGGAGUGGCAGCGUUGGGUGUGCGUUUUGUGUGUGUGUGUGUAUAUAUAUAUAUAUAGAUAGCUAGCAAUCAACACUGCAGCACAGUGGAGGAGAGUGGGAACUGGGCUUCUGGGGUUUUGGGGACUGGGAUUUUUUUUUUUCUUUUUGCUUUUUGGUUUUUGGUCUUUGUGAUACGUUAUAGUUUAAUUUUGAUUUCAUCUAUUAUAAUAAUAAUAAUAAUAAUAAUAAUAAUAAAGAAAUGGUAAAAAGAAAGGGAGAGAAGGAAAAGUAAAAGGGGCAGGGCAAACGGGAACUAAUGUCAUAUAAUAUCUAGCCUGAAAAAGAAAACUCCCAAACUAGUCAGCUUCUCAAAAAAAAUUCCUAAUGUAACCUUUCUUUUGAUGGAUUAAAAAAUAAAAGUAACAUAAGAACAUUUAUACGUUAAUUAGGACUUAGGAGAGAGAAUUUUUCUCUCUCUCUCUCCUCUCAACCUACUAAUAUUUAAAAAUAAUUAAAAAUUAAUAUUUAAUAAUAGUGAUAUUAUUAUUACUUAUUAUUAUUAGUAUUUAUUUAACUAUAUAUAUGUCAAAUUUGAUCAUAUUGAUUUGUAUAGUUAAAUUAAAUACUAGUAAUAAUAAUAAUAAUUAUAAUAAUUAUUAUUUAGUAACUAAAUGUUUCUAGUGUAAGUGGUAAAGGAUUUGAUGAUUGAUACUUGAGGUUCUAAAGUUUGAAUUAUAGUUGAUUCACAUUUCCGUUGAUUCAUGUUUCUGUUGAUUCAUAUUUCCAUUUAAAUUUAUUUCUAAAAGAAAUAAACGAAGAUGGUAAUAUAUUAUUAUAUUUUUCUGUAAAAAAAAAGUUAAGUAAUAAUAAUAUUUAUUUUUAAAUAAUAUUAUUAUAAUAAAAAUUAUUUAUUUUUAAAUAUUAGUAGGUUUGGAGGAGAGAGAGAGAAAAAAUUCUCUCUUCUAAUUAGCAUUAAAGUCAUCUUUUGUUUUCUAAUUCAUCAAAAGAAGAGUAGAUCACAAAAUUUUUUUGAAAAGAAGGGUAGAUGGGAAUUUUUUUUUUCUAAUUAUUAGACAUGGCAUUCGCUCGCGAACGGGGGAGAUGAUCGAGAGAGCGAAGGGAAAAGCGCGCCGUUGAAAUGCGGAACGGAGGGGGCCAAAGGUGAUUGGCAGUAAUGGAUGACAGAUAGCAUCACUAAUGACCAGCUGUCAGAACAGGUCCCACUUUCCGGAACGGCAUAUACCUCCGCGGCACUUUCCGCUAGCACCCUCCACUCAACCUGCCAUAAAUUUUAACUGUCUAAACCUGGUGUAUUAUUGUUAGAUUUCAUAGGCAGCAAGUUACAUAAUUUUUCUAAUAUUUAAUGAUUAUAUAAUUAAAUUUAAUUUUGACAAAUAUAUGAAAGCGCAAGCUUUUUUGUACUAGAAUAAGGUCACAUGCUAUUUGUCACGGCCUAGAGUUUCACAUGCUACUUGUCACGGCCUAGAGGUUUUUGCUCGCAAAGUUCGUGCGACGCCAUCUUUUUCUAAAAAUAUUGAUAAAUCUUACUUCUUGUUAUUAAUCGGGACCUAUGUGUUCUAUGACUAUGUUUGCAAAAGAGAGAAAACAGGAAAAUAAAGAUUAUUUAAAAAAACUAAAUACUCUUAAUUAUUUAGAAAAAUAGGAUUAGAAAACACUACCUCUUGUGGAUUUGGACUUAACAAUUCCCAUAAUUUAUAGGCAUAUGAUUUAAUAAAUAUUGCCCAUCAUAUCUCACCCACUAACUAAACCUACAUUAACUCAACCAUUAUAAAUGCCAGGUGAAAUCAAGGGUUGCCCAUGACCUUUGAAUUUUUUUUAGAAGUUUUGGAGGCUUGAUGGCAGUAAUUUCAUAUCUCUUUUUCUCCCACAAAAGGAUUGGAAUUGGGCAUCCUUGACGGCCUGUUUUAGCUUGCGGAGUUAGGCCAGGAACUGGACUGCGCAGAAAUUUUUCUAAGUCUCUGACACUCUCCCCUACCUAAUGCGCAGGCGUCCUCAUCACGCGCUACUUCUGGAACUCGUUGAUGAAUGCUUGGUAUUGCCAAAGUGUGUCAAGCCUUCUCCCAACUAGCCUCGCUGUAGGGGAGAUUCGUUCACUUCACCAAGUACUCAGAACUCCGUGGAACUCCACGAUGUCGAAUGAGCCAAGUGCCUAGGAUAGACUCUGCUUGUUUGUCAAACGAAGUGAUUAUGGUUGACGGAGUGUGAUAUGACACGCCAUGGCUUGGAUCCUCCACAUCUUCAUGGUAUAAUUUCAGUCUGCUAACAUAGAAGAUGGGAUGGAUUUUGAGGUUCGCGGGCAGCUGUAGCUUGUAGGAGCCUUUGUCCACAUGCUUGACGAUGGUAAAUAAGCCUUCAUACUUUCGCAAUAGUCCCUUGUGCACCUUGCGCAGGACCUUAAACUGCUGCGACUGAAAUUUGACUAUCACGUGGUCUCUCUCGGUGAACUCCGGAGGUUGCCACUUCUUAUCUACCCACUUUUUCACCCGUCGGGCUAUUUUCACCAAACUCGCACUUGCAAUUUCAUCUUUUUCCUGAGGUGAAUUGGAGAGCAACAGGGCUGCAUAACUGCUCUCCCAUAGCGGCUGUGUAUGAAGCAAGUGGCUGUCGCACAGUCGCCAGCUCGAAGGGACUACAUUUCGUAGAGUUGCUACGUGGCAAGUUGUAGGAAAACUGUGGGACAUCAAGAUGAUGCACCCAAUCCUUUGGUUGGCACUUACAUAGUGUCGUAGGUACUUCUGUUACACAGCAUUCAGCCGCUUCAUUUCCCCAUUCGUCUAUGGUUGAGAAUUGGUGGAGAAGAGCAAAUCGGACCCCAAGAUUUCAAACACUUUUGGUCUGAAACAUGCUAGUGAACUUGGGGUCGCGGUCGCUCAUGAUGCACUCGGGGAUCCCCCAAAGCGUGACAAUGUGAUUGACGAAGAGACUGUUAGAUGUAUGCCCUAAAAAUCAACCGGGCUGACACAUGUAAUUUUUUUAGGAUAUAAAUUUGUAUUUGAUUUUAAAAUAUUAUGAAUGAAUUUGGAUCAUUAUUUUCAUUCAUGUUGUGUAUGUAUUCAUAAAUCGUCCAAGAAAUUAAUAAGAUGAUAAGACGCAUUCUCAAGAGUUGAGAAUUUGAGACAUGUGUUGUCACGCCCGGGCCCCAGCAGAAGCACGUCCGAUGCGUGCACAGACCCGCCGUGUACAGUAAGCACCUCUGAUGCACACAAGACGUCUACAACAACAAGAAAAGAAGUUGGAAUAGAUCCCUAACGUGGCUAUCAUAGCAAGUACAUAAAUCUACUAAAAACAGGAGUCUAGAACAACAACACCCACAUAAGAUAUACAAUAGGUACAUCAUGAAAACUAGUAGAUCUCUAAACAAAAUACAUUAUACAUCUUUCACCUAAAUCGAAAGAAAGAUGUCGAUGGGUCUGAUUAUAAUAACACCGAGAAGGCUCUAACUAGUCGAAAAUCUCUUGCCACGAUCCCUACCCUCUCCCGCAGUAGAAGGCUCUAAAACAGAAACAAACAACAACCAAUAAGGGUGAGAAUUAUUAAACAAUAAUUCCCAAUAGGUAAGCCGUCGAGAGUGGCGAAAUACACCACUAGGUCAACUUAGAGAUGAUAAUAUGCAAUAAGUAUUAAGCAUACAGUUAAUAAUAAAAUGAACAUUCAAUUAUAGUCAUGCCUCUACAUGAUAAUGCCAUUUAACAUGUAUGUAAUUUUCUACUGUCACAUGCAUAAGUAAUUGUACAUGUGAGUCUAUAUGCAAAUUUAAAUGCACAGAUUAGAUAUUUCACUUCAUUUUCAUCAUGUAACUAUACUUCUGUACUAAUUAACAUGUGUGUAUAGAUUUACUUUUAUCCAAUUAAUGAGGGACUUACACAUGAUAACGUCCCGAUUUGUGUCGUGCUUAAUGGCCCCAUGGUAGUCAACAUUCUCCUGCUAGAAAUGAGCCUUUUCCACGGUAAUCCACUUCGGCGCCCAAUCCCGCACGGGCGAUCUGUCGUUGCAAAGGCUAACUCCGGAGUACCGGCUUGUAGGGAGCAAUCCUCACAAGCUUAUGCGAAUGAGCACAAUGGCAAGCAAGCGUGAUCAUAAGCAUGAGGUCCAAAGACCACAUAUCCCAAUCGUUGAUCAUGUCUAAAAUAUAGAAUCACAAUCUUCGACUCAAAAGUCGGGUACUAUAUCAAAUAUGUCAUGUUUCAUUCUCAAUUAACUUGGUGGUAUGUUAUUUAUCUAACGAUACAUAACAUACCUUAAACAUGUAUUGAUUUACAUCUCAUUUAUCCUAUCAUGGACGGAUCUCUACUUUAUUCAUGACCCAACAGGGGUUUCAUAAUAAGUAUACUAUUUCCACUAUGGUGUAAGGUGAACAAUUUACCAAUGUCAUAUUCGAUGAACUACGAGAAUGUCAACUAGAUCAUGAUUCAGGUCAUGCACAUGCCUUGGUACACAAGCGUCCACUACAUUGAGUAUGGUGGUCAUCAUGCAAGUAACUUCAUUCAACUAAGUAAUUAUAUGUAAUUACCUCUUUUUAUUUGCCCAAAGGCGCAUAAAUUUUUUUCGUCAUGUCUAAAAUAUGGAAUGCAACUGACGACCUAGAGGUCAAGUACAAUGUCAUAAUGUCCACUUAGUUGUUCAACUAAGUUAAGUGCAACAUGCUUAACUUCACAAUUUAUCUCUACCAUGAAAUAGGUCAUGUUUGCCCUUGUCUAAAACAAGUAUAUUAGUUGGCAUAUAUGCAAGUUGAAUUCAAUAACUCUACUAACCAUGUAAGGUUCCAUAGGGCAUUCAUUUACUCAUCUCUAUCAUGCAUUCUAAUAUUGCAUAAGAGGAAAUACAGUUACAUUAUAUUUAGUAUACAAAUCUACAUUUUAAGCCUUUAUUACAUAGAGUAUGAAAACUUCUAUAUAUAAUAUGAGUGUAUCAUGUAUUCGAAAAUUCUACCAUGUCAUAACUAGCAUGACUAUGCAUCAACUUAUGUCUUAUAGCAUUAUAGAGGACAUAGAGGGAGUUCACCAAUUUCGGUGAGGUCAAACUCACCGGAUAGCUUCCGAAACCUUAUUUAUUUCUCCAACAGAAUUGUCUCCAAGACUUCUAGCAUCCUAAGAAAAAUUUCAAGGGGGUUAUAAGCUUCUAACAAGCUCACCAUGAAAUUCACCAAAAAUUCAAAGAAAAAUAGGUGAAAAUUUCUUUUGAUCAAGUAGAAUUUAUCCAAGGUCCAAAUCAAAGUUAAGAAGCUUCAAAUCCAACCUACAAGAGUGUUCUAUACUCAUCAAUUCCAUACAAAAAGCUCUCAAAAGAAAAACCCCAAAACAAAUCCUAAUUUCUAUAAAACUAAAUUUUCCAUCAAAAUUUUUUUGCAAAUAUCUCAAAUAAAGAGUACAAGAAGUUACUCAUCUCAAAAUAAGCUCCAACUCAAGCCAUGAAGUGUUAGGGUUGAAGGUUGAUCCUCCAACAAGCUCUUCUCUUUAAUCCCGAGCUCCUCUCCAAGACCAAAAUGCUUGCAUCCAAAGAGGAAAGGAAGAAAAGAGAUCAAACCCUAAGGAUUAAAGGGUUAGAAAAAGGAAUCCUAGAGAGAGAGUGCAAGAACUCACCUCUCCUCCCCUCUUUGCCUCAGCCAACAAAAGAGGAAAUGACGGGGUGAGGGACAUACUAUAUAAGUUGUAAUAAUACCCCAAAAGCCCCUCCAAAAUAAAGAAAUUGCAUUCUGCUCAAAACAGAUUCUGUGGCAUUGAGUACCGGUACACAGCAUUGAGCACCGGUACUUGGCAGUUAGUAUCGGUACCCGAAGGUCAAUCCCGUAGAACCCGAAUGUUGAAAAUUCAGGUUUAUAACUGUGUUUCAGUACCAGCCCAAUGCAGUACCAGUACGUAGCUUAGUAUCGGUACUCACAACCCAGUUCCGCACAACCCGAGAGCUGCCCAUUUCGGCACUUUAUAGGGUUCCGGUACCUGAACCCAGUGCCGGUACUCAACACUAAAUUUUGCACCUUGCAAAUUUUAAUGUUGGGAACCCGUUCUCACGCCUAACAAGCUCUAGAAACAGGUCGACGCACAACCAACAAACCUCAAAACUUUCAGAAUAGCACAAAAGAUUAUUCUUACACUAGAACCUUGCAAUUUGCUAAAGUUCAGUGUGUUACACUCUUGGUGUGCAAAAGAAACAGCCUGCCAUAUCUCGUUCUAGUGCGGAGGCUGAAUAUUGCUUUCUCACCCACACUACUGCCGAGCUUUCUUGGGUAUUAUUGCUUUCUAAAGAUCUUCAUAUAUUUCUACAUUCUAAACCGGUUAUUUAUUAUGACAAUAUGUCACGCCCCGGGGUCCCUUUUGAUUUUAAAAUCGAUGCGGAAGUGCCCGAAUUUUUUUUUUUUAAGCCUUGACUCAGAGAACGUCAGAUCCGCAACAAAUACAGAGAAUCCACUUUUCACACAGACAAAGCCUCCCCUAUAUUUGUACGGCGUCACACAAGUACAAGAUACAACCACAUUGUAUACAAAUCUAAAUACAAUCACCACAUCACAUAAUUCACCUUCACAUUUAGUCAUUCACAAUGAUACAAUAUUUUAUUUUUAUUUUUUUUUUGAGUGAUAGGUAGCAUGCUACCUGCUUCGUUUAUUUCAUUUCGAAAUAAACUUAGCUGGAAAUGUGAAUCAACUAGGAUUCGAACUUGGGUCUCGGGUACCAACCACCAAGCCUUUUGCCACUUAUACAAUAUGUUAUUCAUAAAUCCAUAUCUAUGAGUUUAAAACGUUUCCCACCCGAAAACUCAUUUUGAAACACUAAAAAUCAUGAAAACUGUAAAAUCCUUUUUAAAACUGUUUCCUACACGAAAACCUUUUUCUUUUAAAAGCAAGCUACCACGAGGGGUGUAAGGAUUGAGAUUUUUACAGUGCAACUAAACUCUCUGUUGAUGAUGUUUAUGUGUGUAAUUUAAUUACAUAAGCACUCAUCAAGUUUCAGGAGGAAAUGAGCUAAAAUGGAGAAGUUACGCGAUUAUUAGUUUUCACUUAAGUGAAUAGUAACUCCGGUUUUCCGGAGAAGCCACGGAGUAGGGUUGGCUUUCGGCGCGUAUCGGACUCCGUUCAUAGCGAUCCAAUAGCUCGUUUUGAACGGUUCAGCUAUUCUGGAACCAAUGGCACUGACGGAUUUUAGAUCUGAUGCACGGUUUUCGAGAAAAUCUGAAAAUACAUGUUUCUUGUGUAAUUGUGCAUCAUUUUGGCCUUUUGGAGAGAGAUUGGAUUUCGUGCGUGAACCGGAGAUCAAAAUCGGACGAAACGAAAUGCUAGAUUCGAUGCCCUCGUCGUGCUUGAACGCGAUGGUGCAAUCCGUUCUGAAAUCGACGAUGAACAGAUUGUCGAUAUUGCAUGAAGUUCGCUAAGGGUCGGAGAGUGGAAAAUCGGGAAAUACAACAAAUGUAAUAUUUUAUGUACCGAAUCGCAUGAGAUCAAACGUGGAGGUGCGUGCCAGUGAUUUUACUCGCGCUGUGAAGGACUGGGUUAGAAAUAACCAGUUCCGGAGACUUUGGUGCAAAGUGCAUAAUGGUAUAUAAUAUGGCCUUUAGGGUUUCUAUGCACGAAACCCUAGUUUCUGCCGACCUAGUCCCAGCUAUGCCUAAGGUAGCUUCAGCAGGUCUCGCCUUAGCCAUGCGCAUGCCCCGGCCCCGGCAAGCUGCUCCGGCCACGCGAAAACCACCCUUUCCACCUUCAUCUCCACUAUCUUCAUCCUUCCUGGCGUGGAUCACCCAGGGUCAUCCACUCGCGUCGGCCCUCUCCUUUGGCCGCGCCGACCUCCGCAGCCUCCCCGCCGGUCGCCGCCCCGCCGCGCGCAAAGGCAUUGCAGUCUUGGCAGCCACGGCCAGCCUGUGCAGGCUCGGGCCGAGCCAGGCUGGCUUCCCUCUCGUGCACUGCACGCUGCCUAGAUCGAGCUGCGCCGCCUUCCGGAGCCCGCGACCUCCGCCGCGGCCCUACGUCAGCGUACGCCGCCGGAGCUGCCCAAGCUCCUCGCGCCACCUGCAAUCACCAGGCGAGCCUGGGCAGACACUUUGCAUCCGCGCGCCGCAUCCGCCUCGAGGCGGGCCGCCCCGCCUCCCUCUUCUGUCGGCGACCUCACGCGCAUGUUUCCCGGCGUCCCCGACCACCGCCAGCCGCCGCCCGAAGCGCCUGCAGCCGCCGCCCGAGAGCAAGUCGAGGAAUUGAUCUCCUCCGCCGCGUCACCGGCCGCCUCCCGCCGUCGGCCAGCACCUUUCCCUGACCCCUUCGACCUGCCGCACUCUUCCCCGGCCGACGCGCACGCCGUCCGAUAGCCGCCGGCCGUGCCCUAGCUCCACCAUGUCCGGUACGCUGUUUUCAGCCUGUCUGCGCACUAGUUUCCUGUUUGGAUCAUUGUUCCGGCGACCCGGGGCUAUUCCGAUGCUCCCGGAGGUGAGCACGGUGAUCAUCUGUCAGUUCUGAUCACAAUGCUCACCUCACUUAGGGUGAGAGAGCUCCGGAUGAGUUAAUUAGAUGUGUUGUAGUUUCAGUGCGCGCUGUUUUGUUGAACUUCGUGCCGCUCGUGCGCGUCCCACAGUGGCCGAAAUUGCUCCGAAAGGUGAGCACGGCCUCCGGCACGUCAAAAGCUGUAAGUGGGUAUCUUGUCUCGGCUGUUUGACCUCUAGUUUGCGUAGACGGACCAUAAAAGCCCGGAAAACACAUGAAAUAAUGUGAUUUCUUGGAAUCAGAAGGGCUUUUAUGCAACUUUGUCCGUCGUGGCUGCUGUUGGCAGCAAGUAUGGGCCGAGGAUAACCUCCGGACUGAUUGUCCAAGGCCCCGGACCUUUGCGAAGACCGAAAAUGCAUUUCCGGAGCAUUUUUCGGCGAAAUCCGCCGAUAGAACGCGUUUUCGAUUCGGAAUUCUUCCAACGGUACUUGGGAAUCAUUUGUUUCAUCGCGGAGCCUUGUUGGCUGGUCACCCGCAUCGUUUCGUGGGUUUGGAAACGACGGGUGAGCGACGGUGAAGUUCCGGUGCGGUUUCGGGACUUUCGGUUUGUUCGGUAAUCGGUUUUGGGAAAUCAAUUCUCGUGGGUUUAUUUGUGGGGUUAUGCUUUUAGGGUUUCUUAGUUGUGGGUUAGACACUAACCCAGUGGACCCCCCUUAGGUCCUGUUGACGUUCUUUUGCAGUCAGGAGACAGGCGCGACAGUUGUACAGGUGGGUACUUCGAUCCGACGUUGGUACAGUGGUGCACGCUCGGUGACGUUUCCUUUACCCUUGUUGUUUAUAUCUUUUACCAUAUAUAUGUUGAGCCUUGCACCCAUGCUGUUUCCUUAUUACUCUAUUUAGUUGUUGCCAGGUGUAGUAUCAUGUGUAGGAGUAGAGUAGACUUUAUCUGUAUAUGAUAUUUAUGAUUUGGUUGGUCUGAUCUCCUAUGUGAUCUCCAUGACCUGGUUGGUCGACGUUGCAUCUCCUACACUUGUGACCUGGUUGGUGGUUUCUUGUACCUCGUAUCAGUGACCUGGUUGGUCGGUCCUUUGACUUCUGUUGUCCGAUGACCGUUGAGGUCGGUGUACCCUGAGGGGUCGGAUUGUCGGCUAGUGGCCGACGGUAGUUCUAGAUUAUAUACUUGUGACAUGAUUGGUCGAGUUCAUAUCCUAUACUUGUGACAUGAUUGGUCGAGUUCAUAUCCUAUACUUGUGACAUGAUUGGUCGAGUUUCAUACGCUAUACUUGUGACCUGGUUGGUCGAUUUGGUUACAUGAUGACCCAUGCGGUCGAUGGUUCCAUGUUGAUAUCAUGCUUAGGAGUAGAGUCGACUUAUCUGUUCACUAUAUCUGUGAUUUGGUUGGGCGGUUCCCCUAUUUUGAUAUCUAUGACCUAUUCGGUCGAGUUGUUACAGUUCUAUCUUGACAUACGUAGCCGACUAGUUGUUGAUGGCCUAUACGGUCGGUGUGCCCUGAGGGGCUGGAUUGUCGGCUAGUUGCCGAUGGAAGAUCUUUGAGCAUACUACAUUGAUCGCCACUGCAGGUACGCAUUUCACGAACACCAGCGGUCUGAUCCACCGCAAGAGGGUGUUCUUUUCCGGAAAAGUGGUUGGAUUGCCAACCCGUGAGCCCAGGGGCUUUAUUGCGAGGGUAUAUGCUUCUGACCCAGGGGCUUCAUUGCGAGGGUCAGGUACUGUGCUUCUGACCCAGGGGCUUCAUUGCGAGGGUCAGGUACAGGUUGAGCAGUGUGGCAUGGGCCUGAGGUCUUCGGACCAAUAGGGCAGCGAGAUUGGGUACUUUUGAGCUUAUCGUCAGUUGACGCAUGCAUACAGUAGCUGUAGUGUUUAUUUUCAGUACAUCCUUAUCUGUUUAUUGUAGCUACUGUUUUAUUUACCUGCAUCUAUACUUGUCAGCUCCUUACUUAUCAGCAUCUUUACUUACCAGCACUUAUGUCUAUCUAGUUCUCCGUGUUGUUGUAUAGCUCUCUUCCUGAUCCGGUGAGUACUCCUCGCCUUCUUCGGCUUGCGGUACCCACUGGGAGGGGAGACAUGUUUACAUGUUCUCACCUCCCCCACCAUUUUUCAGGUAUCGCGGGCGAUGAGUAGUGGGACGAGACGUGAGGUACGUGUGUAGCGGUCGAUAGAGCUUCCGACCCAGGUUAUUUCGAUUUAGUUAUUAUCCUUGGUAUUUCUGUUGUUAUAUAGUUUAGUUGGUUUAUGUGGUUCAGUAUUUAUUUACAUUUGAAAAUGUGGAUUUCUGGAUUUUGUAAAAUAAAAGGAUUUCUACCUCUCGUGGUAGCGUUUUUAAAGAAUAAAGGUUCCUGUGUAGGGAACAGUUUUCAAAAGAUUUUUUAUGGAUUUAUGUUUAGACAUUGAAUGUAAAACUGUGAUGUGAAUGGUGAAUGUAUGAAUGUAUAGUUAUCUUUAUACUCAUCUAGUUGUGGUUGUAUCCUGGUUGUACUCUUGUACUUGUGCGACGCCGUGCAAAUACAGGGGAGACUCUGUCCGUGUGAACAGUGGAUCUCCUGUAUUUGUGGCGGAUCUGGCAUACUCUGGGGUCAGAUAUAUAUAUAUAUAAAAAAAAAAAUUCAGACGCUUUUCCGCUUCGUUUUAAACUGAAAAGGGACCCCGGGGCGUGACAGAUUAAAGUGGUAUCAGAGCGAGGUUACAACCACAACACCAUUCACAGGUUGUUUUGAAAAGUAAAAGAAACUGAACCAUUGCUUAGGUUGACCCUUAGGAAGACCUACGGUGUAUAGGCACGUGAGUGCGGGGUUUGGGCUUGUAUCCCGGUGUGCAUUCGAGUUGGGUAAAUUCAGAGUGCAUGGUGUUUUUGUAUGUGUUACGGUUCGCACAAGCUGGUGUCUAAGUUGGGAGUAGUGGCGGUGUACUUUUUCGGACAUCAAGUGGUGGGACGAUAUUCCCCAGGUGUUACCACUCCUGUCAGGUGAGGCCUUGAAGGGCCAAGUGAGAUUUUUUUCGGGCCUAGGCGAGUGUUAUAACUGCCGACGCCCAUGCCACUCUCUCUACUUAGGACACGAGUGCUACUGCGAGUGUCUCUACGGAGACGGUGCUUAGACCAGUUACGGUCGCGACUUCAGUAGGGCUACUAGGGUGUAGCCCAGGGUUUGGAUAGCGGUCGUUCAGCGACUGCAUUGUUAGUGUUGCUUCCACAGACCUUUGGGUAGGGUUGUGAUGCCUACCUAUCCUCCUUGAUUGCUAAUUGGAAUCAGCGGUUCGGGUCUUUUGACCUUUUUCUCGUUCUUCCUUCCUACUAGAGUCGGAUUGACACAAUUUUGGUGUCAAGUUUUCUUUGAGGCAUACAUCGUAUGCGGUUAUUCUAACACCUAAAUUGGUGUGUUGUGGGUUAAUUUGUGGUUGGUGAUAGGUUUCGUCUUGAUUCGAGGGACUCCAGGUUAUUGUCGGAAUUCUCAGAGCUUUGAUUAUAGCUCGGUUGUGGUGCGGAAAUCUGUUAGAGAAACCGUUUCCUAAAGCCUCAGUUAGUACGGUUCGCGGCUUAGUGUAGCUAGCAGCUUUCGGAUGUUGAAAGUUAUAGGACUCCCUGUGAGUCGGUUCAGGGUCGUUCCGAUUUCGAAUGUCGACUUGUAAAGUUGAUGUUUCGAUAGUAAUGGUUGUGAACUCGUGGUUCAGUGAUGAGGAAUCAAGUGGCUUGAUUCUUCAAAGUGUCACACUUCCAACUCGUUGUUGGUAGUGAAUCUUCGGAUAUUUCGCUUUUCUUUUGAUAAGUACAUUGGCUGCAGACAAUAUACUGUCGAAAGUUACGAUGAAAUACCUAUCUUGUCGUUUGGGACUUAUGGAUUGGGUCGAUGUAUUCUCUAGACUGUUUUGUGGGAAAAGCUAGAGUGAUGUCAUCUUUGACCACGUAGCGAGCCUUGGGUUAUUCCUUGGCAGGUUUUGCACAGUUGACUUAUCGUCACUGAUAAAGGGGUUUUGACUCUAGUUCGAGUCUGGGUGUUUGUAGCUCUUUAGUUGUGCUUCCCACAAUUAAAAAGUUUGUUUGGUUAGUAGUAUCGGUCUAUUGUCGAGUGGUUCAGAAUCACAAGUGUGGAGUGACUUGAGCAUGGUUGUUGGCUUUGAUUGUCACCGUAUGUGAUAGCGUAAAAGGUUUGCGACUUGGCUUAACGUGCAAACCUUGAAAUGGCUUGCUUGUCCGGUUAUUUGGUGACAGGUGCCCUUGGGUCUCAAUGAGACAAGUUAUCGGGUGUUGCUGGGAACAUCGAUCGCUAGGGUCCCUUGUAGGACGGCAGCGACAGGGUCUUGUGGAGACCAGUGCUGAGCAUCACCGAUGGUUAGUAUCGCAGUUGCGAUUAGCGACCUGUGCAUCAAGUGGUGGACUUGCAAGAGCAUUCGGUGGUCUGUUGGUACCGGAUUAAGUUUGAGGGGACAAAAUUGUCUAGCUCAAUUGGUAUUGUCAGUUGGAUCUUUUGGGCAGAUGUAAAGUGAGGUCUUGAACCUAGGGCUAUAGAUUGUGGCAGGUGACCUUUCGUUGAUGAGAUUUUGGCAGUUUGUGUGGUUACUGCUGGAGACUGUGGUCUCUAAGGUGAGAGUUUUGACUCAGGUCUUAGAACAACGUUUCAUUUUCACUCAUGGUGAGCAGGUUGACGCUGUUGGAUAGUCGGAGUUUUUCGUUUCAGUCUACGUAAAUAGACUCUAGAUUAAAAUAGUUGUCUCGUGACUUUUCUACGUGAACUUCCAAGGUAGAACGGACCUAAAUUUCUGAAUGUUGAUUAAUUAUCUCAGAAUUGGCAAAUUGGGAUCGAAUAAUCCUAGUCGUGGGACUGUCUUUGUCCGCAGGUUAUAGGAUAGUGUUAAUCCUGGUGAGUUUUGGUCCGUAGAUUUUGGGUUAGUACAUUUUCCCUCGAUUCGUCCAGGUGGAACCGCAGUCCUAUUUUUCCCCUUUCUACGGAAGUUGAUAUAUCCAAAUGUAAUUGACCAGUACUCAAGGGUGAUAUUGCAGAGGUGGAGUAAUAUCCGAAUUCAAUUUCGGUGGGUAUGUGGUCAAGUUUCGGGGACGAAACUUCUUUUAAGGGGGGGAUAAUGUAAGGACUGAGAUUUUUACAGUGCAACUAAACUGUCUGUUGAUGAUGUUUAUGUGUGUAAUUUAAUUACAUAAGCACUCGUCAAGUUUCAGGAGGAAAUGAGCUAAAAUGGAGAAGUUACGCGAUUAUUAGUUUUCACUUAAGUGAAUAGUAACUCCGGUUUUCCGGAGAAGCCACGGAGUAGGGUUGGCUUUCGGCGCGUAUCGGACUCCGUUCUUAGCGAUCCAAUAGCUCGUUUUGAACGGUUCAGCUAUUCUGGAACCAAUGGCAGUGACGGAUUUUAGAUCUGAUGCACGGUUUUCGCGAAAAUCUGAAAAUACAUGUUUCUUGUGUAAUUGUGCAUCAUUUUGGCCUUUUGGAGAGAGAUUGGAUUUCGUCAUGAACCGGAGAUCAAAUCGGAAGAAACGAAAUGCUAGAUUCGAUGCCCUCGUCGUGCUGAACGCGAUGGUGCAAUCCGUUCUGAAAUCCGAUGAACAGAUUGUCGGAUAUUGCAUGAAGUUCGCUAAGGGGUCGAGAGUGGAAAAUCGGGAAAUACGCAAAAGUCGUAAUAUUUUAUGUACCGAAUCGCAUGAGAUCAAACGUGGAGGUGCGUGCACGCGAUUUACUCGCGCUGUGAAGGACUGGGUUGGAAAUAACUAGUUCCGGAGGACUUUGGUGCAAAGUGGCAUAUGGUAUAUAAUAUGCCUUUAGGGUUUCUAUGCACGAAACCCUAGUUUCUGCCGACCUAGUCUCCCAGCUAUGCCCUAGGUAGCUUCAGCAGGUCUCAGCCUUAGCCAUGCGCAUGCCCCGGCCGCCGGCAAGCUGCUCCGGCCACCUGAAAACCACCCUUUCCACCUUCAUCUCCACUAUUCUUCAUCCUUCCUGGCCGUGGAUCACCCAGGGGUCAUCCACUCGCGUCGGGCCCUCUCCUUUGGCCGCGCCCGACCUCCGUCAGCCUCCCCCGCCGGUCGCCGCCGCCCGCGCGCGCCGGCAUUGCUAGUCUGGGCAGCCGCGGCCAGCCUGUGCAGGCUCAGGCCGAGCCCAGGCUGGCUCCCCUCUCGUGCACUGCCGCUGCCUAGAUCGAGCUGCGCCGCCCUUCCCUGGAGNAUAAAAGUUCCCGUGUAGGGAACAGUUUUCAAAGGGUUUUCUGUGAUUUUGUAUCUUAGUAUUUCAAAACCUGUUUCUGUGGUUGGAAAUAUUUUAACUGAUAGAUGUGGAUUUAUGUUUAAAUAUUGAAUGUAAAAAUGUGAAUCUUUGGUGAAUGGUGUAUGAAUAUAUAGCUGUGGUUAUUUGUAUAUUCAUCUGGUUGUGGUUGUAUCAUGUUUGAACUCUUGUACUUAUGCGACGCCGUGCAAAUACAGGGGAGACUCUGUCCGUGUGAACAGUGGAUCUCCUGUAUUUGUGGCGGAUCUGGCAUACCCUAGGGUCAGGUUUUCAAAAAAAAAAAAUUUCAGACGCUUUUCCGCUAUGCUUUAAACUAAAAAGGGACCCCGGGGCGUGACACCGAGACUCUCCACACAUGUCCAGCUGGUGAACCGGCUCUGAUACCAAAUGUAACGACCCAGCCAACUAGCAAUAAUAACUCGUUGGGCCUGGCCAACAACCCAAAAUGCUUAAACCCAGUUAUUAUUACUAGUGUCUAAGUCCCUUAUAAAUCCAAUGACAACCCCUUUCCCAUCCGAUGUGGGACUAUUGGGGUGUCAUAGACUCCCCCAGUUAAGGCCAUGACGUCCUCGUCAGUCCAAUCACACACACAGCCCAAGAUCACCAGGCGAUGUGAGACAGUGGCCGUAAUCGUACCGAGACUCUGCCGGGACCCACGGACUGUCCCGGAACUCUGCCUGGCGGGUUCCCUGGGCAAGCUCGGUCCGAGUCAGCGUAUUACGGCGAUCGGUUUGGGAAACCGAUUCUCGUGGGUUUAUUUGUGGAGUUAUGCCUUUAGGGUUUCUUAGUUGUGGGUUAGACACUAACCCAGUGGACUCUCCUUAGGUCCGGUUGACGUUCUUUUGCAGUUAGGAGACAAGCAUGACAGUUGUACAGGUGGGUACUUCGAUCCGACGUCGGUACAGUGGUGCACGUUCGGUAAUGGUUUCUUACCCUUGCCCUCUUACUAUUACCUAUGUUGAUAUCAUAUUGAGCCUUGCACCUGCUUUUAUAUCUGCAUUCCUCUACUCAGUUAGUUCCAUGUUGAUAUCAUGCUUAGAGUAGAGUUGACUUAUCUGUUCACUAUAUCUGUGAUUUGGUUGGGCGGUUCCCCUACAUUGAUAUCAUAUUGAGCCUUGCACCUGCUUUUAUAUCUGCAUUCCUCUACUCAGUUAGUUCCAUGUUGAUAUCAUGCUUAGUAGUAGAGUUGACUUAUCUGUUCACUAUAUCUGUGAUUUGGUUGGGCGGUUCCCUUAUUUUGAUAUCUAUGACUUGUUCGGUCGAGUUGCUACAGUUCUAUCUUGACAUACGUAGCCGACUAGUUGCUGAUGGCCUAUACGGUCGGUGUGCCCUGAGGGGCUGGAUUGUCGGCUAAUUGCCGAUGGAAGAUCUUUGAGCAUACUACAUUGAUCGCCACUCCAGGUACGCAUUUCACGAACACCAGCGGUCUGAUCCACUGCAAGAGGGUGUUCUUUUCCGGAAAAGUGGUUGGAUUGCCAACUCGUGAGCCCAGGGGUUUUAUUGCGAGGGUAUAUGCUUCUGACCCAGGAGCUUCAUUGCGAGGGUCAUGUACUAUGCUUCUGACCCAGGGGCUUCAUUGCGAGGGUCAGGUACAGGUUGAGCAGUGUGGCAUGGGCCUGAGGUCUUCGGACCAAUAGGGCGGCGAGAUUGGGUACUUUUGAGGUUAUUGUCAGUUGACGCAUGCAUACAGUAACUGUAGUGUUUAUUUUCAGUACAUCCUUAUCUGUUUAUUGUAGCUACUGUUUUAUUUACCUGCAUCUAUACUUGUCAGCUCCUUACAUAUCUCUUUCGUUUAUUAUUGUUGCUACUAUAUUUCCCCUGACCCGUGUUGUUGUAUAACUCUUCCUGAUCCGGUGAGUACUCUUCGCCUUCUUCGGCUUGCGGUACCCACUGGGAGGGGAGAUAUGUUUACAUGUUCUCACCUCCCCCACUAUUUUUUUUAGGUAUCGUGGGCGGUGAGGGUUGAGACGAGACGUGAGAUACGUAGCGGUCGAUAGAGCUUCCGACCCAGAUUAUUUCGAUUUAGUUAUUACCCAUAUUAUUUCUGUUGAUGUAUAGUUUAGUUGGUUUAUGUGGUUCAGUAUUUCAUUACGUUAAAAUAAAAGGAUUUCUGAAUUUUAUAAAAUAAAAGAUUUUCUACCCCUCGUGGUAGCGUGUUUUAAAAAGAAAAGGUUUCCGUGUGGGAAACAGCUUUCAAAAGAGUUUUCUCGUGGCUUCUAUGUUUAAACAUUGAAUGGUAAAUAUCUGGUGAAUGGUGACUGAAUGUUGAGUAUUGUAUAUUCAUGUAUUGUGGUUGUAUCCUGGUUAUACUCUGUUUGUACUUUUGUACUUGUGCGACGCUGUGCAAAUACAGGGGAGACUCUGUCCAUGUGAACAGUGAAUUUUCUGUAUUUGUGGCGGAUCUGGCAUACCCUGGGGUUAGGCUAAAAAAAAAAAAAAAAAAAAAAUCUCAUGGAGCACUUGUUUAUUGAUAAUAUUACUGAAGUAGGAUCUUUGUUUUUUAGUUUUUCUUGUGCUUUNGUCAAAUUUUGUUUCGCCUUUUCGCAGACUUAAAAAAAAAUAUAUAUAUAUAUAUAUAGACUGGGGUCUCAUACGGUCUAGGCGGUGUUUAUGUCCUCUAGGUGACAAGUGUGCCUGUCUCAGAGGGGACAUAAACGUGCCGCANCGUGUUCAUGUUCUCAUGUUGGUCCUAUGUUGGUGUUGAUCUACUCAUAUUUCUAUUGAUAUGUAAGUAUGUAAGUGGUAAGUGUAGUGUCAAAAUGUAAGUUACAGAUUUCUAUUUAGGUAUCUUUUAGAAAACUUUUGACACGGGAUGUGUACUUGGAAAUAAGAAAUUUUUGCGAUGGUGCUCUCCAUCUUUAGGAAAAUAAAAUGUUUUAGGUCUUUAGGUGUAAAAGUUUACAUUUAUUUAUGACUUGGUGUAUUUGGUUGAUUUGAUAUGUAGCUGGCUUUACUCUUCCCAUUCUUUGAUUUGGCUUGUUGGACCCAGCCUUCGAAAUAGCUGGUGAUGCUUGCAUAGAGCGCAGAGCAGGGUUAUGUGUGGCGGACGCUAUGGACUUUUUACCACCCCCUCCACUCAAAAGGGACCCCGGGGCGUGACAAGGGGUAGAAAAUCAUUUUCAUAAUCUCACAAGAAAACCUUAAGUACUUUAUUAUUUUCACAAAACCACAUGUAUCCCGAUAAAGUAAAACCAACUGAAACAUAAUGUCUAAGUCAUUUAUUUUGAGAAAGCAAAGUUAGGAAUUAAACCAAAUCCAUAAGGUUGGGAGCUCUAUCGACUGCUAGAUACAUGCCUCACGCACCGUCCCGACUUGGAUCCGCAACGUCACCUAAAAGGGGGUAUGGGGUGAGAACAUAUACACAUGUCUCCCCUCCCAGAGGGUACUACUAGCCGACGAGGGCGAGGGGUACUCAUCAGUCAAGGAGGAUAACUAGAAAAUUAAAUAACAGUAAUACAAUAGCAAAGAUAAGUAAGAAAACAACAUAUGCAUAAAUAACUAUCGUUACUGUAUGCAUGCAUUAACCGGACUAUAAGUCCAAAAGUACUCAAUCAGAAAUCUGCCAUAUCGGUCUGCUUACCUCAUGCCUGUGCCACUGCCACUCUACCUACAUAUAACCCAGACUAAGCCGCCGGGCUUACAGGUUGGCACGUCCAACCACUUUUCCGGAAAAGAACACUCCCUUGUAGUGGAUCAGACCGCUGGUGUUCGUGAAAUGCAUACAAAUAGUGGUGAUCGAUACUGAUAUGCUGAAUAGCCAACCGUCGGCAAUUAGCCGACAAUCCUACCCCUUAGGGUAUACCGACCGUGUAGGUCACCAAGUAGUCGAAUCGACGAAAUAGGUCACAGUAUCAGAUAUAAAGAACAGAUCGAAUAGGUCACAGAUCUCACGUAUAAUCACAAAUCCGCUCUGCUUCUAAAUCCUGAUACUGGAUAUGCAACUAACCAAGUAGAGCAAUAAAGAGAAAUAGUAAGGGUGCUAGGCUCAACACAUAAUAUGCAAGGUAAUAGUAAGAAGAGGGUGGAGAAAAUGUCACCGAGCAUGCACCACUGUACCGACUUCGGGUCGAAGUACCAACCUGUACGAAUGUAGCACCUGUCUCCCGACUAUGCAAGAACGUCAACCGGGCCUACGGAGGGUUCACCAGGUUAGAAUCCAACCCACAUAUAUGAAACUAAACUUACAAUUCCACCAUUAAACCCACGGGCAUCGAUUUUUCAAAAACCGAUGACCGUAACUUGUCGGAAGUCCCGAAAAUCGCAUCGGGACUACGUUGGGACCCACGAAGUGUCCCGCGACUCACCGACUUGCGCCACGAGUGACCCGCUACCACACUACACCAUAAUAAAGGUGUCCUGGCAGCAAAUACAAGGCUGACAUCGAAACGAUUAUCGUCGGAUAACCGUUCCAAUCCGGGUUUUUGAAAAUGUCAAUUUCGACACCGGAACCCACGGUCGCUCACUCAUCGUCUCCGAAUUCUUGGAACAACAUAAGUGACCAACCAAUAAGGCUCAGAGACGAACAAAUCUACAAUGAGGCACCGUCGAAAGAAAUCCUAACCGAAAUCGCGUUUCGUCGGCGGAUUUCGCCGAAAAACGCACCGAAAAUCGAUAUUCGAUUUCUUCAAAGGCCUCGGACCUUGGACAAUCAAUCCAGAGAUCACCCGCUGCCCGCACACACUACCCACAGAAGCCACGAGGUGGCCAAUUGCACAAAAGUCCCUACAAUCAUCUAAAAUCAUGUUUAUUUUAUGUGAUUUUUCGGGUUUUACUGCUCGAUAGCACAAACCGAGGAUUUUCGAGGCUUGCCGAGACACACGCUGAUAGGUUUCGACGUGUCAGAGACCAUGAUCAUGAUUCGGAGCAUGGCCGCCCACUGUGGAGAGCAUGGGAGCGACCCCAAAAUCGGCAAACUGCGCACGCUGAACCUAAACCACGCUUAACUCACAAACCGAGGCCUCGCUGGCCCCAAAGGUGGGGAGCACGAUGAUCAGCACUGGUCAGGGAUUGUCGUGCUCACUUCCAAAAAGUGUUGGGGUACCCUUGGAUCUCUGAAAUAGUGACCCAAAUCCAAGAGUGUGCACAAAAAUAGUUAAAUAAACUCACCGGACCAAGGGGGAGCUCGAGUUGGCCGGCGGCGGCUGGAUGGUGGGUGCGCCGGCAACAGGUGGGUACGGCCGGUCGGUGGGGGCCGGGGCUCGUGCUGGCUGGCGGCAGGAGGCAGCCGAAGGUGCGGCUGAGUAGCUCGAGCCCACACGGCUAGGGCACGGUCCAGGGUGCAGCGGAGGCCAUGACAACUGUCGAGAUGCUCAGGGGCGGCGGCGACGUGUCACCGGAGGCCGAAGGGAAGCGGCGCAGCCGAUCCUAGGCGGCAGCGGUGCGAGGGAGAAGAAAAGGCAACCCCUCAGCUUGAACUACUCCAGGCUGGUCGCAGGUUGCCAGGAGCGGCAGCGGAAGUGCGCGGGCCAGGAGCUCGGAAGAGCUCGGCCCGAGUUGACCUGGCUUGGCCGCGAGUUGCCAAGCCAGCGACAGCGGCGUGCGAGGAUGACGGAGAUCGGAAGGGGAGUCACUGGAGGUCGGGGUCACGGCCGGGGGAGGGAGCCCGAGAGUGUGGGUCGUUCUACGUGGUCCACAGGCCGAGGUGGUGAGGAUGGUGGAGAGGGAAGGCAAUGCAGCUUUUUCGGUGGAUGAAAGUGCACGGUGGCGACCGGGGUGCUGACGGCGAGGGUAGGGGAAGGUGCAGUGGCGGCUGGGGAGGUCAGCUGAGGGAGAUGAGCUACUAAGGUUAGGGUUUCAUGCAUGAAACCUUAAUGCCUAUUUAUACACAAAGUGUAAUUUUGCAGGAAAGUCCUCCCAAGAUGAAUAUUUUCAGCAAAGUCCCUCACAGCACGUGUAUUUCGCGUAUAUGCACCUCAACGUUCGAAAUUGUGCAAAACGGUGCAUAAAAUAUAGAGCAUUUCGCGAAUUUUUUAUUUUGCCACUUCGACCCCUUAGCGAACAUUAUGUGAUUCUCGAAGAUCCGUCCGUUGGAUUUUCGAUCGGACUGUGCCAGCGCGUUCACCAUGACAGGGCAUCGAAACUACUAUUUUGUUUCACCAGAUUUGGUCACCAAUUUAUGACGAAAUUCAUCCCCUCCAAAGUCCACCAUAUAACCCUACACACACACACACACACACACACACACACACACACACACACACAUAUAUAUAUAUAUAUAUAUAUAUAUAUAUAUAUAUAUAUAUAUAUACACACACACACACACCAAAUUCAAAUUCAAAUUUCGAAUUCCCUUGUUCUCACACCCCAAUAAUCCCACAUCGGAUAGGAAUGUGGAUGUGAUUGGGUAUAUAAGAGACUUAGACAUUAGUAAUAAUAACUGGGCUUAAGUAUUUUGGGCCGGUGGUUGGGUCCAGCGAGUUAUUAUUGCUAGUGUGCUGGGUCGUUACAUUUGGCAUUAGAGCCAAUCACCAACCAGAAAUGUGUGGCGAGUCUCGGCUGAGCCAGGGUCUGAAAGACAAGGUGAUAGGCUAUGCCGGAAUCUGUAUGACAAGGUGACCUGCUAUACCAGGGUCUGGAUGACAAGGCUAGUGAGACGAGUCUCACAUCGCCUGGUGAUCUUGGGCUGUGUGUAUGAUUGGACUGAUGAGGACGUUAGGGCCUUAACGGGAGGAGUCUGUCACACCCCAAUAAUCCCACAUCGGAUAGGAAUGGGGAUGUGAUUGGGUAUAUAAGAGAUUUAGACACUAGUAAUAAUAACUGGACUUAAGCAUUUUGGGCCGGUGGUUAGGCUCAACGAGUUAUUAUUGCUAGUGGGCUGGGUCGUUACACUUGUAUUCAAAUCUCAGAUAUUACACAAUAUUAGUGCUAUCCGACUUGCCUAUAAUCCUAUCUUUCAUGCUCGAACUAAACACAUAGAAGUUAAUUAUCAUUUUGUGCGAGAAAAAGUUGUUCAACAAGAUCUCGACGUUCACUAUGUAGCCUCACAAGAUCAAAUUGCUAAUAUCUUUACAAAAGGGCUAUCUUCUCAUCGAUUCAAUUUUCUCAAGGACAAGCUAAUAGUGCGUGCCCAUAAACUUGAGGGGGCGUAAUGGAGGAUCAACUGAUGAUACAAUUAAGCAAUUAAUUAUGGAUGAAUCAAAUUCCCAAAAUCAGGAAUUUAUAAACUAUGACAAGUAUUCAAAUCAUAAGCAAUCGUGGAAACUCAAGAAUGACAAUCUCUCAAGUAUGGCAACCACUCCAAAUAGAAAAUAUUUGAAUUCAAAUAUUGUACAUUUCUAGAAUGUAAUUAUGUAAAUAUUAUAAUCCAAAGAAUAAUGAGAUUAUAUUUUGUAUUCAAUGAUUCUAUAUAUUGUGAGUUGGUUUUGUGUGUUUUCUAUUGAGAACAACAACCAUUUUCCACCAAUUAUAAUUUCCUUUAUUUAGAUCAUCCUUUUUCUUUACUAUGAAAUUUAUAUCGUUGUUCUUUUUGAAUUUAUGGAUACUAUUUCUCACCUCAUUAAAUAUAGUAUGCUUCUAAUAAUACUAUUCUUUUUUUAAUGAAUCUAUUGACAUUAAUUAAGAUUAAAAAGUGAGAACUUGAUCUGAAUCUGUUUCUUGACCUAAAUUUAUAACAGUAAAUGACUAUUAGCUAUCAAAACUAUUAAUAUUAACAUAUAAUUCAACUUAUUUAAACAAAAUAACUCAUCCAAAAUAAUUAGUAGUUAAGAAAUCAUUAAAAAAAUAAUUAGAAGUUGCGGGACUUAUUUUAAAAUGCCUUAUAAAUAAAAGGUUAUUAGUACAUUAUCAUCUAUAAAAUAAAUUAGCAGAGAGAGGGUCUUUGUUUGCACCAAGGACUUUUUUCAGAAAAUAGUCAUGCAUAUUUGAGAUCUAGACUUGUUAAAAUUUAUUUUGAAAUUAAAUAAUUUUGAAAUUCUUUGUUAUCUAUAGACUGCUAAGAAAAUGUUGAAAUGUUGAGAGUGACCCGUUUAAAUUUUAUGCAUAUUUUGAACCUAAGUAGCUUUAUGGUAGAUAAUAAAGACAUUUUUAUGUGGAUGCUAAAUAUUCCUUUUUAACUUUUUUGUCUUUUUACUUUAUCAUUCGUGAUAAAUUUUGCUUUACCGCCCAGUAGCUCAUACAGUUUGACGCUCUUUUGACGUGCUAUAAUUGCUAUACCAUUUCUUUUUGAUGAUUGUGCUAUGCAAGCUAUUGUAAUAACAGAGUUUUGCAUAAUAUGCGAUUUUUUUUCAACACGGUUGAUUAGCUCUAAUUGAUAAAUUCUUUUUCUUAUCAUAAUAUAUAUAGCUAAAGUUUAGAAAAAAGAAUAUUUUAUUUAUACUAUGAUAUUUAUAUGUUAUUUCUGUAUUUUGUCGAUACUUUAUUCUAUAUACAAAUCUUUACUUCAACCUAUCUAUCCGCCAUACGAUGCGGUAGCUAAACUAGUAAAUAUAGUACAGUACAAGGGCCAAAAAACAGUUCUCUCUAGGGAGAAGCUUUUCCCCCACAAUCACUUUCGUCCCGUGCUCCCAUAAUUUGCUCCGUGAUUCAGGCCUCCACAUAAUUCCCUCGUAUCCCCUCUGCAUGCAAGAAUUAGCGUAUCCGUCAAUCUAAUUUUUUAUAAUUAGAAAAUUUUCGUUAAGAAUUAAAGAUUUCAUUAAAUUUAUGAAUGAUUUUAUCUACUUAAUGAUGGUGAUCGCUUUCCAUCUAAUAAAAUUAAAACAACUAACAAAUAAUAAAGUUCUUAAAUUCAAAAAAAAAGUAUAUUAAUAAUUAACUAUCAAUACAUAUAUUAAAAGCCCAGUUCUUCUGUGGCCUAUGUGGCGCAUCCUCGGCGCUCGAGAGAAAGAGAGAAAGAGAGAAAGAGAGAGAGAGCGAGGCGUGGGGGGGCUGCGCGUGGGCGACCCGCGCCCGUCGGGCGCGCGAGAGAGAAGGAGGGGGAGAGAGAGAGAGAGAGAGAGCAGAGGGAGAGAGAGAGAGAGCAGACAGAGGGGGAGGGGGCUGCGGGCCCCUAUGUGCCCCCCCCCCCAAAGCUGGUUCUCUCUCUUACUCUCUCUCCCCCUCUCUCUCUCUCUCUCUCUAUCCCUCGCGGGCCCCCAUGUGCUCCCCCCCCGCUGCGUUCUUUUCCACUCUCUCUCCCCCCUCUCUCUCUCUCCACGCCCGCCACCCGCUCCCCACUUCUCUCUCUCUCCCCUUUGUUCUCCCACCCCCUCCGCGGCUUCUCUCUUUCCCCACGUGCGCACGACCUGUGGCCCCCACGCGCGCGGGGGAGAGAGAGAGAGAGAGAGGAAGAGAGAGAGAGACACGGGGGGUCCCAUGGGGCCGCGCGUGCGAUCCCCCUCCUCUUUACCUCUCCAUCCCCCCCCGGCUCUCUCCCUAACCUCCCCCCUCUCCCUCUCAUUUUUCCCGCCGGUUCUCUCUUUCUCUCCCCUCUUCCCCAGCGCGGGAGGCGCAGCGGGGAGACGGACAGGCGCGGGUGGGCGGCAGCGGGCGGCGCUGCCGCGGUGCGUACACGGGCGAGGGUGAGCGCCGUGCAAGCAGGCACAAGCCGAGGCCGACGGGCCGGCACGGGGCCUACACGCUGGCGCGGCGCGCGGGCGCGGGCACGGCGCGAGCACGAGGGGGGGGGGGGGAGAGGGCGAGAGAGAGGAAGAGAGAGAGAGAGCCACGGGGGGCUGGCAUGUAUGCGGGGAGAGAGAGAGAGAGAGGAAGAGAGAGGAAGAGAGAAAAGGAGCCAGGGGGAGAAAGAGAGAGAGAAAGAGAGAGAGGGAGAGAGAGUGAAUUUUAAAAUUUUAAAUUUCAAAUUUUAUAUUUUAUAUUUAGUUUUUAAAUUUUAAUGUUAACUUAUAAUAUUUAUUUCAAUUUUAAAGCUUAAAAGUUUAAAACUUUAAAUCUCUAAACUCUAUAAAAUUAAUUAAUUAAUUAAAUUUAUCAAUAAUUAUUUAUAUAUAAUGUAAUUAGUUAAUUUAUUAAUAAUACAUAUAAUAAAUCAUGCUUCAAUCUUCAAAUUUUUUUAUUCCUCUCUAUUUAAAUAAUUUUUUUACUUUUUCUCUCUCUUCAAUUUUUUGAAGUUUAAAAUUUAAAAUUAGAUUUGAAAAUUAAAAAAUUUAGAUUAGUUUGUUAAAAAUAUUUUAGAAAUUGCGUAAAUUUCCGGCAGCAAAGCGCGGGCCUUCACUAGUAUAUAUAAAACUCAAGUUAUAAAUAUCAAAAGUUAAGGAAAUAUCAACUGAAAAUAAAAAUUGUGAGGUUUUUAUUUUUUAAUGGUCUAACGCGCGAAGCUCUUUAUAUAUUUUGAGCAACACUAUUCGUGCACCCCAUUUUGAGUGUAUGAUUAACAUCCAUCCAUAUUAUGGAUGGAAUUCUUUUGCCAAAAUUAUAUUGUUUUCGUACAACUUAUGCAAUACAUUCAAAAUUUAAAAAUUUAUGAGUUAAUAUUUUUAAAUUAUAUAAUUUGAUAGAUUCGAUUGACGAUAACCAAAUAAUUUAUGCCAUCUUGUAUAAAAAAUUCACUGGGUUUAGGAUUUUGCACUCAGUCCACUUGUUUGGAUUUUGUUGAUUCAGUCAAUUCUUUAAAUCUGACAAAAUUACCUCUCAGUCCAAAAUACAUGCAAGUUAUACAUAUUAAACCCUUCGCUACAUAGACCCUCUGUGACAAAUGACUGUCAACAAAAGUGACAGACUACCGGGGAUGAAAAUUGCCGAAUACAGUUAGAUAUUUAACGAAACUGCUAGGGCCAAUAAUAAAAUGCCAUGUGGCUGUUGGUGCACGAUUCAGCCGGGAGUCAGGAUUAAAUAGCAUUUGGUGCACCGGGAGUAGAAAAGAAAAAAGGAAUAAUAGCAUAACCGCAAGGCAUAACCGCAAGCGGUUUCGAGCGGUUUAUAGAUCGGCUGCCUUAAAUGCCGGCCAACAAACAAAAAUAGCAUGGGGAUUGCCUCCUCCGCCACCACUAGCGACAUAUCAGCCCCUAAUACUAUGUAGGCAGCGAACCCUGCAGUAUAAAAUCACGGACUUCCUCCAGGAACAAACCAGGUUCAAGUGCAAGCUCCUAUUCCCGUACAACGGAAUAAAUGAGCUUUAUGCUCAAAUAGAAGAAGCUAUCCGGAAUACAUUUGGAGUUGGGGCAAGGCCGGUAAUGCGGCCUAUAUUUAGAUCCCUUUACCCAGCAAAUAUAGAUGCGGAACAUCCAUAUCCGGCAAACUGAAAAAUACUGAAAUUUGACAAGUUUUCAGGCGAUGAAGCCGAGAACACGGUUGAACAUGUCACAUGAUUUACGGCCCAAUGUAGAUAGUCCGCUGCGGAUCCUUUUCUGAAACUCAGGUUAUUUAAUACCUCAUUAACCAAGACUGCAUUUACUUGGUAUACGAGUUUGCCGGCCAAUUCCGUCCGAGAUUGGGACGAAUAAGAGAGAAAAUUUAAUAAGCAGUUUUAUAGAUCAGAGCCGGAAUUUUCGGUAGCUGAUGUAGCUCAGUUUCGACAAAGAUCUGGAGAAUCGGUUGAAAAAUAUUUGAACUGGUUUAAAAUGGCAAGAAGUCGCUGCUUUGUGAGAAUGCCAGAAUCAGAGUUUGCUAAAAUGGUAUUCAAUGGUCUACAUUUCAAAAUCAGAGACAAUUUUGAAAAUAAGUACUUUCCAAAUCUAUUUGAUUUGGUAGUCGAAGAUCAGCCUAGAUAGAGUCGAAAUAAAGAUUGGAGUCAAGGAAUGGAGAAAAAGAUUUCCUUCGUCGAAGAAUCUUCGGCUCAAGAUGAGCCGAAUAUGUCAGAUGAAGUAGAGGAUUCGGCUGAUGAAGCCGAAAUAUAUGCUGCUGAGAUGGUAAUAAACCGCCAGCCAUAUAAAUGCGCUUUACUUAAACCCACUAAAUCUAGCAAAGCGAAAGCACGAGUAGCAGCAUAUACUUAUUCUUUUGAUAUAUCAAAAAUCGAUUUGAUUUUCGAUCGAUUGCUAAAGGAUGGACGAAUUCAACUCUAAGAGGGCCAAACGAUACUGUAACAUACCGAAUCUCCAAUAGGUUAUACCGGACUUCCGUCAAAUUGACCGGAGGGUGGUGGCGGACGAUUUGGAGAGUAGGUUGGAUGAAAUUCCGAAAUUUUUGGUGUUAUGGUGCUCUCGGGGUUCGGACCCUGUUUGUAGGGUUCGGACCCCGAACACGUGCAGAGGUGGGUUGAGCUGAGUCCUGUUGUUUGGAGGGGCUUAGUGCAAUUGUGUGUGUGGAAGUGUUUAUAUGUCGUUUUUUUUUGUGUUUAACCCCCAUUUCCCUCAUAACCUCAACAUUUGAGAGCUCUCUUUAUCUCUCUAGAUCUCUCUCUCUGUCACGCCCCGCUCCGAAACCACUACCAAUUUGGCACGAUUCGGCCGCGGCGACAGACCGCCGAACGGACAGCACUCCCCACUGUCCGCCCAAGGCUCAACCACAGGAAUGUGUACAAGAAUUCACCCAGGACUUUAAAUUCUAAACAUACACAUUCAGCAAGGGCACAAACAGUGCCAACAACAAGAAGAGCAAGUAAUCCACGAGAUAUACAAGUGAAAUAAAGAGAGUACUUUACUAACUAUUACAUUAGUUACAUUCAUUACAUCAUUUUUCAUCCAAAAUACAUAGCUCUCCAACCUCACCUACAAGAAUCUCUCUCAAUACAUAGGUGACUAAUGCAAAAAGGAAAGCUACUAUACUACCACGGUCUCACUGGUCGGGCGCGACGCCCUUGCCGCGGUCCUCUCUCUGCAGCCCUGAACCUACCACUGGAAAUAGAGUGGGGUGAGAACUAUCUUCCAUAGUUCCCAGUGGGCUCGGCCGCCGACUCUGCCGAUCUCCCCACUAGGUCCAAGUGGGCACAAGUAACAACAGAUAGAUAGAUAGAUAUGUAUCUGAAAGCUGUAAAUGCAGUAGUAGGAAAACUAUGCUACUAUGCCCAUAAUCAUGAAUAUGAAUGCAUGCAUCAUAUAAUAAAGGUUUGCUACCAUGCUAACAAAUUCGAUCCAUGUUCGAAUAGUAAUGUUCAAUGACAUUUAUAAACCUUUAACCUUUUUCAUUUACCCAAUCUGUGGCGAGGCCCUAGGGCUCGCCCAUGACUCACCUUCAAAUCCCAAAGUGGGGAGGGAGCUCCAAGUGCACCCAAGCCCGGGACCGUCUGCGGACCUCCAUGUGGUCCGGACCUCCAAGUGGUCCUAGUCGCACGACACUCCGGAGUACUCGACGACAAUCCCCUCCAUGUGGGGAUUGGAUGGCUAUACCAUCCUAAAUACAGACUGUGAGCUAGAUCUAUCCUCUCCAAGUGAGGACACUCUACAACUAGAGUCAAUAACCCAAUCGAAUCCUCUCCAAGUGAGGACGCCCUACACAAGGGUCAACAAUUAUCGUGGAAUCAUCGGUUUCCGACCUUCUUGCAAUGCUAUUUAGUUUUCUAAAUUCAUUGUUCACAAGGCAUUUUCUAAGGGAUCCACCUAUCCCUAGGUCCAUCGACCUCUAGUGUUAUUUACACUACAUUAAUGCCACUCGUUAUCAUUCGAUGUUUGGAUGCCACUCGUUUGUUCUUUGACAAUAACGCUACUUUCUAUGUCAUCAAUACCCCCAUCGGGUUCAUCUCUAUCUCUAGCAUCAUAGGAUCCACGUACCGACCCAAUCCUCACCUAUCUAGUUACCAAGCGUUCCAAGUACACUAGGUUAUCAUUUAGAAAGCAUAAGGAUGGAGCUACUAUGCAAUCCUACAAUGCAACAUAAAGAGAUGAGAUUAAAUGCAAUCUAAGACAUAGAAAGGAGUUCGAAAGCUUCGGAUGACACCCCCCACCUUUUUAUCAAUGUAGAGGCUUUGGAAAUUCCUUCCGGCGAGCUUCGCAAAAAGGCUUUAGCCUUCCUCGCCCAAAUCCAAGCUAUCCCGGCCCGAUUUUCCCGAGAACUUCACGUCGGUUCGCCGAGUGCCGAAAUCGACUUUGCCCCCGCGUUUUGGGACCUAUCAAUAGGGUUUCCAAGGCUUCAAAUGAGAUCAAUCUCAUACUUUUACAAAAGCUCCAUUUUGGAACCCUAGAUUUGCACCUAUAGCAAACCACCCCAUAAAUCUCUAGACUCUUGGGAUUGAUCUAUUUAGAAGCUUGCUUAGGGUCCCUUUGACCCAUUCCAAGGCAUAAAACCCAUAAACCCUAAGUUCUAGAAGCUAGGGUUUAGUAGCUUACCUCAAGAGCUACACCAAUGAGAAGAGGAGAGGGAGAUGGAGGUGCUCCAAGCCUUCCUCUUGAUCUCCUUCUUCUUCUCCUUCCUUAUCUUCCUCUUCUUUUUCUUCCUCUCCUUCUUCUUCUUCUCCUUCUUUUCUUCCUAGAGAGAGAAAGAGCAAGAGAGAAAUGGGAGUGAGAGAGGGGAAAUGAGAGAGUGUGAGGGAGAGAGAGGGCUCAGCCCACUCAAAUAAAUGCCAUUUUGCAUUUAGACCCCUCAACUUUUAACUCCUUGCACAGCCCUCACUGGGCUGAUUUCGCGCGGAGGGACCGGUCUCCCCGACUUGGGACCGGUCCCCGAGAGCUUCCCUCGGGCGCACGCGUUCGGGAACCGGUCUCUCCCCGGGAGACCGGUCCUUGGGAGACCGGUCCUCACCUGAGAGACCGGUCCCCGAGAGCUUGAUUUUCAGGACUUAGCCAAAUUUUUGGCAUUCUCGCUGGGACCACGUUCGGGAACCGGUCUCUCAUCACCAGGGACCGGUUGCAUCAUGCAACCCCGCAACACCCAGCCGAGGGAACCGGUCUCUCACCUCCAGAGACCGGUCCCCGAGAGCAACUUCUGAUCAAUGAUGCCAUUUGCCUCAUUUGCUCUCGCGGACUCAACUCCAAGGCACUUUUUGUACUUUGGACAUUCUCAACUCCCACAAAGGGUAUACUUCGGACAAUUAGUCGAUCCUGGAUGAAGUACAAUCCUCGUAUUUCGAGAAUUCACUUCCUUACAUCCUCCUCUCCUUAAAAGGAGUUUCGUCCUCGAAACGAACAAUUUUCCUAACUUUCAUUAAACUCAUACCUCACUCCUCAAAUAGAUGAGGAUGGUGCUUUCUCAUCAGCUCCUCGAGUUCCCAUGUGGCUUCGCGAUCAUCAUGAUUGCUCCACCGAACUUUCACAUAGGGGAUUUCUCGAUUCCUCAGCUUUCGCACCUCUCGGGCGAUAACCCCUACCGGAAACUCUUCAUAACUCAAGUCUUCUUGAAGUUCCGGAGGUUCAUAUAGCAUCGCGUGCUCGGGAUCGUGAAUGUACUUGCGGAGAUUGGAGACAUAAAAUACAUUAUGUACAUCCGCAAGCUUCGGCGGUANCGUGUAGCGUCUUGGAGACAUUAGCCCCUGCAACGCAAUUAUUUAUCAGUCAUCUUAUUCAACUGCCUCGUCGCUCUACGACGCAUGACGACUCAUUCACAAAAUCAGGCGGAAGCACACAAGCGUACUCGUCCUAGACUCUUGGCAUCAUGUCGUCGGCCGCCGACACAACCACCUCAAGUCAAGAACUCAUACAACUCGAAUCCGCCUCUAAUCUCAACUAGAGACCCAUACCAACUUCGACCCAAUUGACUUAACUUCCGCCAUCGCUAUAGGUUCACGUUCCGUUCACGCACCUAUAUCCUUAAGGCUUGCCAACCUAGGGUCUCCUAGGUCUUCCUAACUCCCUUUACUUGCUCUUAUUGCUCUGAUACCACAAAGACUGUCACGCCCCGCUCCGAAACCACUACCAAUUUGGCACGAUUCGGCCGCGGCGACAGACCGCCGAACGGAUAGCACUUCCCCUGUCCGCCCAAGGCUCAACCACAGGAAUGUGUACAAGAAUUCACCCAGGGCUUUAAAUUCUAAACACACACAUUCAACGAGGGCACAAACAGUGCCAACAACAAGAAGAGCAAGUAAUCCACAAGAUAAACGAGUGAACUGAAGAGAGUACUUUACUAACUAUUACAUCAGUUACAUUCAUUACAUCAUUUUUCAUCCAAAAUUACAUUUGAUUUCCAAAUACAUAGCUCUCCGACCUCACCUACAAGAAUCUCUCUCAAUACAUAGGUGUACUAAUGCAAAAGGGAAAGCUACUACACUACCACGUCUCACUGGUCGGGUGCGACGCCCUUGCCGCGGUCCUGACUCUGCAGCCCUGAACCUACCACUGGAAAUAGAGUGGGGUGAGAACUAUCUUCCAUAGUUCCCAGUGGGCUCGGCCGCCGACCCUGCCGAUGUCCCCACUAGGUCCAAGUGGGCACAAGUAACAACAGAUAGAUAGAUAGGUAUGCAUCUGAAAGCUGUAAAUGCAGUAGUAGGAAAACUGUGCCACUAUGCCCAUAAUCGUGAAUAUGAAUGCAUGCAUCAUAUAAUAAAGGUUUGCUAUCAUGCUAACAAAUUCGAUCCAUGUUCGAAUAGUAAUGUUCAAUGACAUUCAUAAACCUUUAACCUUUUCAUUUACCCAAUCUAUGGCGAGGCCCUAGGGCUCGCCCAUGACUCACCUUCAAAUCCCAAAGUGGGGAGGGAGCUCCAAGUGCACCCAAGCCCGGGACCGUCUGCGGACCUCCAUGUGGUCCGGACCUCCAAGUGGUCCUAGUCGCGCGACACUCCGGAGUACUCGACGACAAUCCCCUCCAUGUGGGGAUUGGAUGGCUAUGCCAUCCUAAACGCAGACUGUGAGCUAGAUCUAUCCUCUCCAAAUGAGGACACUCUACAACUAGAGUUAAUACCCAACCAAAUCCUCUCCAAGUGAGGACGCCCUACACAAGGGUCAACGACUAUCGCGGAAUCAUCGGUUCCCGACAUUCAUACAAUGUUAUUUAGUUUUCUAAAUUCAUUGUUCACAAGGCAUUCUCUAAGGGAUCCGCCUAUCCCUAGGUCCAUCGACCUCUAGUGUUCUUUACACUACAUUAAUGCCACUCGUUAUCAUUCCAUGUUUGGAUGUCACUCGUUUGUUCUUUAACAAUAACACUACUUUCUAUGUCAUCAAUACCCCCAUCGGGUUCAUCUCUUUUCUUUCGCACUAUAGGAUUCACGUCUCGACCCAAUCCUCACCUAUCUAAGUUACCAAGCGUUCCAAGUACACUAGGUUAUCAAUUAGAAAGCAUAAGGAAUUGAGCUACUAUGCAACCCUACAAUGCAACAUGAAGAGAUGAGAUUAAAUGCAAUCUAAGACAUAGAAAGGAGUUCGAAAGUUUCGGAUGACACCCCCCACCUUUUAUCAAUGUAGAGGCUUUGGAAAUUCUUGUCGGCGAGCUUCGCAAAAAGGCUUUAGCCUUCCUCGCCCGAAUCAAUGCUAGCCCGGCCCAAUUUUGCCGAGAACUCCACGUCGGUUCGCCGAAUGCCAAAAUCGACUUCGCCCCCGCGUUUUGGGACCUAACAAUAGGGUUUCCAAGGCUUCAAAUGAGAUCAAUCUCAUACAUUUACAAAAACCUCAUUUUGGAACCCUAGAUUUGCACCUAUAGCAAAUCACCCCAUAAAUCCCUAGAUUCUUGGGAUUGAUCUAUUUAGAAGCUUGCUUAGGGUCCAUUUGACCCAUUCCAAGGCAUAAAACCCAAAAACCCUAAGUUCUAGAAGCUAGGGUUUAGUAGCUUACCUCAAGAGCUACUCCAAUGGGAAGAGGAGAGGGAGAUGGAGGUGCUCAAAGCCUUCCUCUUGAUCUCCUUCUUCUUCUCCUUCCUUAUCUUCCUCUUCUUUUCCUUCCUCUCCUUCUUCUUCUUCUCCUUCUUUUCUUCCUAGAGAGAGAAAGAGCAAGAGAGAAAUGGGAGUGAGAGAGAGGAAAUGAGAGAGUGUGAGGGAGAGAGAGGGCUCAGCCCACUCAAAUAAAUGCCAUUUUGCACAAAAGCCCCUCAACUUUUACCCCUGUGCACUGCCCUUACUGGGCAGUUUUCGCGCGGAGGGACCGGUCUCCCCGACUUGGGACCGGUCCCCGAGAGCUUCCCUCGGGCGCACGCGUUCGGGAACCGGUCUCUCCCCGGGAGACCGGUCCUCGGGAGACCGGUCCUCACCUGAGAGACCGGUCCCCGAGAGCUUGAUUUUCAGGACUUAGCCAAAUUUUUGGCAUUCUCGCUGGGACCACGUUCGGGAACCGGUCUCUCACCACCAGGGACCGGUUGCAUCAUGCAACCACGCAACACCCAGCCGAGGGAACCGGUCUCUCACCUCCAGAGACCGGUCCCCGAGAGCAACUUCUGCCCAAUGAUGCCAUUUGCCUCAUUUGCUCUCGCGGACUCAACUCCAAGGCACUUUUUGUACUUUGGACAUUCUCAACUCCCACAAAGGGUAUACUUUGGACAAUUAGUCGAUCCUGGAUGAAGUACAAUCCUCGUAUUUCGAGAAUUCACUUCCUUACACUCUCUCUCUCCUAGGGUUGGCUCCAAUGGUGGAGUGGUGGUAGAGUAGAGCUUGCUUGGUGGUGAAGCAACUCUCUUGUGCAACCUUGGCUUGGAGAAAAGCUUGGUUUGAGAUAAGUAUUAUGGGAUUUAGUGGUUUUGAUGUUAGGGUUUGGUUAUUUCCUUCUAGUAGAUGCUUCUAGAGGAUAUGGAGGUGGAUUGGUUCAUGGAUCUCCAUGUUUUGGGGGUUAUUUGGUGAAGAUGAAAACCUUAGGGUUAGAAUUAGGGUUUUGGUAGAAUUGAGAUCUAACUUGAAUUUGAUCUCUUGUAGUCCUAAUUGGUGGAUAAACUGACGCGUUGGAACACUCGGUUUGAAGAUCCGACGAGUCUACGUCAAGAUAUGUGGGAAAAACCUCAUUUCGGUUUUGUUUGCCGUCGGUCGAGGAAAUAGGCGGCCAUAAAUCGCGGGACUUGAAUUGUAGUCUUACGGCAUCACUAUAGGUGGGGGGUGCUGUUCGAAAUCAUCGAAUUUCUUACUAUGUCUAUGUCGCCUUUUCUUGAGCAUAUAUGUGUAUUAUGGCAUUCAAGCAUUGUAGGAUAUUGGGCUAUGGUUGGGAAUCUUUAUAUGCUUUCAAUGUUAGUGACCAUAUGAAUAGAUAUUGAACCAUGCAUGUUAAACCCUGUAGAUGUAUGAAUUGGAUGAAUGUGGACUAUGACAUUAGUAAAUAAAGGUGACAUUAACAUUAACCGGUGUGAAUUGUGUGGUAUGCUAGAUAAGGUAAACCCUUAAGAGUAUUGUGGAAUGUUGGAUUAUGGCAAUAGUGACAUUGUGACAUUAGUGACAUUGUGACUAGAGGUAUGAAUAGCUCCAAAGAUAUGGUAUGCUAGACGAGAUAUAAAACCUAUGAGCAUUGUGGUAUAAAACCUAUGAGCAUUGUGGUCGAAAGCCUAUGAGCAUUGUGGCAAGUAUGGCAAGUGUGGCGAAGUAUGUGUUAUGCUAGACAAAGUAACAUCUUUUUGCGCAUUGUGGCAUGUGGCUUUGUGACAAAAAUAGCAAGUUUGGCCAUACAUCCUCAAAUUGAGGAUUGGAUCAUACUCACAUUGGGUCAUAGCUUGAGGGCAGUAGCUCCCCCUCAAGCGGUGUGCUCCGGAGUUGUCACCACUAUGUGUAGCGGAAUCCUCCCCAGAAGACGGUCCCUCGGGUUGUAGCGGUAUUCUCCCCGAUCGACAAGGAUUUUGGUUGUGAGUUUUGGGGUUAACCAUGUGUUAACCGGGAUGAUUGGGUAAAAGCCAAGGUAAAUGUGGAUUGUAUUAUGGAUCCCGUCGGGUUGUAGCGGUAUUCUCCCCAACAGGAAAGGGACUGGGUUUGGUAAGUGAAAGAUAUGCAUCAUCAUCAUGAUGAUAUCACUUGUUAAUUUAUUGCUUGUUCAGGCGUUGUAGUAGCAUUGCAUUAGUUGGUUUGCUAUCUAUCUAUCCUUUUCCUACAUAUGCCUGAGUAGACCUAGUGGGCGAGUUGGCGGGGUUGGCGGCCGAACCUACUGGGAACUUUAUUGUAGUUCUCAUCCCACUAAGCAUGCAGGUCCUUGCGCGAGUGGGGCGGUCGAGGAUCGCGGCAUGGAUAUCGUGCUCUAGAUAGCAAACUGUCGUUGUAUAUAGAGCCACCUUAUGUAUUUCAUCUAUUAUAGUUGAUGAAUGGAAAAUGUAAUAAUUUCAUUUGAGAGAUGAUUAUGUAUAUUGGAUGAAUGGAUGUAAAGAAAAUGUAUAAGCUUUGUAAUUGAUUCAAAAUGAUCAAGUUACAAUGUAUGGAUGUAAUAGCUAGAUAACUUUCACUUGCGAUAGUGUUGCUUGCCCUCAUGCAGGCCAUGUAUACUCCAAUUCUACCUUUGUUUGUAUUGCUAUACAUGUUGGGUGGAGCCUUGGGCGGAUAGCGGAUAGGAAAGGUUCUGUCCGUUCAACGUCUGUAGACGUACCCGAACCGACCAAAUUGGUGUUAAGUCUUGUGUGUUGGCAAGUUUCGUGAAGUGAGUCGGAGUCUUGAAGUAUCGAUAUGUAUCGUCGAAGAUCGAAGAAUCCAAGACUUCGAAGAGAUUGGAAAAUAACUCACGACGUGAAUCACGAUGCUCAGGUAAAGUUUUAAUUCAUGUUAUGGUGAUUCNCGUACCCGAACCGACCAAAUUGGUGUUAAGUCUUGUGUGUUGGCAAGUUUCGUGAAGUGAGUCGGAGUCUUGAAGUAUCGAUAUGUAUCGUCGAAGAUCGAAGAAUCCAAGACUUCGAAGAGAUUGGAAAAUAACUCACGACGUGAAUCACGAUGCUCAGGUAAAGUUUUAAUUCAUGUUAUGGUGAUUCAUACUUAGUUAUAGGCAUUAGAAUCAUAUAAUCAAAGUUUAGUGGAUUAGAAAGUGUAUUGGAACUUUGCGAAACCCGAAAUGUGAAAAAAAUCUGAAAACUACACUGUGUACGGGUACACAUUGAAAGUGUUACUGGUUACAAACUGUGUACGGGUACAACCAUCAACGUGUUACCGGUUACAAACUGUGUACGGGUACAACCAUAUACAUGUUACCGGUUAUAAGACUGUUUUGAUUUUCUGUUCCGUCAUCGUGUAACCGGUAACAACUUAAGUGUGUACCGGUACACAAUGUAAGCUUUUCUGCUCCGUCAUCAUGUACCGGUGACAGCCUCACGUGUACCGGUACACAAUGCAAAUUUCGGAAAAAACUUUCUAAUCCGACUGCGAUUGAUUUUAAAGCCUAUAAAUAAGCUAUUGGGGUUCUCUAACUCAUCAUGCAUCAUGAAAAUACAUAUUUGAGAAACCCUAGAGGCUCGAAAUUCAUCAAAAACCUAUUUUCUUUAUAAAGCCUCUUUUAGGUCAAAUCGAGAUAUUGGAAUUUCAUAUCUAUAUGUCGAUUUGAUCUUUGCAUCGCUUGGAGUUCUCUUCCCUGGCUUUUAUCGAUACUCUAAGCGAAGGAUCACCAUAGCAUGAUGCUCUUCAUGAACGGUGUCAUGGAUUCGGCAAUGUUGAAGGUGAUUCGUGGAUUCGGAUCGUUGGCUCGUGGAUUCGAGUGGCGUCGUGGAUUCGGCGUGAUAGAAGCUUCGUGUAUUCGAAGUGGAGGCGUUCGUGGAUUCGAACGUGAGGGCGUGGACAACCCAGAGGAUUGCGUGAGAUUUAUAGGAAGUUAAGAGAGGUUGAGUCCGUGGAGUCGGUAAUCACCUUGUAAUCUUUUCUUUUAGUGAAUUAUUUUUUCGCAUGUUUGUCCCGUGGGUUUUUCUCCAAGUUGGAGUUUUCCCACGUAAAUCUCGGUGUAAUUUUUAUUUUCCGCAUUUAUUUUUAUCGCAUUGAGAUUUGUGGUUUUUGGCUAUUACACCUAUUCACCCCCCUCUAGGUGUUAGAUACAAUCUAGAUAGAUCCUUGGGCACCCCAUAACUUUCAAUUGGUAUCAGAGCGGGAUCUAGAUAAAUUGUUAUCUAAUGGCCGAAGGCGGAAACAUUAAUUGACCAUCGCUCUUCAAUGGCACAAACUAUGCCUAUUGGAAAGUUCACAUGAGAGCUUUUCUAAUCGCAAUCGAUGAGCGCGUUUAGCAAUAAAUAGAAUUUGGAUGGAAACAUCAUAUUGAAAAGGUCGAGAAUGUUGAAACGCCAAAACCAUGAAACAAGUGGACAAAAGAUGAAAACAAGGCAUCUUCGUUUAACGGCAAGGGCAUAAACGCUUUAUUUAAUGCAUUGUCUCAAACGGAGUUUACUCGUGUUUCAGCGUGUGGAACCGCCAAAGAAAUUUGGGAUACUCUAUAAGUUACGCAUGAAGGAACGAGCUUACUAAAGGUCCAAAAAUUGCAAAUGUUAACAAGUAAAUUUGAUUCAAUUUUUAUGGACGAAAAUGAGACCUUUACCGAGUACUAUACGCGUCUACAAAACGUUGUGAAUACAUGCGCUAACUUGGGAGAGAAAAUUCCGGAUGCUAAAGUUGUUAGAAAAAUACUUAGAACUCUUCCAGAACGGUUUCGGGCUAAGGUAGCGUGAUCAAAACGGUUAAGCAUCCGGAUGAGAUGAAAGUAGAGGAGUUAGUAGGUGCUUUGCAAACUUAUGAAAUGACUUUUCCUACUAAUCAAUUUUCUUCCAAGUCUUCUCCUAAAAGUACAUGGUUGCACUCAAAUCGACAAAGAAAGAAGACGACGACUCUGAUUCCGACGGAGAUAUUUUGCUCGCCGAUUUCGAACAUCAAUUAGCGCUCCUAAUGAAGAAGUUCCGACGGAAUUUUUGAAAAAAUAGAUCGGACAAGGCUUCAUCCUCUAAGCAAAAAUUCUUUUCUAAGCAUUCUCCUAAUUCUAAAUCUAAGGAUAAAAAACUUGCAAAGUCUUCAAAAGAAAAAGAUGAAUUUGAAGGAAAAAUCCAAUGCUACAAAUGCAAAGGCUACGGACACAUUGCAACGGAUUGUCCUUCUAAGAAGACUUAUGAACAAAAGGCUUUGCAAGCAAAGACUUGGGAUGACUCUUCCUCUAGUGAAUCAUCUUCAAGUGACGAAGAAAAGAGUGAUCAUGUUGCUUUAUUUACUAACACUUCUUUAUCUUCGUCUAACGUUGUUUGUUUAUCCUCUAUUGCUACUAAUUCCAAUGUUUCUCUUUCUUCGCAUGACUCUUCGAGCGACAAUGGCGAAAGCGAGGAGGAAUCAAACGACGAGGACUUAGCGGAAGCGUAUAAUCAACUCCUUAUUGAAUAAAAAAAGAUGGCCAAGCAUAAUAAGAAGUUGAGGCGUUGUCUAUUGGACAUUGAGAAAGAAAACAAAAAUUUGAAGAUUACAAAUAAAGCUCUUGAGAAGGAAAGGGAAUCAAUUUUGAAAAAUAAUUCGGACCUUCAAAAGAAGCUUGAUGAAGCGGAAACAAUGAUCAAAUAUUCUAAUGAUAAGAUUGGUUUUCUAGAACAACAACAUAAAGAAAUUCGUUCAUCCAAUCAAGUGUUGACUAAACAAGUUUAUCAACUUAACUCCGACAUUCAAAAAUUUUCUUCCGAAUCGAAGAAAUUGGAUCAUAUGCUAGGAUUGGGUCAAACGAACAAGCUUGGUCUUGGUUAUGAAAGGACAUAUGUUGAGAAGGAUCAAACGGCGAUAUCUAAAGUCUCAACAACUUUGAAAGAGAAGGUGUGUCAUAAAUGUGGCAUCAAAGGACACAUCAAAAAGAGUUGUCCAAACAAGGAUUUGAAACGUCAAUCCGUAUUCUCUAAACCUCAAUCGGCAUCAUCUACAACUCGACAUCCCCCACGGAAUCAAAAGCAAAAUCAUUUAAGUCAAACGCCUCUAGGGAACCGGUUUUCUAAUGCACAAUGUUAUGUUCGACCGAACCCAAAAGCAAACCGGAUUUCUAAGCCUCAACGACAAGUUCAACCGAAGCCUGAAGCAACGAAACGACAAACGGUUGAUUCAAAAUCAAAACAAAUUGUGAUUAACGUCGACAAACCAAGACAACCAACAAUCCGACAAGUUUGGAUCCGAAAAGGUGAUAUCUUUCCUUGCUCUUUAUCUUAGUUUGUUCUAUUGUUUAUAUAAUGCUUUGUUUGGUGCUUAUUGCAUAUUUUUAUUCAUUGCAUUACAUGUUUAGACGAUUUUUGGUGCUUGAAAUUUAUUUGUUUCAAAAUUAUUUUGAGGAAAGGUGAUUUGGAAUUUAAAAAAAAACUCUUUCUUUGAGAUAGGAGAUGAUUGAAAAUCUUACUUUAGGGAGUAUUUUAAAUGUGACUUAACCAGAAUUCAAAUUGAAUUAAAUUCAUAUUAAUUAUCGGUUUUACUCUACUUUUUAUUAUUUUGACGAUAAUUUAUUAUAUGAAUUCUUAAUACACAUAUUCAUCAAAAUUUUGAAAUCAAAUUUGAUCUCUUGGUGAUUAAUUCAUCUUGGUUGUGUGUGUUGGAUAUGAUGGAUGGAUAUUCUCUNGGUGAUUAAUUCAUCUUGGUUGUGUGUGUUGGAUAUGAUGGAUGGAUAUUCUCUAAUUGACUAAAAUUCGUCAAAAUUAUUUUCAAUUGUGAGAUUGUCUAAUUUAUGGGGAGUUUUGAAUUAUUUAAAAAAUAUACAUAUAUAAAAAAAGGGAAACUCCUAUGUUUAAAAGAUGUGGAAAAAGCUACAUCCAAAAGGAGUGUGAAACUACCACCACAUGUAGAAAAGAGCUACCACCCCGGUCGUCCGGUACGUGUGUGAAGCUACCACAUGAAGAUUGAAUUAAAUAACCGAAAAGGUUGAAAAAAAAUAAAUAUUUUAGAAUUUUCGGAGUUGUAAGGUGUUAGAAUGAAAAGAUGCUCAAAAAGCCACCCCCGGUGCUAUAUUAGUUAAAUCUCUAUUUUGAACGAUUUGCGACAAAUUGAGGUCAAUUUGGUUGAAUUUCUAAAAAUCAUUUUUCAUGAACCGUUACAUCUUGAUGGUUUUGAAUCAUUAGAUUAUUUUUGAUAACAUAAUUUUGAUGAUUCGAUGCAUUUUGAAAUCCUAUAAUAUUUUAUCUUCAUCAUAAUAAUUUUUGGAGUAUAAUUUUUAAUUUUUAUGAAAUUAAUAUAUUUUGAGGAUUGUCGGAAGGCCGUGUUAUAUAGCCUCUUGGCAAGUUUUGGCACGUCAAUCUCGAGUGCUGCAACGAAUCAAAUGAUGUGUGCUUUGCUUUUCUUUCAUUCUCUUUUAGGCCUAUGACUAUGACAUGACUACUCUUAUACUUUCUAAUAAGUUUUCUCUUUAUAUGCUUUGUCUUUGGCAAUUUUUGAGAAAAAGGGGGAGAGCAUAGAUGAACAAGUGUUGAUCGAGAACAAAGGAGAAUAAGGAAUAAAAUCAAAGGAGAAGAGGAUGAAUUCAAGAACAAAGGGGGAGAUGUGAUCAUCGAGAACAAAUGUGGAGAAGGUAUAAGAAUAUAAUGUUGUUAAGGUGGAGAUGUGAUCUACAUUGUUUUUGGAUAAAUUGUUUUGCAGGAAAUCAAGACUUCAAGACUCCUAAUUGUGUCUAAGUCAUAGAGUCUGUUUUAGGAGUUUUGAUGUACUUUUGCAUUUCAUAUUGUAUUUGGAUCACAUGCGAGGGGUUCAAUGUUUUGGUGAUGACAAUUGAACUUCGUUUUUCUUUAAGAUGUAAUUUUUGAGUAGUUGUGAGUUUUGUUACGAAAUUGCCAAAGGGGGAGAUUGUUAAGUCUUGUGUGUUGGCAAGUUUCGUGAAGUGAGUCGGAGUCGUGAAGGAUCGAUAUGUAUCGUCGAAGAUUGAAGAAUCCAAGACUUCGAAGAGAUUGGAAAAUAACUCACGACGUGAAUCACGAUGCUCAGGUAAAGUUUUAAUUCAUGUUAUGGUGAUUCAUACUUAAUUAUAGGCAUUAGAAUCAUAUAAUCAAAGUUUAGUGGAUUAGAAAGUGUAUUGGAACUUUGCGAAACCUGAAACGUGAAAAGAAUCUAAAAACUACACUGUGUAUGGGUACACAUUGAAAGUGUUAUCGGUUACAAACUGUGUACGGGUACAACCAUCAACAUGUUACCGGUUACAAACUGUGUACGGGUACAACCAUCAACAUGUUACCGGUUACAAGGCUGUUUUGAUUUUCUGUUCCGUCAUCGUGUAAGCGAUAACAGCUUAAGUGUGUACCGGUACACAAUGUAAGAUUUUCUGUUCCGUCAUCAUGUACCGGUGACAGCCUCACGUGUAUCGGUACACAAUGCAAAUUUCGGGAAAAGCUUUCUAAUCUGACUCCGAUUGAUUCUAAAUCCUAUAAAUAAGCUAUUGGGGUUCUCUAACUCAUCAUGCAUCACAAAAAUACAUAUUUGAGAAACCCUAGAGACUUGGAAUUCAUCAAAAACCUAUUUUCUUCAUAAAGCCUCUUUUAGGUCAAAUCGAGAAAUUGGAAUUUCAUAUCUAUAUGUCGAUUUGAUCUUUGCUUCGCUUGGAGUUCUCUUCCCUGGGUUUUAUCGAUACUCUAAGCGAAGGAUCACCAUAGCAUGAUGCUCUUCAUGAACGGUGUCGUGGAUUCGGCAUAAUUGAAGGCGAUUCGUGGAUUCGGAUCGUUGGCUCGUGGAUUCGAGUGGCAUCGUGGAUUCGGCGUGAUAGAAGUUUCGUGGAUUCAAAGUGGAGGCGUUCAUGGAUUCGAAAUUGAGGGCGUGGACAACCCGGAGGAUUGUGCGAGAUUCAUAGGAGGUUAAGAGAGGUUGAGUCCGUGGAGUCGGUAAUCACCUUGUAAUCUUUUCUCUUAGUGAAUUAUUUUUUCGCGUGUUGGUCCCGUUGGUUUUUCUCCAAGUUAGAGUUUUCCCAUGUAAAUCUCGGUGUAAUUUUUAUUUUCCGCAUUUAUUUUUUUCGCAUUGAGAUUUAUGUUUUUUGGCUAUUACACCUAUUCACCCCCCUCUAGGUGUUAGAUACAAUCUAGAUAGAUCCUUGGGCACCCCAUAACUUUCAAUUGACGUUCGCGGGGCGUGGCAGAUACCCUACGGAGAAGAGUUGAAAAGGAGGAGAUAUUGUAAAUUACUACAACAGAAUUAGGUUAUAGGGACACAUGUUUGGGACACUUUUGAGUAAGUGUCCCAUUUAUGCUAAAACUUAAAAACACAUCUACUAAUGCCUAAAUAUAAAGCCCAAUCCAGCCAAAAAUAAAAGAUUACUCUACUCAACCCACCACACCCAGUCCAUUUGGCCCGAUUACAAACAGAAAAGAAAAAAAAAAGAAAAAUUAAUUACCAUCUUUUCUUCUCUUUUCGCUCAAUCCACUGAAAUUCUAGACGAAGAGCCUUUACUGUUGUCCUCCUCCGCCACCGCAGCCAACGAGAUAGAGUUUCGGCGGUUGCUAAAUGCUUAAAUAAGUGUUGAUAAAUUAGCAGCACUCUUUUACGUUAUAGCGACACUCUUUAACUGUCACUAUAUACCUAGCGACCCCACAUAUAGCAACACUUUUUAAAAGUGUCGGUAAUUUUAGCUAGCAGCACUUUUUUGAUAUAUACCUACAUUUAAAAGUGUCGCUAUAGACCGUUUUUGUUGUAGUGAAUGGCACCAUUCAUGGAGCCAUAGAACAAAUGAUUGUACCGCCUUUAACAGGUAGAUUUAGAAGAAAAUAAAUGAAGGUUGGCUAAUAUUUGUCGACCAAGAGAACAAAAAUAUGAAAGUUGACAAAAAUCCUUUUCCCUCGCAGGUCAAUAUGAUGGAUAUCAAAGGGAAGGCUCCUGCGGACAAGAAGACAGAUGAUGGUAUUGCCUACACUGAGAGGAUAUUACAGCUAUCCAUAAGAUGCAAGACCGAAAUGACAAAAAGAGAUUGGGAGGCGAUUAUUCAUGAGAAGAAACUAUACGGGGAAUGGAGAGAGUUCAUGUCAUUCUCCGAAGAAUAGAAAGAUAUACGCGAAGCAGAGAACAACUCAAAAGAAGGUUCGGAAGAAGCCUCCAAUGGUUCCGAACAGGACGUUGAUUAUGUGAAAGACAAGAGAGACCUAUUAGUGCAAAAGGUCUUAAAUGAUUAUUACAACAGUCGAAGGGAAGAGCGUAAUAGCCGAUGGAGUUAUCCUGAGAAAUCAUUCGGCUUUCAACAAAGAUUCUCAGGAUAUCGGCCAAACUGGCAACAUCAGAUCAAGCCGAGACCUGAACCUGAAUUUGAAGGGAUGACCGAGGGUGACAUCGAGUUCCUCGGUCGUAGGUUAGUCAAUGAACUUGGCAUUCAGCCUUGGCCGAGACUAUAAGGUACCGGACUUCCAAAAUUACGAAGUUACGGUGUAUAAUGGUUUGGAUAGCCAUUUGAAUGGUUCUGGUGAAAUUCGAGAGCAUUCGGGCGUUUUUAGUGCGCUCGGUACGCGUAGGCGUGAAAACGAAACCCGAAAGGCUAUGUUGGGCCGUGGAUUAAAUCCGGCGUUAGCGUAGAUGAAGAGAUGAGGUGAACAUGCUCGAAAACAUGUGUGGGGAGUCUCGGUGCGAUUUGAAAUGAAUCGGAGACCUGCGGAGCAAAAAUGAGCGAAAACGGAGAAGAAACGGUGAAAAUGCUGAAAAUUUGGCUAAAUCCUAAAGUGCUGGAAUUCUGGACCUAGGGGGAUGGGUCCCUCAGCCAAGGAGCGGUCCUUCAGGUACCGGUCUCUCUAGCCAAGGACCGGUCCCCGUACGCGAGAAUGCCUAAAAUGGGCUGUGUACAAGGAAGCAUUGUUGAGGGGUUUUUAUGCAAUUUUGCAUUAGUAGGAGCUAUAUGAGUGGUCUAGGGUUUAUUCUCCUCAUUCCUCUCAACCCUAACACCCAAAACACUUCUCUCUCUCUCUCUAGAAGCUCUCUCUCUCUUCAAGGAGGAAGGAAAGGAUGAGGGAUUGGUGGAGAAGAAGCAAAGGAGUGGGAUCAUCAUCUCCAUCUUCUUCUUCUCAAGCUUGGAGCAAGCUUUUGGAGGUAAGCUUGAUGUCCAUUUAUGGUGAUUUCUUAGGGUUUGAUUUAAAUACUCUACGAAUGAGUUUGGAUGAAUCCCUUGGUCCUAAUUAGAUGCUAUUUGCUUGAAUCAAGACCCGGUUUAGUGUAUUCUUGCAAAUGGUGGUUCUAGGGCUCCAAAAUGGGGGUUUUUGUAAAUAUGAGGGUUUGAUCUCAAUUGACCCUCCGUAAACCUAAUUGCUAGGUACAUGAACGCAUUGGUGAAGUCGGUUCGGCGAUUCGUCUAGCCGGUGCGAAGAUAUUGAAGAAACGGACUAUUUAGCUUCAUUUCCGCCUGGAGGGCUGUAGCACAUAACCGAAGACCUAUAAUUUUCAGAUCCGUGGUUCGACGCACGGUUGGUGCGCAACUGCAAGAUUGGGCCGUGCCGGAUACGUGUGCCGCGGGAGGCCGAUUGCAAGUGACUACAAGCAAUCGGAGAGCGAAUCGAGGUGGGUUGUGCUCACCGAAGCGACUAGGUCGCCUGUAUGUCUAAGAGAAAUGUGAAAUCAUAUUGUAAUACACUGAACUUUUGCAAAUUGCGGAGUUCGAGUGUGUCAAAUGAUAUGUGAAACUAUCCUACAUGUUCUAAAAGGCUUGGACAAGUUUUUGGACAAGUUAGAGAGUGAUUGGAUGGCUAAAAGUAAGAAAGUGCAUUGCUGUGGCAUUUCUCUCGAAUUUUUGCAUUGUGUACCGGUACAACAUUAAUGCUGUACCGGUACAGCAUGCAGCAGAGGCAGCAGGUGCGUGGCAGCAGGGAUUUUUUGGUCUUUUGGCAUCUAAUCUUAUCCCUAUAGCUAUCUGGUCGACCCCUGAAGUUGCUGGAAGGCCCUUAGAGAUCAGAACAAGCUUCUUCUCUCUCUCCCUCUUUCUCUCACUAGGGUUUCUCUCUCUCCAAGUAAAAUUCGCCGUUACGCGCCGAUUUUGCGUCGAGCUCGUUGCUCGCUGAUUGGAGGACUCGAGGGAAGUCUUUGGAACAUGGAAAGAGGAGUUUUGCUGAGUUUUCUGUGAGGUUACCACCAGGGAAAGCUGAAUCCCAGCUUUAGAGAGAUAAUUAGCUCACUAUCUCUCUAGUUUGUGGUUUAAUAUUGGAUUUUGACGCGUUUUGGUUCCGUUGCUACCAGCUGUGUUAGAUUGAGGUUUCAGCAGCUAGAGAUGACCUAAUUAGCUGUGAAUUAUCCACUUUAAGCCUGAGAUAAGCUGCUUUGAAACCUGAAUUAAGUAAUUAGUUGUUAUGAAGCUAAUUCGGAUCUAAACGAAAUUUAAUCGGGUAAUUGAUGCAGUUUGGAAAUUGUAUCUUCGCAGCAGGUUUUCAAACCAAAUUGAGCUAAAUUUGUGAUCUAAGGAACUUGUUUGCAGGGUGUUCCAACCAAAGGUAAGCUGAAAUUUCAGUUAGGAACCUGAAUAUGCAAGGUUUCAGCUAUAGGAACUAGUAUACAAGCGUUUUGACGCCGUUUUGAGGUUGUUCGCAGCAAGAGCGCGAUCGAGCCUUAGAUCAUCUUCUGUUGGCAUUGAAGAGCAAUUGAAGAGCAAUUGGAGGCUUAAUUUGAGGUACUAAUGUGACCCGAAACAGGGAUUUAAGCUAGUACUUUGUAUUAAGUGUGAAUUGUACCGAAAUUGGAUAUUUCGAUUGUAGUAUUGAUACAACUUUCGUACCUUGAUACCGCAGGAUUGAGGCUUCGUUGAGCUUGAUUUCGGGACUCUUGUGGACUAAAUUGGAGUCUUGUAUUAGGUGGGUUUAACCUAACCAGAGCAAGUGAAGCUCCCCUAUGUUCUAUAUGAUACUAUAGAAAUAGCAUAUGAAUGCAUUUGGCGUAACUUGGGAAUCGACAUAGAUUCAGAACAUUACCACCAUCAUAGUUGAUAUAUGUAUGUGUAGUGAAUUGAAAUCUCUCUUAAGUAGAGAAAUGCAUGCAUAGAAGUAAAUAUGUUUAUGUUUGACUCAGUUGAAUGAUUCAUGAACAAUCUAGUAUGUUCUUAAAGUAGAGAACAAUAACAAUCUUAUGACUUUAUUGAUUAUAAAGUAGAGAACAAUGACAUACUUUGUGACUAUAACCAUAGUGCUAUGAUAGUGGAAAGUUUCGAAUGCUAUAAGCAAAUUAGCAUUACUAUAAGGGAAGUGAAUUCUCGAAAUCCGGGGAUUAGACUUCGUUGGGAAUCGACUGAUUGUCGAGUGUGUAAGCUCCGGAAAGUCCGAAGGUGGUUAUAAUGCAUAAAGUGCAUUGAGGAAAUGUCCGCGAGAGCACCAGUGCAAAAACAGCACUGGAGCAGAAAUGCUCUCGGGGACCGGUCCCUGGCAGGGAGGGACCGGUCCCAUCGGGCUGGGCUGCGGGGGUCUCUGAUGAGACCGGUCCCUGGCGGGCAGGGACCGGUUCCCGAACGUUAACCCUACGAGACAAGCCGAAAUUUGGCUAAGUUCCGAGAAUCCAGCUCUCGGGAACCGGUCUCUCGGACAAGGACCGGUCUCCCGAGGACCGGUCUCUCGAGCAGAGAUCGGUUCCCGAACGCGAAAACCCUUCUGCCCGAAUGGGAGGCCUUCGGGGACCGGUCUCCCUGAGCUGGGACCGGUCCCUCACUGCGAAAAUGGCCCAAGGAGGGCUAUUUCAGAAAAUGAAAAGUUGAGGGGGCUAUCUGGAAAAUGGCCUAUAUGAAGGCUUGGGGACCCCUCUCUCCAUCUCAUUUGCUCUCUCUCCCUUUUACACUCUCUCUCUCUCUUUCUAGAAAAGAAAAGAAAGAGAAGAAGAAGGAAAGGAAGAGAAAGGAGAAGAAGGAAAGGAGAAGGAGUAGGAGAAGAAGAAGACAAAGGUGGAGACCACCUUCCUCAUCUACUUCUUCUUCUUGGACUAAGCUUUUGAAGGUAGGCUUUAAACCCUUUAAUGGUGUGUCUAGGGUUUGGGGGUUUUAUAGCUUAGAAAUGGUUCGAAUGGGACCUAUUGAAGCUAGGGAGAUGGUUCGAGCUCGAAAUCGAAGCUCGCACCGCGGAUUUCUCCAUUGUUGAAACCUAGGGCUUCGAUUUGGGAUUUUGGCAAAUUUAGGGUUUUGAUCUAAUUUAAUAGGUCGCAAACCUAAUUGCUAGGUCUCUGAACGCGUCGACGAAGAUGGUUUGUCGAUCCGUCGAGUGGGUGCGGAGUUAUCGCCAAAGAAGACCUUCGGAGCUUCGUUCUCGCUUAGAAGGCCAACGAGGCGUCGAAGCGUCGGCGAAUCACAUUUGAAGACUCACGGCAUCGCCACGAGGUGGGGGAGUGCCAUCCCGAAGCAGUCGGGCUGCUCUUUAUGUCUGAGUAACAUUGUCGAUCAUUUACAUAUUGUGAUAUAGCAUUAUAGGGUAUUAAAUGUGAUUGUACAUAUCUUCGCAUGCUAGUGAUAGUUCGAGUUGUGGAUAUAAUGAAUGAAAACCUAGUAUACAUGAGUAGAAUAUUAUGAGAUAGUUCGCCCUAUAUGUGAUGAAUAUGUCUAUGUGAAUAAGAACCUAGUGUAUUGGAAACUAGUGUAUCAAGAACUUGUCAAGAGAACGAGUGGCAUCUAGUAAACAGUGAACCCAGAACGAGUGGCACCUAGUUGGUAUUGAACUUGAGAACUUUAGUGUGGUUGAGACACUAUGAGAUUAAGCAGAUGAACACCGGAUGUUAUAGUGACGCCAAUCCCAGUUGGUUAGGGUGUUCCCAGUUAUGAGAUUGGAUCGAGCUCACUUAGCCUGUCUGCACCUGUGGAGGUAGCUCCUCACAGGUAGUGCACUCCGGAGUUUGGCACGCGAGGGGGCCAGUGUAGUGCCCUUGGACCAGUGUAGUGUCCGCAGGCGGUCUCGGGGAAGGUGAAUAACUAGCCACCUCUCCUAUGAGACUUAGAGACGUGAGACUGUGAGCGAACCUUGCGUUCGCCGUGAGAUUGGGUAAUUGGAUGAAUGAUUUCAUUAUUGAGCAUGGUAGUCUGAUAGCCAGCCUUCUUACUAUGAGUCGCAUGCAUGCAUCAUACUAGAUUGAGGCAUUGAUAGAUCAUAGCUCCUAGUUGCUCAUUACUGUUAAUGCUUUCAGUUUUAUAUAUCUAUCUAUUCGCAUAUCUAUCUGUGCCUGCUUAGACCUAGUGAGGAGAUCGGCGGAGUCGGUGGUCGAACCCACUGGGAACUAUUCGUAGUUCUCACUCCACCAUAUUGCAGGUCCGAGUUCGAGCACCCCCGGUGAGGAUCAUGGCAAGGGCGUAGCGCCCUAGCGGUAUAUGUAUAUAGUUAGCUUACCUCCUUUUGCAUUAGCCCUACCCUAUACUUAUGUUCGAGAGUAGAUUGAUGUAUAGGGUGAGGUUUUGAGAAGAUUGUAUGUAUUGUACCUACGUUUUGGAAGAAUGUAAAGGAUGAAAUAAUUGUAUAAAGCUAAAUGAAUUAAUAGUUAAGUACAUCUCUUUUAUCACUUGUAUGCUUUACAUGUGUUGCUUGCUCUUUGUUGAUAAGCACUGUUUGUGCUCUCGUGGUUGUUGUAUGAUUGUGUAUGUAUUCAAGUUGUUUCCUGGGAAGUUGUUGUACACAAUCUAACUGUUUGAGCCUUGGGUGGACAGAGGAGGUGCUGUCCGUUCGGCGGUCCAUUCGCCGCGCCCGAACCAGACCAAAUUGGUAUCGGCCUCGAGGCGGGGGCGUGACAAUUACUCUUACAUGAUUACUACUCUAGUGGAUACUAGCUAUGUUCAAUAUCUGUUAUAUUGAAAUUCCGAUCAGAGGAUCGAGAGUGAGAACAUUGCAAGAUAAAACGUGAUGAUUGAGAUGUAUUGGAUUAUGGACUUUGCUUACUUGCCAUCGUGCUCAUUCGCACGCGCUUGUGAGGGUAGCUCCCUACAAUCCGGCACUCCGGAGUUGGCCUACGCGACAGUUACUUGCCCGUGCGGGAUUGGGUGCCGAAGUGGAUUGCCGUAGGGAGUGUAUACUACCACGGGGCCAUUAGGCACGGCGCGAGCUGGACUACCUUGGGUAGGUCCUUAUGAAUAAAAUGAAAGUACUAAAUGACAAAGAAUAGUAAUGAAUGCUCAUCAGUUAUAGUGUACAGUAUUUACUUACAUAUCCAUGUUUAUGUUCAUGUCUAUAGUAGUUGCUAUGCUUCUAUUAUUCAGUUGAUUCAUUACUGCAGAAAUCAUGAUUACAUGUUGAUUACAUGCCUAUUGCCUGCUAGCAUUGCAUAUAGAUAUCAUGCAAUUAUCGCUUUUACUUUCAUUUAGUACAUCAUGAGCCUAGUGGUGUAAUUCCCCGAGGCUGGCGGCUUACCCAUUGGGAACUAUUGUUAAUAGUUCUCACGCCCUUUGGUGGUUGUUUUUACAGAGCCAUCUACAGGAGAGGCUAGGGAUCGUGGCAAGGGAGUCGCGUCUAGCUAGACAUUGCUAGGAGCAUGCUAGUCGAUCACCUUGCUACUCGGGCUACGACCGAGGGUGAUGUCCCUAUAUAUAAAGAGAGACCACUAUUGUACCUACUUUUUGUAUAUGUACUGUUGAACCAGAUAUUAUAGUUCUGUUACUUUUUUUUUUAGUUGAGAUUUUGGAUUGGUUACUCCUUGUUCCUCUAUUGAUAGUAUUUGGAACUUAUACUUUGCUCUGAUAUCAGGAUAGGAUUUUUCUAUAUUUUUCUCCUAUCGCCUUACUUUCUUGUAGACGCCUUAUAUACUGCAGGUGUAUGGCGGGUCUGUGCACGUACCGGAUAUGCUUCCGCUGGUACCUGGGCGUGACAGAUUAUAGUGGUAUCAGAGCCUAGGGUUGAGUCUUAGUAGACCUAGCAAACCUUAGGCUGGUUGGACUAUAAAAAUAGGCUCGUGAGAGACGAGGUCUAGUUGAGGAUUGUUGCUAGCGAAAGUACUUUGAUUCGGUAAUUUAUAAACUCCGAAUGGUAGGAGUUUGAUCGCAAUGUGCAAUUACUAGCUUUGCAGGGGGCCACGUUGGCGGUUGACAACGUGACAUCGGAUGUUAGUACGCGUUACAUUUCAUUACUUUCGCUUGAUUAGUUGGUUUAUACCUGAAGUAAAGUUCAAUAGUAUAGGUUUUAUUAAUCUAUGUUUGUUUUUGUGCUGCAGCUUAAGAUGCCGUUGACUCGUUCGAAAACAACCGAGGCGGCUGAGGCGGCGGAUGCAGAGGAAGUGGGGACCUCCGUUACUUCUGGAUCUAGUGGGAUCCAUGAGUUGCAGGAUCAGCUCGCGAAGCUGACGGAUUUGGUUGCUCAGUAGGCGGCGGCUGCGCGACAGCAGAUGGAUGCUGCGCGUCGACAGGAGGACGGGAUGAAGAGGUUAGAGGAUUUACUAUUGCGGCAGACGACCGACAGAGAGAUUCCUGAUCCUAUACCUACAGUACCAGACAGGGAUACGACAGUGAGAGCACAGUCACCAGUACCAGAUACACCCCCAGUAGCUCCGAGGGUAGAGCCCCGACAGGAGACAGUUGUACCACCACCCGUGCAUGUGGCUGUGGCAGGGACAGUGUUACCUGAGAUGGUGGGGGUUGAGGAGCGAGAACGGAUGAUGGAAAGGUUAAAUGAGUUUCGUCAUUGCAACCCUCGUGUUUUUGACGGGGAGAAAGCUGAUCAUUGGGUGGUCGAGAAAUGGUUGAUGCACAUGGAGAAACUGUUUUAUGAUACUUUUGUUGAGGAGCGAUAUAGAGUUUGGUUUGCGACGCACCAUCUAGACGGCGAGGCUUACAGGUGGUGGGUGGAUAUCCGUGAGGACCCCCGUGUGGAUUUAUCAACGAUUACCUGGACGAGAUUUAAGGAAUUACUGUUGACAACUUAUUUUCCACAAAGUGUGAAGAGGCAGAUGGAAAGGGAUUUGAGAAACCUGAGGUAGGGGGACAGUACAGUAGCUGAGUAUGAGCGAGAGUUCUCCCGUUUACUUCACUGUGUUCCUUUUGUGGUUUGAGAUGAUGAGGAUAAGGCCCGUAUUUUUUAUGUGGGUUUGCGACCUGCGAUUUUCAGAUUGAUCCAGGCGUCAAACCUUUCUACUUACAGGGAAGUAGUGAAUCGGGCAUUGAUCGUGGAGAAGGGGGCGAAAAUUAUGAAGGAAAGAGAUGUGGUGGAUCGAAGUAAAGGAAAAAGGCCAGCAGCUGAGAGCAGUGGUCAGCAAUCCUUCAGGAGACCGCCGAACUAUCCGAGGGACCAGUCGGGCCAGUCGAGAGGUCGAGGUUUUUCAGCAUCCCGUGGAGCACCCGAGCGUCGUCGACAGCCACGUUGUGUCAUUUGUGGUGGGCCUCACUUUCCACCACAGUGUCUACAACGUGGGGGCAAGUGUUUUAUCUGCGGCCAGGAGGGCCACUAUCGUUCAGAGUGCCCGAGAGGUUCUUCACCUACAUCAUCAUCAGCAUCUGCACCUGCAUCUUCAGCUCCGAGCCAGUGGACCCCGACAGCACCCUCGCAGUACAGACGAUCACCGGGACAGCGGCAGUCUGAGAGUCCUCGGCAGGGUUCGAGUGGGCGUAUGUAUGCCGCCCAGAUUGAGGAGGCCGCAGCAGCGGAGGAGGUCGUAGCAGGUAUCAUUAUGCUUUAUGAUAUUCGUGUUCGUGCAUUGUUUGAUACAUGUGCUUCGCAUUCUUUUAUUGAUCGGCAGUUUGCCGAGUUGCAUAGCAUUCGUUUAGCACCUACUUUGCAUCUGGGACGAGUGAUCGUGCCCGACCAUACCCUAGAAGUUCAUGAGUUUUGCCCUCGCUGCCCAGUUAGGGUAGGCGACUGGAUUAUGCCGGUGGAUUUAUUGACACUACACAAACUUGGUGAGUUUGAUGUAGUAUUGGGUAUAGAUUGGUUGACACAAUAUUAUGCGACUAUAGAUUGCAUGAACAGAACGGUGACCUUUAGGGAACUGGGUCAGCAAGAGUUUGUUUAUAAUGGGUGUCAGAGUUCGUUAUUUGCAAUGACUAUUAGCUCUUCGCAAGCACGACAGUUGAUUCGGAGAGGGUGUGUUGCCUAUUUGGCUAGCAUUUCGGUGAGUGACGGAGGAGCCGUCAAGAUUGAAGAUAUCCCGGUUGUGCGAGAAUUCGGGGAUGUGUUUCCAGCUGAGUUGCCUGGUAUGCCAUCUGAUAGGGAAGUUGAGUUUGUGAUAGAUCUUGUCCCUGGGACUACCCCAAUCUCAAAAGCAUUCUAUAGGAUGGCACCCUCUGAGUUGAAAGAACUGAAGGCACAAUUGCAAGAUUUAUUGGAUAAGGGUUUUAUUCGACCGAGUGUAUCUCCCUGGGGAGCCACGGUAUUGUUUGUUAAGAAGAAGGAUGGAUCUCUUCGAUUGUGUGUGGAUUACCGAGAAAUCAACAAAGUCACAAUCAAGAAUAAAUAUCCAUUACCCAGAAUCGAUGAUUUAUUCGAUCAGCUGCAAGGAUCGAAAGUAUAUUCUAAGAUUGAUUUGCAGUCAGGUUAUCAUCAGCUUAAGAUCAAGCCUGAAGAGGUUUCCAAAACCGCUUUUAGGACACGGUAUGGGCAUUAUGAAUUCACAGUUAUGCCAUUUGGAUUGACAAAUGCCCCAGCAGCCUUUAUGGAUUUAAUGAACCGUGUCUUUAAGCCCUAUCUGGACAGGUUUGUGGUCGUGUUCAUCAACGAUAUCUUGAUCUAUUCUCGAAACGAUGAGGAGAAUGAAAGCCAUCCAAGAGUGGUGUUACAAGUACUUCGAGAAAAGAAACUAUUUGCAAAGUUAAAGAAAUACGAAUUUUGGCUCCGAGAAGUAGCAUUUCUGGGUCAUGUCAUUUCAGAGGCUGGGAUAGCUGUGGAUUCAAAGAAGAUUGAAGUGAUUAAAGAUUGGCCUAGGCCGACUAAUGUCACAGAGAUUCGGAGUUUCCUUGGUUUUGCAAGAUACUACCAAAGAUUUGUAGAAGGAUUUGCAAAGAUGUCUGUAACACACUGGACCUUUGCAAAUUGCGAGGUUCGAGUGUUUGGUUGUAUUUCGAGCUUUUCCACACUUGGUGGAGGGUUGUAAAAUGUUCCCCGACCCGAAAAGUUCGAAAACUGGAACUUUGGACAAGUCCUGAGAGUUUUUACUCUCGGGGACCGGUCCCUGGAAGGAGAGACCGGUCCCCCCAGUGAGCAGUGUUGAGGCAGCCUGAGGCAACCGGUCCCUGGCAGGCGAGACCGGUUCCCGAAAGCGUCUUCGCAGUGAGAGACCGGUCCCGCGCAGGGAGAGACCGGUUCCCGAACGCUGGUUUUUCGGGUUCGCAGCGAGAGACCGGUCCCUGCUGGGGAGAGACCGGUCCCUCUGGGCGAAAACUGCCCAGUCCGGGCUGAUGUAAUUUUGGGUUUUUGAGGGGCCUAACUGGAUUUUGUUACCUUAGAGGCUAUAGGCAGCCUCUCCUCUCCUCUCACUCUCAUUUUCUCUCAACCCUUUGCAUUCUAGAGAGAGAAGGAGAGAGGGAGAAGGAGAAGAAGGAGAAGAAGAGGAGAAGAGCUUGCUUGGAGCACCAUCUCCUUCCUUAUUUCCCACCUUUGGAGGCUUGGAGCUUGCUUUUGGAGCCUUGUGGUGGAUCAAUCUUCAACCCUAGAAGAUUUUGAGCUUGGAUUGGAGCAUCCUAGAGGUAUGUGGCAAGGUUCCUCCCUCUAGAUCUUAGUUUUGGAGCUUUUUGCUAGUUUUAACCCUAGAAAUGAGAUUUAGGGUUGGUUUUGGGGCUUUUUGACCUAGGGCUUUUGAAGCUUAAUUGAUUGGUUUAGAACCUUCCUAGGGCUUGGAUUGGAAGGGUUCUAGCUCUCUUUUGGAGCUUUGGGAGAGAUUUCUACUCUUGAGGUGAGUUUUGCCCCUUUUUGCUCCUAGGUUAAUGUUUGAUCUCUCGGAUGGUCGUAAUGCCCUCGUAUCUCUUCGCUGAUUACUUUUAGGGUAUUUUGGGACUCGGGGACAACUUUGUUCGGCUCAUCGAGACCCUACGCGACGGUUCGGUGGGUUUGACCUAGCCUAUGAUAUGAAAAAUGCUCAUAUAUGGCAAAUAUGUUUCGUAAAAUAGAAAUUCAUGCAUUUUCAUGUUAAAUGUAUUUAAUAUGAAUUUUAGAAUGCUUAACAUGCAUAGGUUAUGUGUAGUAAAUUUUGGGACCUCUAUAUAGUAGAGAGCAUGCAUAUGUGGCCUAGCAUUCUAGUUGAGACUUGAAAUUAUAAUCCCUAUUAUGAAAACGAAUCUUGCUUUCAUGCAUUCAAACUAUAUACCAGUUGUGACAUUAGGGAUUAUUGGAAGCCUAGAGAGGCUUAGAGAUUUAGAGGAUAUGUGAGAUUGGGCCAAUGUCAUGAAGAGGCAUUGGGGCCCGGGACAUAGCGAGCGUUAAUGUUAAUGUCUUAAUUGAAACAUGACCAGUUGUGAAGCUUAAGUGUCAUAAAGAGGCACUAAGCAAGUGCGUGUUGGGACUUCCCAUUAUGACUUUGAACUAGAUCUUCGGGAUGCUAGUGACUUUACCAUGUUAGAGACAUGAGGAUUGGAUACUUGAGACAGUGACUUUGCUUGUUUGCCAUUUGUGCUCAUUCGCACAUGCUUGUGAGGGUUGCUCCCCACAAGCCGGCACUCCGGAGUUGGCCUAUGCGACCUAUGUUCGCUCGUGCGGUAUUGAGAAGCCUACGGGGUCGAGUGGGACAGACACAUUCCAAGAGUAGGAAUGUCGGGCUACCACAGGCACUUAGGCGGCACAAGCUGGACUACCUUGGGUAGGUCCCUAAUUGGAAAUGGAAAUCGACAUGGCUUGAGAAUGAACAAUCACUACUAAAUAGGCAUAGUAGUUGGAUUACAUUUACAUGCAUAUAUCAUAGGGUUGAGACAUGUAGUAUACUUGACAGUUACCUACUUCAUCACAGUGUACUGGGUUGCCAUGAUAGGGCUUAUACAUUAUGUAUGAAUAAAGGGUCGUAACAAUAAACUAUUGCCAUUGGUUGUUUCUCCUUAUGAUAAAAUAGCUGUACAACAUCUUGACAUCUUGCUUAUGAGGGAUAUAGUAGUAUAGCAUUUUACUUAUGCUCUCUCUUUCAGCAGUUUAUUACAUGCUUCUUUCUAUUGCUUGUUGCUAUUACGCUUCUUACCCUUGUUUUUGGGGCCUAGUGGAGCAGGAGCUGAGGUCAGUAAUUGCCCACUGGGAACUAUAAAUUAUAGUUCUCACGCCCUCUUUUUCUUGAUGUUUUUCAGAGCCUUCCACGCAGGGUGAGGCCAGGGAUCGCGGGAAGGGAGUUGCUUCGAGCUAGCUUCCUUCGAGGACGAGUCGCUAGGUGGUCCACCUCUCGAUUUAUGUUUUAUUUUGCGAGAGGUUGAGCGUUUUACCAGUGUACUAGAGACCACCAUUUUUGUACAUUUGAGACAGAUAUUGUACUUCUUAUGACUCCUUUUACUGUCUAGCUUUACUUCUUUACCUUGGUGUAGAUGAUAGAACUAUAUUUGCUCUGAUAUCAUUAGUUGCUAGUUAUUUCACUUCUUCUACUUGUUUUAUUACUUGCUUUUACUUCCGCUUUUAUUGUAGACGUCUUAUAUGUGUUGACAUAUGGCGGGUCUGGGCACGCUACCGGGAGGGCCUCCGCCGGUCCCGGGGCGUGACAAUGUCUACGCCUCUCACUCGACUUACACAUAAAGGAGCUAAAUUCCUGUGGAAUGAAACCUGCGAAAGAAGCUUUCAAGAGCUGAAGGAACGAUUGACCACCGCCCCGAUUCUAGCACUGCCUGUCACUGGAGUAGAUUAUGUGAUUUACAGUGAUGCGUCGCUAAAUGGAUUAGGGUGUGUUCUAAUGCAGAAUGACAGAGUAAUUUCUUAUGCAUCUCGCCAAUUGAAAGAUUAUGAAAAGAACUACCCUACACAUGAUCUUGAGUUAGUAGCUGUGGUAUUUGCUUUAAAACUUUGGCGCCACUACCUCUAUGGCGAGCGUUGCGAGGUUUACACCGAUUAUAAAAGCUUAAAGUAUUUGUUUACUCAGAAGGAAUUAAACUUGAGACAACGUAGAUGGUUGGAGUUGCUCAAGGAUUAUGAUUUGACCAUCCUCUAUUAUCCAAGAAAAGCUAAUGUUGUAGCAGAUGCUUUAAGUCGAAAACCGACGAAAAAUUUGGCGAUGUCGAUAACUAUGCAACCGCUGUUGGUAAAGGAAAUGGAGCAGUUGAAUUUGAAAGUUGUAGCUCCUGACACGCCUUGGAGACUUAUGUCCUUGGUGGUGCGACCUACCCUGAUCGAUCGAAUUAAAGAAAAGCAAGCUCAGGAUGAAUUCCUGCAAAAGAUUCGAGCAAAAAUCACUACUGAUCAUGUUAGUGAUUUUCGAGUGGAUGAUCAGGGACUGUUGAAAUUCGGUGAUAGACUUUGUGUACCGGGAGAUUCUGGUAUUAAAGAAAAGAUUCUAGAAGAAGCACAUCGUGCGCCGUAUUCUGUACAUCCUGGGAGUACGAAAAUGUAUAAAGAUUUGAAGUUAACUUACUGAUGGCCUGGAAUGAAAAAGAAAAUUGCAGAUUUUGUGGCCAGAUGCUUAACCUGUCAGCAGAUUAAGGCUGAACAUGAACUUCCUGCAGGAAAACUACAAAGCUUACCCAUACCAAUGUGGAAGUGGGAGAGGAUCACUAUGGAUUUUAUUAUUGAAUUAUCUCGCUCACAGGCAGGUCACAAUGCCAUUGGGUAAUUGUGGAUAGAUUGACCAAAUCUGCCCACUUUAUUCCGAUUCAUACAGUUUGGUCAAGAGGGAAGUUACCUAGAUGAAAUUGUUUCUGAUUGAGAUAGAUUGACCAAUUCCGAUUCCGAUUCCGAUUCCGAUUCCGAUUCCGAUUCCGAAAUUGUUUCCGAUUCCGAUUCAUACAGUUUGGUCAAUCUAUCUUUGUGGAUAGAUUGACCAAAUCUCGCACAAGUGUACCUAGAUGAAAUUGCGCGAUUACAUGGAGUACCAGCCUCUAUUGUUUCUGAUUGAGACACCCGAUUUGUUUCACAUUUCUGGAGGAGUUUACAGGAGGCCUUGGGUACCCGAUUGGAUUUUAGUACUGCUUUCCACCCCCAGAGUGAUGGGCAGUCCGAGCGUACCAUCCAGACCCUUGAGGAUAUGUUGAGGGCCUGUGUGAUUGAUUACCAGGGCAGUUAGCCACAGUUCCUACCGAUGGCUGAAUUUGCUUAUAACAAUAGUAAUCAAGCAAGCAUUCAGAUGGCACCGUUUGAAGCCCUUUAUGGUAAAAAGUGCAGAUCACCACUUCAUUGGAGUGAAGUGGGGGAGAGAUUAGUUUUGGGUCCAGAUGUGUUACAAGAGGCUGAAGCUAAAGUUCAACUUGCACGAGAACGUCUACUGACAGCUCAAAGUCGACAAAGAAGCUAUGCGGAUAAACGUCGGCGAGAAUUGGAAUUUCAAAUUGGCGAUCAUGUAUUCUUGAAAGUCUCACCAUCAAAGGGGGUUAAGAGAUUUGGUAUUCGAGGGAAGUUAAGUCCUCGAUUUAUUGAACCCUACGAGGUGUUGGAGCGGAUAGGCCCCGUAGCGUAUCGGCUUGCUUUACCGCCGAACCUAUCGGGAGUGCAUAAUGUGUUUCAUGUUUCUACACUUCGAAAGUAUGUUUUUCAUCCAAACCACGUACUUGAGAGUAUCCUAGUGGAUUUACGAGAAGAUUUGAGCUUUGAGGAGCAUCCAGUGAAAAUCCUAACUCGAGAAGUAAAACGGCUUCGAAACCGCGAGAUACCCUACGUAAAGAUACUUUGAAGCAAUCACGAUGAACGGGAAGCCACUUGGGAACUUGAGAGUGCAAUGCAAGAGCACUAUCCCUACCUUUUCUCGACGGAAUCUUGAGGUAAGUAUUUACAAGUUUCGCGGAUGAAACUUCUUUUUAGGAGGGCUGAAAUGUAAUACACUGAACUUUUGCAAAUUGUGGAGUUCGAGUGUGUCAAAUGAUAUGUGGAACAUCCUACAUGUUCUAAAAGGUUUGGACAAGUUUUUGGACAAGUUAGAGAGUGAUUGGAUGUCUAAAAGCAAGAAAGUGCAUUGUUGUGGCCUUUCUCUCGAAUUUUUGCAUUGUGUACCGGUACAACAUUAAUGCUGUACCGGUACAGCAAGCAGUAGAGGCAGCAGGUGUGUGGCAGCAGGGAUUUUUUGGUCUUUUGGCAUCUAAUCGUAUCCCUACAGCUAUCUGGUCGACCCCUGAAGUUGCUGGAAGGCCCUUAGAGCUCAGAACAAGCUUCUUCUCUCUCUUUCUUUUUUUCUCUCUCUAGGGUUUCUCUCUCUCUAAGUAAAAUUCGCCGUUACGCGCCGAUUUUGCGCCGAGCUCGUUGCUCGCUGAUUGGAGGACUCGAGGAAAGUCUUUGGAACGUGGAGAAGAGAAGUUUUGCUGAGUUUCCUGUAAGGUUACCACCAGGAAAAGCUGAAUCCCAGCUUUAGAAAGGUAAUUAGCUCACUAUCUCUCUAGUUUGUGGUUUAAUAUUGGAUUUUGACGCAUUUUGGUUCCGUUGCGCCGUAUUCUGUACAUCCUGGGAGUACGAAAAAGUAUAAAGAUUUGAAGUUAACUUACUGAUGGCCUUGAAUGAAAAAGAAAAUUGCAGAUUUUGUGGCCAGAUGCUUAACCUGUCAGCAGGUUAAGGCUGAACAUCAACUUCCUACAGGAAAACUACAAAGCUUACCCAUACCAAUGUGGAAGUGGGAGAGGAUCACUAUAGAUUUUAUUAUUCAAUUAUCUCGCUCACAGGCAGGUCACAAUGCCAUUUGGGUAAUUGUGGAUAGAUUGACCAAAUCUUCCCACUUUAUUCCGAUUCAUACAGUUUGGUCAGGAGAGAGGCUCGCACAAGUGUACCUAGAUGAAAUUGUGCGAUUACAUGGAGUACCAGCCUCUAUUGUUUCUUAUUGAGACACUCGAUUUGUUUCACAUUUCUGGAGGAGUUUACAGGAGGCCUUAGGUACACGAUUGGAUUUUAGUACUGCUUUCCACCCCUAGAGUGAUGGGCAGUCCGAGCGUACCAUCCAGACCCUUGAGGAUAUGUUGAGGGCCUGUGUGAUUGAUUACCAGGGCAGUUAGCCACAGUUCCUACCGAUGGCUGAAUUUGCUUAUAACAAUAGUUAUGAAGCAAGCAUUCAGAUGGCACCGUUUGAAGCCCUUUAUGGUAGAAAGUGCAGAUCACCACUUCAUUUGUCACGCCCCGAUGCCGCUACCAAUUUGGUCCGGUUCGGGCGCGUCGAACAGACGCCGAACGGACAGCACCUCUCCUGUCCGCCCAAGGCUAAACAACCAGAUCAUGUACAAACAAGCGCCCAGAAAUGCUUAUAUAACAUACAUGAUCGAACAUAGCGCACACAAGUGCAAUCCAUCUAAGAGCAAGAACCACAAGUAAUAUACUAGUGUAUAAAGAGAGAUAGUGUAACUAUUACAUUCAUUCAAUAGUCACAUCAUUUGAUUGCAUUACAUUUUUCAUCUACCAAAAUGUAAAUACAUAUUUUCCUCAAAAUACAAGUAGCUCUCCCAUAUCUAUCGAAACAUCAUCUAGUACACGAGGGUACUCUAAUGCAUAAAGGAAAAGCUACCAACUAAACUCACUUAGGGUGCUAUGCCCUUACCGCGGUCCUCGCUUGACUCGCCUCUGUGUGUACCUGUACUCCAAAACCACACGGGGUGAGAACUAUAUAAAUAUAGUUCCCAGUGGGUUCGGCCGCCGACGCCGCCGGUUUUCCCACUAGGUCUAAGCUGGCACAGAUAGAGAGAUAGAUAGAUAUAUAAAGGUAAACUGCAACUACUCUAUCAUGCCACCAAUGAUAAUAAUGCAUGCAACAACUACUAUCAUGCUAGUAUCAUGUCAUGAGUGUAUAAAGGAGCAUAGUAAUGUAACUACAACAUACACUAUGUCUACUCAAGGUAAUAAUGCAAGUCUACUAUGCAUUUCAUGUUUCUUACCCAAUUCACUUGGUUAACCCGAAGGUUAAACCCUCGACUCACUCUCAAUCUCAUAGGUGAGGAGAAACUGCACUCGCACACCGAGACCGUCUGCGGGACAACUACGUCUGCCCCUAGUGAAGUACUCCGGAGACUCAUGCUUCGAUGGAGCGACCACCGACAAGCAAAACAGACUAGUGAGUAUGAUCCAAUCCUCUCAAGAGGAUACCCUGUCUACUAGGGUCAAUGUGCCUCUGCUGCACAGUCAUGAUAUAUAAUCAAUGUUGGGACCUCUACCAUCCCUAGGUUCAUGUCAAGUUUACUACCUUAGACUCAAUGCCACUCGUUCGAUCAUUGUAGUAAGUUUUCUACUAAUUGACAUGCCACUCGUUCAAGUUUAGUGUCUCUACUACACUAGUCCAAUGCCACUCUACUAGGCUAUGUCCAAGUUCGGCUCUUUAUGCCGCUAUAGGAUUCUAUGCCAUAAGACCCAAUCCUCAUGCUACCCUAGUCUAGGUGUUCAACUCAUAGGUACACUACUAAGGAGCAUGUAAGGAAAAAGGAAAUAUAUAUUUAUUAAUCCUAUAAUGCAAUAUGAUCAACACUUAUGUAACUUAGACAUAAAAAGAAACCCGGAUGUUCCGGAAUGACACCCCCCACCUUUAGUGUUUACGGAGGCUCUAAAAGUGUGCCUCGGCGUCCUUUACGACGAAGCCUCGGUCUUCUUGUCCAAAGCGAUGCUACAAGGCCUCAAAUGAGAUCAAUCCCAUACUUUACCGAAAAACCCUAUUUUGGUGCCCUAGGGUUAGCAUCAAGCUAAACCCACCUCAAAACCCUAGAUUCUAGCUCUAAUCCUUCCAUUCAUGGUGCUAGGGAUCCAUUUGAUCCCAUCCAAAGAGCUAAAACCCAAAAACCCCAAAUCUCACAAGCUAGGGUUAGAAGCUUACCUCUAAGGUGCGUGAGUGACGUGAACCUAUGCGUUGUGGCGGGAGUUGAUUCGAUUGGGUCGAAGUUGUUGAUAAUAUGUUUCUAGUAGUUACUAGAGACAGGUUCAAGUGGUAUUAAUUCUCGACUUGAAGUGGUUGUGUUGGGCGGCCGACAACAUGACACUAAGAGUUUAGAACAAGUACACUUGUCUGCUUCCGCCUAAUUUGCGAUGUUGAGUCGUUUUAUCUCGUAAUUGCGUGAGUUUAACGGGUUAAGAUGAUUGACCAAUGUUUGUGUUUCAGGAGCUGAUGUCCCCGAGACGCUACGUGCGUAGAUCCGUUGCGGCACCACCUCCCGUGGUGCCAGAGCAGGCUGGACCUCCGGUGGCGCCAGAGCCUGCUGGGCCUAGCGAGGUGCAGGAGUUACGAGCGCAAGUUACCGCGCUAACCAGUCAGGUCGAGCGGCUCCAGGAACUUUUGGAGCGGCAAGUGGCGGCGGCGGCCGCGACGGCAGUUGAAGGCCGUGGUCCGCCCGUGCACUCGGCUCGCGCGCCUAAUGCGGCUGAGGGUGUGGGCAUUGCGGCAGCUCCGGCGGCGGCGCAUCCCCCUCCAGCAAGUGUUCCUCCGGCGGCUUCGGGUUCGGCGAUACCCGAUGCGGCGGCCGAGGAGAUGGAGCGAGAGCGUUCGUUGACGGCUAUUAUUAGAUUCAAGAAGUUCAACCCGCCAAUCUUUGAAGGGGAGAAAGUGGAGCCGUCGAUGGUGGAAUCAUGGAUUGACUCAAUGGAGACACUUUUUGAGGAUCUCUAUACCUCGGAGAAAGACAAGGUGUAUCUCGCCACCCAUUGCCUCGAGAAAGCGGCGAAGGUGUGGUGAAAGCGGGUGAAGCGAGAUCGGCCUUCUGACCUUCCACCUAUGUUAUGGGAGGAGUUCAAGAGGGAAAUGUUUGGAAAUUACUUCCCCGACACCGAGAAGCGGAAGUUAAAGGAGAUGUUCCACAAACUGAGACAGGGGGAUCGUUCCGUGGCGGACUACGAGCAGGAGUUCUCCCAUAUCAUAGACUGUGUCCCAGACGUGGUCAAGGAUGACGGGGACAGGGCCGAAUGGUUCUUGCGGGGACUUCGGCCAUGGAUAUAUCGGGCAGUGCAAUUGUUCCAGCUCACGACUUUCGCCGAGGUUUUCAAUAAGGCGCUGUGGGCAGAGCAUGGUGAUGCCCACGUGCGAGAGGAGCGCGAGGCGUCCGAGAAGGACAGGGGAAGAAACGACCUGACGGUAGCUCUGGGGGACAGUCAAGUUCCAAAACGCCCCCGAAGUACCUGAGAAGGCAGUCCGAGAGCCAGGGACCCUUGCGAUGUGUAAUCUGCGGUGGGGAGCAUCGCGCAGGGAAUUGUGAGCAUAAGGCGGGACGGUGCUUCAGGUGUGGUCGGGCGGGGCAUAUUAGCCGUCAGUGCCCAAAGGGAUUGUCACCUGCCCCGACUGCAGCAUCCGCCCCGGCGGCUCCGAGGCAGUUUGGUGGAGUUCCGCCUGCUGCCAUAUCCACGGGACGUGCAAUGGCGCCGCAUCAGCUUGAGGUGACCCGGUCGGCUACGAGUAGUCGAGUGUUUGCCGCUAAAGUGGAGCGACCUGCUGGGGUCGAGGAGCGUUACAUCGUGCCAGGUAUGAGUUAAUUAAAGCAAUCAUAUGCUUCUGCAUGAUGUAGACUUAAGAAAUUGCAUGCAUUUACGUUGUGGCCGUUUGCUACUAUUUGUGCAUUGGUAUAGUAGGGACCAAGUGAACGGGUUGGUGUAGAUACCCGAGCAUGCUUAUGUGGUGAGAGUGUAGCGCCUGCUGGAGCAGGUAGAUAGCUAGAUAGCACUAGCAAAAUGCUGGUGAUGAUUGUUGGACGAAAAGUAAGACUCGUGGUAGAGCGAUCGAUUAGUGGCCAAGUAUUGGCACGUGGGCCUAGUAGUGCCUCGAAUUGAGGUGGGCGAAUCAUGCCAGUGUGGCCGGUGUGCAUAGGCAGGGUUGCGUAAUCCUGGACUUAGAGUACGGCGUAUAGAGCGCUCGAGUGUAGAUACUAGUAGAGUGUGGAUUGGAUUCAGCCGAGAGAGUGUGAUGGGAGUAGCACUUCAGCAUUGCUAAGUGUGAAGCGAGCCAUGAAACUCAUAAGGCUGGCGGCUCGCACUAGGUGUUUAGGAGCCCAUAGUGGUACUUAUAGCUCGAUAGAGUAUGUCGUGUAGGACGACGACGGUGGGUAUCGCUUGGGGACGAUCCGUGCCUAGACCAUUUGUGGACUGUGGAGCCUGGGCCCUUUGGGCAGGCGCAGUUAGCUGUGAGUGACAGCGGGUCGGUGCCUACGGGUAGGGCAGGGUUUUGGUCAGAACGGUAGUCCGAGCUUAGACCCGGGAGCGUGGAAUGCCACGUAUUGGAUCGUGAGAUCGAUGAGAUACCGAGAGUUUGAUUAUGACCCAACUCGAGGACUUGACGUGGUUUGGAGUCAUGGUUGCUCCUGUUCGGAGUGCGUGCGAAUUUUCUAAUGAGAAUUUCGCCCAAUGAUGAUUGGGUCUACGAUCCGAGCGAGAGACGCUAUGCGUAGUUGCGAUAGGUUUAGCCGCUAGGCCUACGUAGUAUUUGUGACCGUUGGUCCCCUGUGGGAGCUGACGUAAUUGGUUCAGCCGAUGACUCUGUGGAUGAGUUGGAGUAAGGAAGUGAAUUCUCGAAAUACGAGAAUUGGACUUCGCUCAAGAUCGACUAAUUGUCGAUUGAGAGUGCUUCGUAAAAGCCGAAGAAGUCAAAUGCACCAAAAGUGCAUUGCAAUGGAGUCCGCGAGAGCAUGGUGCAAGAAUCUAUACUUGGCAGAUUUGCUCUCGGGGACCGGUCCCUGGCGGGAGGGACCGGUUCCCGAACGUUGUCUGCGCAAGCUUGCUCUCGGGGACCGGUCCCAAGAAGGAGGACCGGUUGCCCCGAGGUUGAGGGUUGCGCAGCGCGGGGCAACCGGUCCCCUGGCAGGAAAGACCGGUCCCCGAGCGUGAAACUUGCCCAGGCAGGCUGGGUUAUGUUGGAGGAGUUGGAGAACUUGAAGAUAGCGCUCUUUCGUGGAUUGAGGUUCGAGAGAUGUGCCGCGGUAGGCCAUCUCAUAGUAGAGCAAUCUGAGGUUAGAAGUGGCAAUUGAGAGGUAAGGGAAAGUGGUCUCUUGGAGACACUUGAAUACCGGAUAGCCACAUGGAAUUGUGGACAAUGCUCUCUUGAGGAUUGGAAGUCGAGAUAUGCCGGGGUAGGCCAUCUCGUGGUAGAGCAAGGUCCGAAUGUGGUUAGAACACUCGCGAUUGGGUGAUGCACCAAUGAUAUUGCUUUUGAGCAAUGUUGGUGAUCGAAUCGGAAUGCCCCGAGGAGGAAAGUGAAUGCAAAGAAGAGUUCUUGCAUGCCGAAUGGUGAAUGGUGUUGGAGCACGUAGAGUCGUUGAGCUUCGACUUGCGCUACCACCAAGAAUGGCGGAGACUCGUAAUGCACUUUCGGAGCUACGCUUAGCAAGAGUGAGUGAAUCUAGUCUCACAUCCCCCGUGGUAGACCUUUGGAUGAUUCCAAUGAGUGAAAGGCCACCCCGGAGUAUAAAAGUGCAUUAGAACCCUAUGUCGCUCGAUACGUCGAGUUGAGGUGUGAAUUGGGUUUGAAGUGAGUUAGUUUCGAGGACGAAACUCCUUUUAAGGAGGGGAGGAUGUAAGGUACCGGACUUCUAAAAUUAUGAAGCUACGGUGUAAAUUUGAUUGGAGAGCCAUUUGAAGGGUUCCGGUGAAGUUCGGUGAAGUUUGGAAGCAUCCGGGCGAUUCGGUGCGCGUAGGCGCGAAAACGGGACCCGAAAGACUAUGUCGGACCAUGAACUAAAUUCGGCAUUAGCGGGGAUGAAAAGAUGAUGAAAAUACGCUCGAAAACAUGUUUGGAGAGUCUUGGUUCGAUUUGAAAAGAAUCGGAGGUCAAACGAGCAAAAACGAGCGAAAACGGACCCCAAAAACGAAAAAGGCUGAAAUUUGGCUAAGUCCUAAAAAUGCUGAAAUUCUGGUCCUUCGGGGACCAGUCUCUCACUGCCUGGGACCGGUCCCAAAGUGCGAAAACCACCCAGUUUGGGUUGUUGCAAGGUUGGAGAAGUAAAGGGGCUUAUUUGGAAAUGUUACAAUAUGAGAGGGGGUUAAGAGAGCAUUUUCUCUCUCUCUUUCUCUCAUUUCCCUCACUCCCUCACAUUUCUCUCUCCCUCUCUCUCUCUCUAAAUGAAAAGGAAGAAGAGAAGAAGAAGAGGAAGGGGAAGGAGACAAAGAAGAAUAAGAAGGAGAAGAAGAUCAAGGAGAUCAACUUCUCCAUCUUCUUCAUGAGCUUGGAGUAAGCUUUGGAGAGGUAAGCUUAAGCUCUUUAAUGGUGAUUUCUUAGGGUUGGGUUUUCAUACUCUAAGAAUGGUUUAGAUGGAAUCCUAGCAAGUGUAGUUGAUGUUUAAUACUUGAAUCCAAAGCUUUGAUGGUGGAUUUUCCCUAGUUGCAAUAUAAGGCUCCAAAUGAGGACUUUAAUGGUAGAUCUCUAAAGAGAGGUCUAAAUGCCUUGGAAAUGGUUUGAUUGGAACCCCAGCAUGCUUAGAAGAUGCUUAAUGCUAGGAUUUAGAGAUUUGUUGGAGUUAAUUGCAUGAAUGCAAACCUAGGGUUAAAAUGGGAUUUUUGUAAAUAUAGGGGUUUGAUCUCAUUUGACCCUCUGUAAACCUAAUUGCUAGGUAUACCGACGCGUUGGCGAAGUCGGUUCGUCGAUUCAUCGAGCGGGUGCAAAAAUAUCGAAGAAAAGGCUUGUUGAGGUACAGAUUGCCACAGCUCACGGCGAAAGCUUCCUAAAAUCGCGAAAUCAGAAUCGUGGGCUCGUGGCAUCACCUAAAGGUGGGGGGUGUCUAUCCGAAGAAAUCGGGCUUCCUUCUAUGUCCGAGUUAGAUCUUUGGUCAUAUUGCACAUAUGUUUCUUAUGCAUUAUAGGAUGUAUGUAUUAUUAUAUUUCUACUUUCCUUGAAUGCAUGUCUAGUAUUGUAGUAUUAUGGACUUGACACCUAAAUCUAGAAUGCAUGAGGACUAAGGUUUAGACAUGAGAUCCUAUAAUGAAAAGAAAAUAAAGAACUUGGACUUGAUAAUGAAACUAGUGACAUGUGAACUAGUGUAAUGGAGAUUGUAUGCAUGUAGCAUUAUGAAUGGAUUGCAUGCUAGUUGAUAAUGGCAUAUUAGCAUUAUGAAGAUGUAUACUAGAUGUAUGAUGCAUGUUGGCUUUAUAGAACAUAUAUGCUAGAUGAAAAUGAAUGCUAACCUAUUGUUAAUUAUGGAGAUUAUGAGGCAUGUGGCAUCUAAACCUAGUCUCGUGAACCUAGGAUAGAUUGAGUGGCAUUAACAUAAUGUUGUUAAACAUAGGUUGACAUUAAACCUAGUGUUGUGGAACCUAGAGUUGAUUAGACCUAGGUAAGUGGCAUCGAGAUUUAGUGUGGUUGAGACACUUGACAUGGACCUAGGGAUAGGUUGAUUAUCAAGUGAUGGUUAACCUAGUUGACAGGGUAUCUUCAAUUGGCGAGGAUUGGAUCAUACUCACAUAGUCUGUUUUGGGCUUGUGGCGGUCGCUCCCCACAAGCAGUGCACUCCGGAGUUGUCACACGAGCAGGGUAGCUCACGAGCGGGGUAGCUCAUCGGGUGGGAUACGAGUGGGGUAGCUCCUGUAACGCCCCGGGACCGGCGGAGGCCCUCCCGGUAGCGUGCCCAGACCCGCCGUAUGUCUACACAUAUAAGGCGUCUACCAUAAAGUGGAAGUAAAUGCAAGUAAUAGAACAAAUAGAAGAAGUGAAUAACUAGCAACUAAUGAUAUCAGAGCGAGUACAGUUCUAACAUCUACACCAAAGUAAAGAAGUAAAGUUAGACAAUAAAAGGAGUCAUAAGUAGUACAAGAUCUGUCUCAAAAGUACAAAAGUGGUAGUCUCUAGUACACUGGUAAAACUCUCAACCUCUCGCAAAAAGAAAUAUAAAUCGAGAGGUAGACCACCUAGCAACUCGUCCUCGAAGGAAGCUAGCUCGAAGCAACUCCCUUCCCGCGAUCCCUGGCCUCACCCUGCGUGGAAGGCUCUGAAAAACAUCGAGAAAAAGAGGGCGUGAGAACUGUAAUUUAUAGUUCCCAGUGGGCAAUUACUGACCUCAGCUCAAUGCACCACUAGGCCCCCAAAAAAAAAAGGGUAAGUACAAUAAUAAUAGCAAUAAUAACUGCGAUAUGAAAGCAUAAUUAAAAGGCUAAAUUAUUAAACUCGAGUAUACACGAUGUCAUGGUGAUAUACAUCUACGAUAUCAAAAUAAUAUGACAUUAAUCUUGAAGAAUACAUUAUGCAUAAGUUCUGUCAUGGCAACCAAGUAUGCUUUAAUGCAAAAGGAGACUAUCAAGUAUACUACAUGUCUCAACACUAUGCUAAAAGCAUAUAAAUGUCAUUCAACUACUAAACCUAUCUAGUAGUGAUUAACCAUUCUCAACACCGUGUCGAUUUCCAUUUCCAAUUAAGGACCUACCAAAGGUAGUCCAUUUGUGCCGCCUAAGUGCCUGUCGUAGCCCAACAUCCCUACUCUUGGAAUGUGUCUGUCCCACUCGACCCCGUAGGCUUCUCAAUACCGCACGAGCGAACAUAAGUCGCGUAGGCUAACUCCGGAGUGCCGGCUUGUAGGGAGCGACCCUCACAAGCAUGUGCGAAUGAGCACAAAUGGCAAGCAAGCAUAGUCCAAGUCUCAAAUAUCCAAUCCUCAUGUCUCUAACAUGGUAUGGUCACUAGCAUCCCGAAGAUCUGGUUUAAGUCACAAUGUGAAGUUUCAACAUUUGCUACGCCUAGUGCCCCUUGAUGACACUUAGGCAAUUUGAUGUUCAACAUGUAUUCCAAAUCCCUCAAUGGCCCUAUCCGCUAGGUUCUCACAUGUCCCGAGGUCAAUGCCGCUUGAUGACAUUAGCUCUCUAGUUCACAUACUUUCUAAAUGGCAAUUUUAUCAACUUUCACGUCACAAGUAAACUUAAGUUUAAAUACAUGAAUCCGAACUCAUUUACACUAUAGAAGCAUGAAACCAAGUCUCAUAAAGAAUGCUAAAUGCAACCAUAGAUCUCCCAAGCAACUCUCUACUACAUAGAGGUCCAAAAUUUCAUCAUAUGUAACAUAUGCAUUUUAAGCAUUCUAAAAUUCACAAUAAAUACGUAUAACAAGAAUAUGCAUGCUUUUUCAUUUAACGAUACUUAAUUAAGCACAAAUGAGAAUUCCUCAUUGUGUGGCUAGGUCAAACCCACCGAACUGUCGCGUAGCGCCUCGUUUCGCCGAACAAAGUUGUCUCCGGGUCUCAAAAUACCCUAAAAGUAUUGAGCGACAAGAUACACGGGCAUUACGAUCAACUAUAAGCUCAAACAUUAACCUAGAAGCAAAAAGGGCCAAAACUCGCCUCAAGAGUAGAAAAUCUCUCUCAAGCUCCAAAAGAGAGCUAAAUCCCUUCCAAUCCAAGUCCAAGGAAGGUUCUAAACCAACUAAUUUAGGUCCAAAAGCCCUAGAUCAAAAAUGCCCAAAUAUGAGCCCUAAAACCUCAUCUAGGGUUUCAUCUCAAAGAAACCUCCAAAAUUCAAAUCUAGAGGAAAAGAUCUAGUCACUUACCUCUAGGAAGCUUCAAACCAAGCUCAAAGUGCUCAAACUUCAAGGAUCAACCCUCAACCAAGCAUAAACCCAAGCUCCAAUGGUGGGAAAAGCCUCCAAUCAAGCAAAAAAAAGCAAAAAAGAGGUUUAAUCUCUUAAAAUCCUACCAAAAUCCAAAUAGAUCAAAAGAAAAUCAAAGAGGGCUCCCUUACCUCUCCUCUUGCUGGUCCCAAGCUCAGGAGAAGACCUCUAGGGCGUGGGGGGUACUAAUAAGAAGUUCACAAUCGCAAAAAGCCCCCUGCAGUUCAAAACGCACGAAAUCAGCCCCCUUGUACCGGUACACGGGCUCUUGUACCGGUACAAGGUCCACGAAAUCCAAACCCGAGUCUCGGGUUGCUAGGCUCUGCGGCUCUGUACCGGUACAAGCUCCGAUGGCUGUACCGGUACAACCAUCAACCUUGUACCGGUACAAGCACAGCCUUGUACCGGUACAAGCCUGCCAGAACUCAAUCCGAGAGUCAGCCAAAUCCCCUUUUUUCGGGUUUUGGUGCAAGGCUUUGUACCGCAAAUCUCGGGACACGUGCCAUAGGUCGGAACACAGUCAACGACCCACCAGAAAAUCUGGAAAAGCUCAGAACACGGCCAAUCACUCGAACCUCGCAAUUUGCAAAGGUCCAGUGUGCUACAGCUCCCCACCCAUUGGACUGGGAAGUGAGUCGGGAGAAGGGCGGGGUAGCUCUUCUCCUGUGAGAUUUGAGCGGGGUAGCACUUUACCUCUGAGCGGGGUAGCUCUUUACCUACGAGCGGGGUAGCUCUUGACCUAUGAGUUUGAGUUAGAGUCGGGGCGAAGAGCGGGGUAGCUCUUGCCCUUAGGCAUUUGAGUCAUGAGUUGGGCGAGGAGCGGGGUAGCUCUUCACCUAUAAGACUUGAGAUCUGAGUCGGGUAAGAGCGGGGUAGCUCUUUACCUAUAGUGUUAGAGUUGUGGGACGGGUGAAACAAGGGCGGGGUAGUCCUUCACCUAUGUGAUUUGAGACAAGGGCGGGGUAGCCUAGUAGAUUGGGUAAAGACAUGAAUUGCAUAAGUGGAUCCGCAUUCAUACCAUGAUUAGACAUAGUACACUGCAUAACUAUGUUGUAGUUGUAUAUAUUUCAUUGUUAAAGCAUACUAGCAGGAUAAAUGAUGUUGCAUGCAUUCCUUGCAUUUGGUGGCAUAGUAGAUAUAGUAGCAGUUUAUUUCUUAUAUCUCUCUAUCUAUCUAUCUGUCACGCCCGGGACGAUGCCAAUUUGGCCGACCGAGCACGUCAAACAGACGCCGAACAGACAGAGUUUCCUAUCCGCCAAGGCUCAUCACAUGUUACAUUUUCAUCAAUAGAGAAAAGCACUAGCGGAACAUACACAAAACGGCUUACACGAGGGUAAGCAAUAGCCAUUAGUGAAAGAAAAAGGAACGAAACAUUCACAGUAAUAUGAUUCAUUUUAGAUCAUAUACAUUGUAUCUAUCCAACUUGAACAUCCAAAAUCUUUCAUUCUUUCAUCAUUUCUUUACUACAUUUACCUCAAAAUGAACAUUACAUUCUUUUCUUUACUUUGCUUAUACAUCAACAUCUUAAAUCAUCAAAUACAAAAGAUGAUAAAAGGGAAACUACUAACAAAAUGUAACCCAACUCCGGUGGCCUCUGAUACGGUGCAUACCUUUACCGCGGUCGCUCGCGGCUCGCUCGGUCCCGGCUCUGUGGAAAUAGUGGGUGAGAACUACAACAAAGUUCCCAGUGGGUUCGGCCUCAACAUCACCGACUUUCCCACUAGGACUAACUCAGGCAUAAUAGAAGAAAAUAGGCUGUAAAUAGUAACCAAACUAUACUUAAUGCUAAUAUGCCUGAACAAUUAGCAGGAAUAUUGCUCAACAUUAACAAAUGCAGGUUAUGCAUGUUCUUUAGUUCUUUGCACUUUACACUUUGUUCUUUCUCUUUGUUCUUUAUUCUUUACUCUUAAUCAUUAAGGCUAACCCGGCGUUCGCCACAUUAACUUGCUUCACAUUAAGUCCAUCAUCGCAGGAACUCACCAGCUAGGACCGUCCUUACGGGUUUACUCCAACCCGGAUGCAUAACUCCGGAGCGCAUCGCCCGAGGGGGAGCGACCACCCUCGAGCACGGAACUCAUAGCAAGUAUGAUCAUAUCCUUAACUCAAAGGAUUAUAAGUUCAAUCUUGACUUUACACUAGCUCUAGUGUUCUUUACAUCACUUUAUGUUGCAAGCUCAUGCAAUCACAUUCUUUACAUUUUCAUUACUCUUGCUAACUCUAGCAUUCUUGUUCUUAUUGCCCACUUUACUUUAACUUUACACUUGGUCACUUUCUUCAUUCUUUACAUCACUUUAGUUCUUUACAUUACACUAACUCUAGUGUCAUUUCACAUUAGCUUCAUCGAAUGCCACUCGAUCUAUGUCAUUGUGUCACUCUGUUCUUUUGCUCACUUUGGGUGCUCACAUUUUUUCUCAUGCAUACAUCUAGGGUUUUGACAUUAUUAGGUUCUCAACCAUCUCAUUAUGCAAGUUGUGUUCACAAUCAUGCAAUCAUCACAUUUCAUCAUUACUUUACCCUAAUAUGCAUGCAACAAUAUAAAUUCAUAUGCUCAAGGAAUGACACAUUAGGCAUAGAGAGAAUUUCAAUGAGUUUGAGAAGCACCACCCACCUUGUAGGUCACUUUAGGUGCUUCGACGAUUUUCUUGGGAUUUUUAAUCGCCCGGUUCACUACCUGCGGCAAAACGAACCCCUAUUAGGCCAUUUUGCCCAUAACUUUUCAUCGGCUUUUCGUAACGUUAAUCCGAGCGCACCAACGCGUCAGAAAUACCCCCAAUUAGGUUUUUAGAGGGUCAUUUGCACUUAGAAACCCUCAUGAGCAAAAGCCCCAAUUUGGUGCCCUAGCUCCAAUGCAUAUACAAAACCUAGGGUUUGAUCUCAUUGGGAAGCAAAAGUAGCUUCAUUAUACUCUAAAUAGUCCAUUAGAACCAUUCUUAGCCUUUCCAAAACCCUAGUUUGGAUUUCACCAUUAGAGGUGGUCCAAGCUCACCUCUAAAGCAAACCUAGGUUUUGAUCUCUAAAGAAGCAAAGAGAAAGCUUCAAAAACUCUAAACAAUCCAUUAAAACCAUUUCUAGGUUCAUUCAAGCCCAUUUCUAGGAUUUUAGCAUGAUUAGGGUUGAAGCUUACCUCAAAGCUUUCCCUAACUUGCACUAGAGAGGAAGAAGAUGAAGCCUCUUUGCUCCAAAAGCUUCUUCUUCACCUUCUUCUCCUUCUUUUCCUUCCUUUCUUUCCUUCUUCUUCUUCUCCUUUGCCUUCUAGAGAGAGAGAGGGAGAGAAGAGAGUGUUUGAGAGGGUGGGAAUGAGAGAAAAUCUCAUUAACCCUCAAUACAUAGCUAUUGGGUUGCAAAAUUGCAGCUAAACCCCUCAACUUUCACUUUAAUACACUGCCCGAACUGGGCAUUCCGCGCAGGCAGAGACCGGUCUCCCCGAGCAGGGACCGGUUCCCGAACGUUGUCCCAGCGCAGCCAGAGCUGCUGCGCGCAGUGCAACCGGUCUCUCCUUAUGGGACCGGUCUCUGGGGGACCGAUCUCUCAGGCAGAGACCGGUUCCCGAGAGCUGAUCUUCCAGGACUUAGCCGAUUUUUCGGCUGUCUCAUUUCAUACGCGUUCGGGGACCGGUCUCUCCCCUCAGGGACCGGUCCCCGAGAGCUGAAAAUCUGCAGCUUUGCAGAAUUCAAUUCUUUAGCUCUCGAAAACCUUCCACAACUCACUUUUAAUCAUUUUAACACCUUCGGACUUUCCGAGGUGUUCCAUCCUCGCACUUUGGUCAAUGUGACUAAAGUUCGACAUUUUAUUUUCCGAAUUUUCGGUAUAUUACACUAUCUGUGCCGCUUAGACCUAGUGGGAAGAUCGGCGGAGUCGGCGGCCGAACCCACUGGGAACUAUAUUUUUAUAGUUCUCACCCUGUGUGGUUUUGGGGUACAGGUACACACGUGAGCGGAUCGGUAGGUGAUCGCGGUAAGGGCGUAGCGCCCUAGCUAGCUAAUAGAGCUUUCCUAUUGUACUAGAGCACCCUCGUGUGCAUGGUUAUAGAUGACAUGAUGUAUUUUAGAUAGCUAGCAUUAUAUAUAUGUGAGAUGAUUAUGUAUUCAUUUUGGAAGCUUAAAUGUAAUCAAGUUGUAUUAAAGGUUGAAUGGAUGUAAAUGUUGAAUGUCAAAUGUGAUGUAAUAGAUAGUUAUAUCUCUCUUUUAUUCACUUGUUUAUACUUGUGAUGCUUGCUCUUGUAAUGUUCGGCAUUGGUUGUGCCCUCGCUAUUGUUUUGAUCAUGUAUGUAUUCAAGUUGAUUUCCUGGGAACUUGUUGUACAUGAUCCUGUUGUUUAGCCUUGGGCGCACAGGGGAGGUGCUGUCCGUCCGGCGUUUGUUCGACAUGCCCGAACCGGACCAAAUUGGUAUCGGUCUCGGAGUGUGACAGGUACAGCCACCGGGCUUGUACCGGUACAGGGCCGCAGAACCCCACAACCCGAGCCUCGGGUUUGGCUUUUCGUCAGUCUUGUACCGGUACAAGGACCCGUGUACCGGUAUAAGGCGGCAGAUUUCGUGCAGUCCGAACAGCAGGGGGUUUUUCGCGUUUGUGCCUAAUCUAUUUAGCACCCACGCCCCUUAGGGCUUCUUUUGUGCUGGAACCUGAGGAGGAGAAGGUGAGAGGAGCUCUACCUUGCUCCAUUUGGUUUUGAUCUCCGUUUUAGAUGGAUUUUGGUGGAUUAAUCAUUUUCUUUUCUCUUUUUAUGCUUUUCCCACCAUUGAUGAAGCUAGAAGCUUGGAUUUGAGGCUUGGUAGAGGUGAGAUCUUUGGACUUAGAAGGUUUAGAGCUUGGAUUGGAGCAUUUUAGAGGUAAAUGACUUGUUCUUUCCUCUAAAUUCCUAGCUUUGAUGAUUUUUUUUGGAAUUAAACUCUAGAAUGAGGUUUUAGGGCUUAUUUUGGGCAUUUUGAAUCUAGGGCUUUUGGAGCUAGAUUGAGUGGAUUAGAGGCUUCCAUUAGGUUGGAUUGGAAGGGCCCUAGCUCUCUUUUGGAGCUUUAGACGAGAUUUUUGCACUGGAGGUGAGUUUUCCUCACCUAUGAUUGUAUAGCUUAAUGAUUGAGCUUAGCGUUGUUCGUAUGGUUCUUGUGACACUUAUUCUUAUACCUUUAGGGUGCUAGGAGUGUGGAGGACACCCUCGUUGGAGCAAACGAAGAGUUUCGUUGUCAUCGGUGGGUUUGACUUCAUGAAAAUAGGGCAAAAUGGCCCCUAUACUUUCUAAACUUUUCGUAAAGUAUUUUUGAAUGCAAAUUCAUGCUAAACAUGAUUUAUGUGAAUUUUAGAACGCUUAAAAUGCAUGCCUCAUGUAUCAUAAAAUUUGCACUCUAUAUAGCAGAGCUAUAUGUGUAGAUUGCAUGCAUUGUGAAUGGUGUUUGGUUUUGCAAGUUGAGAACAUGUCUCUAUGUUAGAAUUGAGUGGAAUUAUGCAUCAUGAACAUAUUGAUACCAUGUUUGGACUCGUUGAAUAAAAGUGUCAUAAAGGGGCACUAGAAUUAGUAAACUAUGAAAUUGCAACAUAGAGACAUAUUGAUAGGCCAAUACAUAUCUGCUCUAUUCCAUGUUAGAGACAUGACGACAUAGAGAUAGGCCAUGGGGACAUUCGAUGUAUUCCAGGUUUUAGACAUAAUGACUUGAGAGAGACGGAUCAUUGCUUGCUUGCCAUUUGUGCUCAUUCGCACAUGCUUGUGAGGGUCGCUCCCUACAAGCCGGCACUUCGGAGAUAGACAUCGCGACAUAUGCUUGCCCGUGCCGGAUUCGGCGCCGAAGUGGAUUGCCAUGGGGGAGGCUCAUCCCUAGAGUGGGGAUGUUGACUACCACGGGGCCAUUAGGCACGGCGCAAGCCAGACAGCCUUCGGGUGGGUCUUAUAUGAUUGGGACUUAGUGACAGAACAUACUAUGUGAACUUGAAAACUAUUAAAGUGGACUUGGACUAGAAUAGUAAACAAUGACAUCUUUACUAUUUUUGCGUUGAGGACAUCGGAUUAGUUGCAUUCUAUGCUUAUGCAUGUCAUACACAUCCAUGUACAUUCAUGAUAUCGUUGCUUAUUACUUAUGCAAACCUGCUAAGUAGAGACCUUAUGUUAUAGUAAAUUACAUUGUAUUUACCUUUCGCUUUACUACAUUGUUAGUCACUGACCACUUUCCUUGUAGCUUUGGGCCUUGUGGUGCAUUCACUGAAGUCAGUAAUUGCCCACUGGGAACUAUUUUUAAUAGUUCUCACGCCCCUGUUUUCUGGUUUCCUUUCAGAGCCUUCUGCACCGGCGGAGGCACGGGAUCGCGUAGCUAGCUAGCGAGGAGCGGUUCUUUGCCUAGGUGGUUUACUCUUUCUUUUUGUAGAUGAGAGAGAGUGAGAGAUUUUGUAUUCAUGUAUAGAGACCACCUAUGUAUCUACUUUUAGCACUUGUAUUUGGGAUUUUCUUUGUACUACUUUAUGCGUUUAUUAGUGGAUUUCAGCUGUACUCUUCUUACCUUGAUGUAGAAUUUAGACUUUAAUCAUGCUCUGAUACUCUUAGAUGUCUAUUAUUAUUGCUUUUAUUAUCGCUGUUUUUAGACGCCUUAUAUGUUUUAGACGUAUGGCGGAUUUGGGCACGUGCCGGGCAGGCUUCCGCUGAGUCCCGGGGUGUGACACUCCGGAGCUCAUCGCUCGAGGGGGUGCGACCACCCUCAAGCCAAGAUUUUUAGGUGAGUAUGAUUCAAUCCUUAACUUUAAGGAUGUCAAGUUCAAUCCAUUCCUUAACUAUAAGGAUGCUGUGUCACAUAUGCCAUUUUCUAGCAUUCUAUAACUUUCAUUAGUACCACACACUAAAUGUUCUUUAUUCUCAUUCUCAUGCAUUCUUGACUGGUCAAUGCCACACACACUAUGUGUUUAUCUCUUGAAUUCAAUACUCUUUGAUGCCACACUUGUACACUAGCAUUCAAAAUUCAUUGAUGCCACUCUACUAUCGAUGUCAUAAUGUCAUUUGUUUUCUAUGUCAUCUAAAUCUUUGUCUCCAUUCAUGCAUAUAUAGGGUUUUAUAUGUUCUCAAGAAUUCACAAUAUUUUAUAUGCAUCUUAUACUCAAAGCAUGCAAUCAUAUAUACCCACUCACCCUACAAUGCAUGAUGCUCAAUAUACACAUAUGGUCAAGAAAUGACAUUUUAGAUAUAAAAGAAAAUUCGAGGAUUUCGAAAAGCACCACCUACCUCGUAUGGUUGUAAAGGUGCUACGGUUCAAGUUUCGUGAUUUUUGGGCGCCUAUUCUCUCGCCUGCGGCAAAACGAAGCCAAAUUAGGCUUUUUCUCAAUAACUUUCCGUAGAUUCGUCGGAUCGGCGAACCGAGUCUACCAACGAGUUAGAAAUACCCCCAAUUUAGUUUCUACAAGGUCAAUUUACUUUCAAACCAACCUAGGGCAAAAUCCCCAAUUUUGGUGCCCUAACAAUGCUAUAUAGCAUCAUACACCACUUUGAUCUCUAAGAUAAGCAAAAAUAAGCUUAACAUCCCCUAGAAACUCAUCUAGAUCCAUUUAAAACUAUUUCUAGGGCAUUUGAACCAAACCCUAGGCAUCUACCAUGAGAGCUCAUGAGCAUACAUGGAUUUUCAUGAGUUUCUAUGGUCUUUACUAGGUUUCCCAUUAUGUAAGAAAAGCACUCUAAGCCCAAAAGCACUCUAAGCUCUACCUUGUAGGAGAGCCCUAGACCCUUCAAAACACCAAAUCUCCUUCAAAUCCACCUUCAAAUCUCCUCUUGAUCCAUCUCUAAGAGAGUUCCUAGAGAGUGAGAGGGAGAAAAAUGAGAGAGGAAGGUGUGUUAACUGCUGUGAAUGAGAAGGGAGGAGGAGGGAUACUUUUAUAAGCUGCUACAAUAGCAAAUAGACCCUCCAACUCUUUCUUAUUUGCAGCAGACCAACCUGCUGUUUCGCAGCACUGCAUACCGGUACUUGGGGGGCGUCACCGGUACGCCCCUGUUCAACUGCCCAAACCCGAGAGCUGCUAUUUCUCGAGUUGGCGCAGGGUACCGGUACUACCUAAUUUAGUCACCGGUUAAUAGCUUAACAGAGGCCAAACCCAAGAGCUGCUGCUCUCGGUUUGCAGCCCGUUACCGGUACUGUCCUGGUGCUUCACUAGUUAACAAUGCUCCAAACUUGAGUUUGGCAGAGCUUCGGCUUCAUUUCGCGCCGAGCAAUGCUAAAAAACCAUUCAAACUAACUUGAAACUCAACUCCAACCCUUCCAGCAUUGUUGGAAUGUCAACUGGACUUUGUCCAACUAUAUCUCUCGCACACUUUGGUCAAUUUGAUUAAAGUUCGAUAUAGUCUACCGGAGUUUCGGUAUAUUACAUUCUCCACCCCUUAAAAUUAGUUUCGUCCGCGAAACUAAAUACUAUCUUAGCUCGUCGACUCAAAUAAGUGAGGAUACAUCUUUCGCAUAGUCUCCUCGAGCUCCUAAGUGGCUUCACGCACCGCAUGGUUGCUCCACUGGACCUCUUUACAUAUGGAAUUGUGCGACUGCGUAACUUCCUUUCCUCUCGAUCGAGAAUACAAACCGUAUAUUCCUCAUAAGUCAUAUCCUUACUCAAUUCUACCAGGUUCGUACUCCAACACAUGCGUCGAAUUUCGGAUAUACUUGCGGAGAUUUUGACACAUGAAACACAUUGUGAACUCCCGCAAGCCUCGGUGGUAAUGCAAGCUUGUAUCCGACCGCGCCAACGUGCUCUAAUAUCUCGAACAGUCCAACAUACCGGGGACUUAGCUUCCCACGGUGUAAGGUACCGGACUUCUAAAACUAUGAAGUUACGGUGUACAUUUAAAUGGCUCCGGUGAGGUUGCGACGGAAUGUAACAUACCGAAUUUUAAAUAUAAAAGUGAAAAUAAAUAAAAAUAGUAUGAGAUACUAUUUUUAUUGGAUUUAGAGAAGUGAAAUAUAAGUUGGGAAUGACCUGUGCUGAAAUCGGAGCGACAACAGAAGAUUUAGAAUUUUCUGUAAGAAACGGGGCAGAUAAAUUAGCAGAAAAUGCACAGUGUCAGAAAAUUAUGAAAAUUAGCGGAGAUAUCAGAAAUAUUUUUAUGAUACUGGAUUUAAAGUUCCAUGCCAUUCUGACACCCGGAAGGUGAAAAAUAGAAUCCGAAAGCUAUCUGAUAAAGAUUGCAGUUCGGUACAGUUUUCAGUGACCAAACGGGGUCGAAACUCAAAUAUUAAAAUUUCUUUGGACUCGUUAAGUGAGACCGAACAUGACUGUCAAAUUUGAGCUCAAACGGAUGUUCAGGGAGUUCCGGCGAAAGAUAUCAGAUUUCGAACUGCCUGGAGUGAAUAGUAUUUUGGGGGAGUUUACUUGGAGGUGAAGUUUCCUCCUAUAUAUAUAUAUAAGGGUGUUAUGUCAUUUCCCUCAUUCCUCUCUAUUUGAGCCAACAUAAGAGAAAUCUCUCUCUCUCUCUCUCUCUCUCUCUAGGAUUGGCUCCAAAGUGUGGAGUUGGUAGAGAAAAGCUUACUUAAAGGUGAAGCUUUCCUUUUCUUCACCAUUGGCUUGAAGAGAGCUUGAGUUUGAGAGGUAUGCUUUGUUAGCAAUAAUGGUAGAUUGCUAAGUAAUGAUUUGUAUGUCUUAGAAAUGGGUUUAGUGAAACUCCUAGAUGCUAAAUAGAUGGUUGAUGCUCGAAUUUUGAGAUUAAAUGAUGAAUUCUUGCAUAGUUGCAUCUUAGGGCAUCAAAAGAGCGGUUUUUGCUUGUGAGGGGUUUUGAUCUAAAUUGAUCAUGUAUAAACCUAAUUGCUAGGUAAACGAACGCGUUGGGGAAGUCGGUUCUGCGAUUCGUCGAGCCUACGCGAAGUUAUUAAAGAAACGGACGUUUAGGUUUCGUUUCUGCAUAGAGGGCCGAGGCGACGUCGUAAAAUCAUGGAAAUGGAUUUGAAGCAUCGUGGCACAUAACCGAAGACCUAUAAUUUUCAGGGCUGCGAAGCGGAGCACGGUUGAGGCGCAGUUGCAGUAUCGGGCCGUGCCGGAUACGGGUGCCACGGGAGGCCGAUUGCAAGUGUCGACAAUCAAUCGGAACGCGAAUUAAGGUGGGUUGUGCUUACCGAAGCGAUUAGGUCGCCCUUUAUGUCUAAGAAACUAAGAAUCCAUGUUGAUGCAUAUAAAUGUAAAUGAAGCAUGUAAAUGAUGCAUGUAGCUAAAUAAUGCAUGUUGAUAGUAUGAUGUAAAUGCUAAAUAGAAUGCAUUAUGAGCAAGUUACAUAAUGCUAAAUAAUGUAAUGUAGAAAUGCUAGAAUGCAUUAUGAGCAAGUUACAUAAUGCUAAAUAAUGUAAUGUAGAAAUGCUAGAAUGCAUAAUGAGCAAGUUAUAUGAUGCAUGUUUAUAGUAUGAUGUAAAUGCUAAGUAGAUGCAUAUAAAUGAUAUAUGAGAUUAUAAACGCAUGAUUAGCAUUAUGAGAUCAUAGAUGCAUGCUUAGCAUUGUGAGAUUAUAUAUGCAUAUGAACUUGGUUGAUAACUCUAGCUUGAUUAGAGAGAUAACAUUGGAAAAUGAGAAUUGAUAACUCUAGAAUGAGUAGAAUGCUUAAUUGGACAAUUAGUAUGUGAAUUAGAUCGAGUGGCAUCUAACUUAGUGUUAAGGAACAUAGGUCGUGAGUAGACCUAGAAUCAAAUAGAUCGAGUGGCAUCUAACCUAGUGUUAAUAAACAUAGGUCGUGAAAUGAAAAGUACUUAACCUAGAGUCAAGUGAACCUAGGUUGGAAAGAAUAAUGAUCCUAGUGUAAUAAACCUAGGUUAAGAAUGUGAAAGCAAUAAACCUAAUGGGUGAACUUAGGUUGAGUAAAGGCUUAGACCUAGAGAGGUCAGUUCCAUAGGGUUAAGACCAACCCCUAUGUGAUGUGAAAUGGAUUCCGGAAUCCCAAGGCUAAAAGGAUACACCCAAAGUGGUGUCGGGUGUGUGCGACGAUUUCGCCGCCCAAGGGCUAAAGAACCAUUGUCGUGGCGUGUGCGACGAUUUCGCCGCCGGAUGGUUAGCCAGUUUGUGGAUCCUACCGCCUGUUGAUUGAACCACUGUCGUGGCGUUUGUGCGACGAUUUCGCCGCCGGGUGGCUUAGUCAUGGACCUAGGCCGUUGUUGGGUGAGGUGCGAUUCGUUCGCCGCCAGACGGCUAGGAUAGGAGUACGGUGAGCUGUUGCCAGCUGAGGUGCAUGUGAGAGUUCCUUCACCUCGAGCUAGAUAGUGCGCGGACUAUCCGCGAUUGAUUGACUCGAAGCCGAGUCGGGUGGUUAGCUAUGAUAGGGUAGAGGAACCCUUAUGAGCUAGAGAUAGAGGCUUGAGCUAAGGUAAUAGAAACCUUAGAAGCCAGUGGUUAGUGUUGUGAUCCUAAGGUAAUAGAAACCUUAGAGUAAAGUUAUGAGCUAAAGUAGCCAAGUAUAAGUAGAAUUCAAAUGAUCUACUAGUUGCAUGAUUUUCAUAUCUCAUAUCGUGAGGCAUGGCAUGUAUAUUUCAAUUGAAAAUAUAUGUCUGUUGUAUAUUGUUGAACUAACAUAUUGCAGUGCCUCCUCGGACCUAUCGGUCGAUCUUUUCCCUUAGGUGGCCGUACCCACUGGGAACCAUGGAGUUGGUUCUCACCCCACGUGGUUUUGGGGUGUUUUCAGGUUGUUCGUGCGCGGCGUGGUGGCGCGAGGCAAGGGCGUAGCUCAGUAGAUAGCGCCCCACCACAGAGACCGAGGUAGCAGUACCGUGAGACAGUCUAGCUUAGGGGUCUAGAAGACAAGAAAAGAAAAUGUAUCAAACUUGAUAACUCUGAUGUAAUAGCGAGAUUGUAAUUUGGAAGUAAAAAUGUAAACAGAAACUGUGAUGUAAAAAGUGGUUGUAAAAUGAAUGCAUGUAAUAGCAAGUAGAUUAUGUAUUUGAUACUUCCUUAUGCAAUCUGGAUUGAUAUCCGUUCCUAGUUGGAACAUUCGUUGAUUGUUUGGAUUGCGACGCCUUGGACGUACUGGGGAGACUCUGUCCGCGUACAAAGGAAUCCCCGGUCCGUUCGGUGGUCUGUCGUCGGCGCCGCGACCCUGUCCAAAUAGGCGGUUGGUCGCAGGGAGUGACAGAUAAGAUGGUAUCAGAGCAUAAAGUAGAGAAUGGGCUAUGGUUUAGCUGGACCUAGGAGACCUAGGAUAGUAAACCAUAGGAGAAUAAGGCUCGUGAGAGACGAGGACUUGUGAAUUACGGCGAAAGAUUGAUCGAUUGGGUCAGGUUAGUAACCCUCUGAAACGGAUGUUAGAGGUGGAUUCAAGGUUCAGUUUAUUCUCAGCCGAGGAUGUUCAUGUUGGGCAUGCACAACAUGAAACCGGGUGAUGAGAAUAGACGUCCUUGCGUGACUUUCGCCCGAUUUGAGUCAGUGUUAGUUGUCUCGUGUUCGACCCAGAGGGUCGAGGGUUGAACGAGUUGUCGUGCUUUAGGAAGCGAUGGCAUCGUGUAGGCGAUCAAUAUAAAGAUCGGCGCGGGAUGAGACAAGUGGUGUCCCUAAGCAAUCUGAAGCGAGCGGAGAAUUGAAACUUCGCUAUCAAUUGGCCACACUCGUGGGAGUGGUGAGGCCACGAGUCGGUGGUGCAGCGUCAGUAGGAGACUACCAUACACCAAAGGGAUCGUGUAAGAGGGACUCCAAGAGUUGGUGGACCAGUGGUGAUCGCACUAGUUUCGGCUCGUCGAGUAUGGCCGGGAGUCGCGGUGGAGGUGUUUCCGUCGGGGUUGGGUGAUCCGACUUCUAGCAGUUCGUUGGUGGAGGCAGUGAGGAGGGCGAGCUUUGGUGGCCCUCAUGACCUUCAAGCUAUUGGAUCCACCCACCUUUGGUGGAGAGGAUGCGGAUCCAUGAACCAUGGAGUUGUGGAUCGACUCCAUAGAGACUCUCUUUAAGGGUCUAUGUGCUGUGGAGCGGGAUAAGGUACGCCUAGCCGUGCGUUGUCUGAAACAAUCGGCGAUGGUGUGGUGGAAAGGCGUCAAGCGGAUUUGAUCGCCUAGUUUCCUUCCUGUCGCUUGGGAUGAGCUUCGGGAUUUGUCGUGUUCUACUUCCCCGUACCCCGUACCCGAAGUUUGCCCAGUCUGGGCAGUGCACAUUCUUGAGUGCAAUUGCAAUCCCUAACCUCGGAGGUGUCUUGUGUUAACUUCUUCAAGAUACGGGAUUACCGAAGUUCUCACCAGGCGCGGUGGGGUGCGCUGCGUGAUGAGAUCUGCAUUCGUAUGGGCGAUGGCCAAGCCAUAAGCGAGGGGAGUGCCGCUGAGGGAUGAUCAGACCUUAGCGUUAGCGACGGCCUCCUCCUCCCCGAGACAGCCUGUGCGUGUGUCACCUGCAGCAUGGUUUGGAGGGUGAGUGAUAAAGAAGUGACAACCUGAGGGUUCGCGGCGAGCGCCAGGUGGCCAUGGAUAGCGACCCGGUUUGGGGAGCCUGCUGCUGCCGAGGAUAUCGCGGCAGAUGUGAUUUAGUUAAAGCAAGCAGGUACUUUUGCAUGAUCUCAAGUUGACGCAUUGUGUCUUUGCCCUGUGGUCAUUUACUGCUAUCGAUGCGUCAGAGUGGCAGGGACCAAGUGGACGGGUAAGUGUAAAUGCCCGGGCAUGCUUAUGCGGUGAAAGUGUAGCACCUGCCGGUGCAAGCAAGGAGCUAUAUGGCACUAACAAGUUACUAGUGAUAACCAGGUGAUAAGACUCAUGGUAAAGGUGGAGAUGGGGAAAUGACUCUCGAGGCAACGAUUAGUGGAUUGCGAGGGUUGAACCAUAAUACCUGUAGACACGCGAGUAAUCCGAGAAUUUCGGAUAUUGUUCCGAUAGAUCGAACGGUGAAAGGAAAGUCAUUGUUGAGAGAGUAACUGGUUAGUUACCAAGUUGUGGCACGUGGGCCUAGUAGUAGCACCUCAACUUGAGGUUAGAAGUUGUGCUUAUUUGGUCGGCGCGCAUAGGCAGGGUUGCCUGAUGCUAGAUUUAGUUUGGAACGCUAUAGAGGCGUGUAGAGCGCUUGAGUAUAGGUACUCGUGGUGUGCGGUAUUCACUCAGCCGAGAAAGUGAGAUGGCAGUAGCACUGUAGCAUUGCUAGGUGUGAAGCGUGCCUGGUAUCACUCGUAGGGGCUGAUGGCUCGCACUAGGUGCUUAGGAGCGGAUAUUGGUAUGUGUGACUCGGUAGAGCAUGUCGUGUAGGACGACGACGGCGGGUAGUGCUUGGGGACGACCCGUGCCUGGACCAUUUGUGGACUGUAGAGCCUGAGCCCUUUGGGCAGGCGCAGUCAGCUGUGAGAGACAGCGGCCCGAUACCUACAGGUAGGGCAGAGAUUUGGUCAGGAUGGUAGUCCGAGCUUAGACCCGGGAGCGUGGAAUGCCACGUGUUAGAUCAUGAGAUCGAGGAUACACCGAGUGUGUAGUGACCCAACCCGAGGAUUUGAGGUGGUUUGGGGUCACGGUUGCUCCUGGUUGGAGCGUGUGCGAAUUCUCCAAUGCGAAUUUCGCCCGAUUAUGAUUUGGCCUACGCUGGUGAGCAAGGGACGCUAUACGUAGUUGUAAGAGGUUUAGGCGGUAGACCUACGUAGGACGGGUGACUGUUGGUCCACCUGUGGAAACCGACGUAAUCGGUUUAGCCGAUAACUCUAUUAGUGAGUUGGCUUGGAUUCACGAACAUAGGGUUCGUGUGGAUUUGUCGCAAGAGCAAGGUAAAGUUGGUCGUGGCUUAUGAUAUCAAGGGCGAAAUGCUCUUGUGCGAUAUUGAGAUGUGGAUAGCCACGUGGGAAUUGGAGCUUGAGGACAAUGCUCUUUUGUGGAUUGAGAUUGGAGAUGUGCCGGAAUGGGCCAUCUCCUGAUAGAACAAGGAUCCGGUUGUGAUGAACCACUCGCGAUUGGUCGAGUCACCAACGAUAUUGCUUCUAAGCAAUGCAGGUGAUCGAAUCGGAGUGAAAUUUUUCGUUUGGGUGUAUAAUGCAAGAGUAGUUCUUUGCAUGGUGGUAAUACACUUUUGGAGCUGCACGUGGCAAAUGUGAGUGAAUCUAGUCUCACAUCUUCCGUAGUGAGCCUAUGGAUAGUUCCGAUGAGCGAAAAGCCACUCCGAGAUGCAAAAGUGCACUGUACCCCUUGUCACUCAAGAAAGAGAAUUAGAGUGUGAAUUGGGUUGAAGUGAGUGAGUUUCGGGGACGAAACUCUUUUUAAGGAGGGGAGAAUGUAAGGUACCGGACUUCUAAAACUAUGAAGUUACGGUGUACAUUUAAAUGGCUCCGGUGAGGUUGCGGCGGAAUGUAACAUACCGGAUUUUAAAUAUAAAAGUGAAAAUAAAUAAAAAUAGUAUGAGAUACUAUUUUUAUUGGAUUUAGAGAAGUGAAAUAUAGGUUGGGAAUGACCUGUGCUGAAAUCGGAGCGAAAACAGAAGAUUUAGAAUUUUCUGUUGGAAAUGGGACAGAUAAUUAGCAGAAAAUGCACAGUCUCAGAAAAUUAUGAAAAUUGGCGGGGAUGUCAGAAAUAUUUUAAUGAGGCUAGAUUUGAAGUUUCAUAUUUUUCUGACGCCCGUAGAGAGAGAAAUAGCAUCCGAAAGCCAUCUGAUAAAGAUUGCAGUUCGGCACAGUUUUCGGUGACCAAACGGGGUCGAAACUGAAAUAUUAAAAUUUCUUUGGACUUAUUAAGUAAAACCGAGCGUGCCUGUCAAAUUUGAGCUCAAACGGAUAUUCAGGGAGCUCCGGCGAAAGAUAUCAGAUUUGGAGCUGCCUGAUGUGAAUAGUGUAUGCUACUAUUGAGGUGUUGACUAUAAGUAGAAGCUACUAGGCUUCUUCCUCCUCAAGUUGCAGCCAGCACCAAGCAUCACACGCACAUGGUGUAGUGAGAGAAACCCUCUCUUUCUCUCUCUAAAUAUCUCUCUCAUCUCUCUAUAUUUCUCGCCCAAAUUCGCGGCGUUGGUGGAGAUCGAGCUUGCGAACGCGUUGGAGGCGACGGAUUGAGCUUUCGUGCGCCCGUUGGAGCGGCGUGUUUUCGUUGCGGCGUUCACAUUGGGGUAAGCUUUUGGGAUUUGGCUUAAUCCUUAGCUUUAAGUGUUCUAUUAGCCUCUAAUGAUCAUUAGUAAGCAUAUUGAUCCAUUUAAUUUGGAUUAUUUGGAGGUUAAUUGUACGUUAGGGCUCCGAAUGGGAUUUUGUAAAAUGUAAGGGUUUGAUCUCAUUUGACCCUUCGUAAACCUAAUUGCUAGGUAACGAAACGCGUUGGCGAAGACGGUUCGGUAAUUCGACGAGCCGUUACAAAGUUAUUAAAGAAAUAGACGUUUAGGCUUCGGGUCCGCCGGGAGGGCCGAUGCGACGUCGUAAAAUCAUGGAAAUGGAUUUGAGGCAUCGUGGCACAUAACCGAAGACCUAUAAUUUCCGGAUUUGUAAAGCGGAACACGGUUGAGGCGCAAGAUCUUGUCGGGCCCAAAGGGUGCCGAGUGCCGCGGGAGGCCGAUUGCAAGUGACGACAAGCAAUCGGAACGCGAGUUAAGGUGGGUUGUGCUUACCGAAGCGACUAGGUCGCCCUUUAUGUCUUAGCAAUGUAAUCUCAUGUUGAUGCAUGUGCAUGUAGACAAGAGCAAGGAUGCAUGUUAAUAAAGAUGCAUAAAGUAGAUGCUAAGUAGAAAGCAUGAUAAAUGGUAAUGCUUAGAGCAAAUGCAUAUUAAUAACAAUGCAUAGUGGAGCAUAAUGAUUAUGGCAUUAGAUAAUGCUAGCUAAUGUAAAGUAAUGCAUGAUAAUGAUAAUGCAUAGAUGAAAAUGCUUAGUAGAAAUGCAUGGUGAGCAAGUUACACAAUGCUAAUAAUGCAUGAUAAUAAUGUAAUGCUAAGUAAUGCAUGAUAUGAAGUAAAUGCAUAUUAAUAAUAAUGCAUGAUGAGGAUGCUAAGUAAGGGAUGCAUGUUAGUAAUGAUGCAAAGAGUAAUUGCUAAGUAGAAAGCAUGAUGCAUGGUAUAUGUAUAUAAACCAGAUGAUAACUCUAGGAUGAGUAGAGAUGACUGGACAACUAAGUUGUCAGGUAGAUCGAGUGGCAUCUAACCUAGUGUUAAAGAACAUAGGUUGGUUAGUAAACCUAGAGUUGAACAAUCUAGGUGUGUGGCAUCUAACCUAGUGUUAGUAAACCUAGGUUGAACUAGUAAACCUAGAAGUGGAUAUCUAGGCAAAGAUGAUAAGAACCUAGCAAGUGUAUCUAGGUUAAGUGAUGUGGACAUAGAACCUAGAGUGUUGGAACCUAGGUUGAUGAGUAUAGUGGUAUAGCCACUAGAUUGAGCUAGGUCGACAGUAUAGGGUUGGCUAUGAACCCUCGACCUGUGGUAAGUGGAUUCCGGAAUCCCAGGACUUAUGAUGUCCCUGGUACAGGCUAGGGCGUUCGUGCGACGAUUUCGCCGCCGAGCUUGGUACCGUGGGUAGAUUGGGGGCGAUCACAUGGAGAUCACCGCCCGGGGCUUGAACCAUUGUGCUGGCGUUUGUGCGACGAUUUCGCCGCCAGAGUGGUUAAGCCAUUUGAGGAUCAGACCGCCAGAGUAGACUGAAUCCAUGCUGGGUAAGUACGAUGCGGGUGCCUCCAGGUGACUGAGUCUGACAUGAUCGUUGUUGGGUGUGGUGCGACCCGUUCGCCGCCAGACGGUAUGUCAUGUCUCGAGCUCACGCUGGGUAUGUGCAACGCGAUCGCCACCGAUGGUCAAGUCUUGUGACUCGAGCCGUCUUCAGCGUGUGCGACGAUUUCGCCGCUAGGAGGCUGAGUCAGAGAGAGUGCGGUAGGCUGUUGAGCAGCCAGUGCGCGGACUAUCCGCAGAUGAUUGACUCGAAGCCGAGUCGGGUGGUUAGCUAUGAUAGGGUAGAGGAACCCUUAUGAGCCAGAGAUAGAGGCUUGAGCUAAGGUAAUAGAAACCUUAGAAGCCAGUGGUUGGUGUUGUGAUCCUAAGGUAAUAGAAACCUUAGAGUAAAGUUAUGAGCUAAAGUAGCCAAGUAAAAGUAGAAUUCAUAUGAUCUACUAGUUGUUGCAUGGUUUUCAUAUCGCAUAUCGUGAGGCAUGGCAUGUAUUUCAAUUGAAUAUAUAUAUCUGUUGUAUAUUGUUGAACUAACAUGUUGCAGUGCCUCCUCGGACCUAUCGGUCGAGCUUUUCCCUUGGGUGGCCGUACCCACUGGGAACCAUGGAGUUGGUUCUCACCCCACGUGAUUUUG
rnacentral:lncRNA from 1 species